CCCUUUUCAGUUUAAAACAAAGCGGAAAAGCGUCUGAAAUUUUUUUUUUGAAAACCUGACCCCAGAGUAUGCCAGAUCCGCCACAAAUACAGGGAAUCCACUGUUCACACGGACAGAGUCUCCCCUGUAUUUGCACGGCGUCGUACAAGUACAAGAGUAUAGCCAGGAAACAACCACAACCAAAUGAAUAUAACGAUAACUAUACAUUCAUACAUUCACCAUUCACAUCACAGUUUUAUGUUCAGUAUUUAAAUAGAAAUUCACGAAAAUUCUUUUGAAAACUGUUCCCUACACGGAAACCUUUAUUCGUUAAAAACGCUACCACGAGGGGUAGAAAACCUUUUAUUUUACAAAAUCCAGAAAUCCACAUUUUCAAAUGUAAAUAAACACUGAACCACAUAAACCAACUAAACUAUUCAUCAGCCAAAAUAAGAAGGGUAAGAAAGUAAACCGAAUUAACCCGGGUCGAAAGCUCUAUCGACCGCUACACGCGUACCUCACGUCUCGUCCCACUACUCAUCGCCCACGAUACCUGAAAAAUGGUGGGGGAGGUGAGAACAUGUAAACAUGUCUCCCCUCCCAGUGGGUUACGCAAGGCCGAAGAAGGCGAUGAGUACUUCACCUGGAUCAGGAAGAGAUAACAACAGAUGUAGAGUAAAAUACAGUAGCAACAGAUAAUGAACGAUGAAUAUAUAAUAUGAAAACACCUACUGCUUACUGUAGAAUGUACAACUGGCAAGCAUACAAAGAUAUCAAAACUAUAGUAGCAAGACAACUGUAAAGAAAAGAAACAGAAAUACAAUGCAACAACGCUACAUAGCUAUACUGCGUCAAACCGACGAGAAGUCCAAAAGUACCCAACUAAACGCCCGUGUCGGUCUCAAGGACCGUCAGGCAAAAGCCACUACUGCUCACACCGCAUGUCACCCAGCACAGAGAACACCGCUGCUCUACCUGUCGACGCGAUGUAAACGACAUUUUCGAAAGAACACGCUCUCCUGCGGGAUAACCCGCCUGUUAUUCGUGAAAACUGCACUCGAGCUGUGGCGCAUCAGUGCGGAUAUGAUCAAUAGCCAACGUCGCAAUCAGCCGAACAACACUGCCCACUCUGGCAUACGCGACUCUGUCGUAGUCAUCAAGUAAAACGUGAACCGACCGAGAUAGCCAAGCUGUAUGGAAAGUAACGAACGACAAACAGGUCACCAAUGCCAAACGAGAAACCUGACCAACCAGUCACAUUAGUAUAGUAUAUAACGAAUGGCCAUCUAUCUCUACCCCUAUAACAGGAUACCUACACAUAGAACAACCAGGCAAGAAUAAAUCAAGAUAGUAAUUAGUAUACUCUCGAUGUCAACUAAAUAAGUACGAACAGGCAAGAACGGCGACCGAUAUGUCUACAGAUAUUCGAUAUAGUCCAAGAACUAACCUCCAACGCACCACGACCAAUACCAUCCUCAAGGGUACAUGCCGACGCCAAGGUCAUCGAGACGACAGAAGUCAAAGAAAUAGACCAACACCAAUAACAUAAGUGCAACAACGACCAACCCAGCAACAGCAUAUUAAAUAAAACAUCCGCUCAAAUAGGUCACAUGAAAAGAGUACGAGAACGCGACGCAAUCAAGUCACCGAUCACGAAGUACGAGAACCGACCAACAAGGUCACCAGUACAUAGCUAGGAUAAACUACUCUACUUCCUACACAUGAUACUAAGCAAGCAACAUAUGAGUAGGAGUAUAUAGAAACAACGGCGAUGCAAGCUCAAUAUAUAAAUACGAAAAAUAGCAUAGAAGCCCCAGGGAAUAGAAGAGAUAUCACCGAGCGUGCACACAUGAGCUAGACCUUCGAUCGAAGUAGCCCACCUGACAAAUGCUUGGCCCGUCCCUGACUGCAAAAGCGACGUCAACCGGACCUGAAGGAAGGCCACCGGGUUAGUGUCUAACCGCACAGCUAAUACCACUAAAUCAGACAACCUCAAACAAACCCAUGCGAGAUCGGCGUUUCCCAACGGAUCGCCGGUAAUACGCCGGAAGUCCUCGAAUCGCAAGGUCGGGGAUGCCGCCGGACCGACCGAACUGUCCGGAACAAUACCGACCAGGCUAGCGAGUCACCUCGGCCACCGAAACAUAAAUAACAUUGCAUCAUGGCAGGAACACAACUCGGGACUCCUCCAGUGCGAACAAUAAAUCUCGCGAUAAAUCGUUUCGAUCAGGUUCCCAGAAGUGCAAUCGACACCGGAAACACAACCGUCGCUCAACCCAUUUCCGAACUCCUCGAAGACGCAAGGACCCAGCCAACAGCUCAGCGACUACACAAACGCCAACCAAGCACCGUCGGAAUAAUUCGAACCGAAACCCGUUCCGCGGCGGGAUUCGCCGAAAAACACGCUAGCACCGGAAAUGCAUUCCGAGCUUCGCAAGGUCCUGGGGCAUUGGACAAUCAGUCUUAGAGGGUUAUUCCUCAACGCAACACUUUGCUGCCAACAGCAGCUACGACGAAGCCAAAAUGCAUAAAAGUCCCUCCUGAUACCUAAAUCGCAUUAAUUUCAUGCUGAAUUUCGGCGCGCUUUACAGACGUCCAACUACGCAAACCAGAGGUCAACUGCCGGCCAAGAUACCCAUAUAGGUUCGAUGUCCGAGGCCGUCGCGCACCUUUCGGGCAAUUCCGGCCACUGUGGGCGCGCACUGGGAGCAUUCACGAAGUUCAACCAAAACACCGCGCACAUGAACAAAAACGCAGGCUAAUAAAUCAUCCGGAGCUCGCUGACCGCUAAAGGAGGUGAGCAUACUGGUGAUCAGGGCUGGACUGAAACGAAACCGGCCACCUCCGUGGGCAUCGGAACAGCCCGGGGUCUUCGCAGAAAACAGAGACUCUAAAACAAGAAACUAAUGCACAGACAGGCUGAAAACAGCUCCCCGGACGGGUGAGCUAGGGCAUGACGCCGGCGGCUGUCGAGAGGCGUGCGCAUCCGCAAGGGAAGGGUUGCGCCUGGUCCAACCGGUCCGAGAAACCUGCUGGCCGCGGCGGGGCCGGUGGCGGCGGCGGAAGAGAUCAAUUCCACACAGCUCUCGGGUUUAAGGCUCCCUGCGCUAGCGCGGGCGGCCCGGAGGAGGCGGUUCGACGUCGAUCCGUCCGUCGAGGCCCGAGGGGUCAUGGGCACGCUCCGGGGCGCGGCGCGUGCGGGGCCGAGUGGCUCGCUCGGCCCGCACAACCUGGCGGACCGCAGGUCAGACGGCGGCCGGACGGCUAACGGGACGUUCGGGCAUGCAACGGCAGAGAGAGCCGCGGAGGUGUCUGGAAGGCUGCAGUGCCGUCCGGGAGAAGUCGGCGGAGACGCCGGGCAGAGAUCUGCCCAAAGCUGCAGCUCGCUCACAGGGUCUGGGAGUUUCUGGUUCGGCGAUCCAGGCGGCACCACAGCCAGGCAUGGACGGCGGCGAAGGCGGCGACGUGGCGGCCGGAGGUCGAUGGGCGAGGUGGCGCGCCCGACAUGUGUGCGGCGACCGCGAGGCGCUUGCGGCUCAAGCUCGGCCCGCACCGGGUCUGGCGGCGCAUAGACAGGAUGGCGGCCGGCAGACGACUCGGGGCGCGAGACCGCGAACGACACUCGGAAGGAUGCUCGCCAAGGGAAGAUGGUCAUAGGUUUAGGAUGCCUCCGCGAGCUCGUGCUGAGUGGGUGAAGGAAAAUGGGGAAGUGAUGAGGGAUGCCGAUGAGGGGUUCCGGCGUCGGAAACAGCUGCCGCGUCGGCACGCCACGAAUGUGGCAAGGGAGAGCAGAGACGGCAAGGAAGGGCAAGUCAGCUGGAUGGAAUUAGGUUAGGGUUUCCUUGAAACUCCUCCCUCGAGGCACUACACAUAUAACCAUAGGUGUAAAUUAGCAAGGAAGGUCCUCCGCAGAGCUUAAGAUUUUAAAGNNNNNNNNNNNNNNNNNNNNNNNNNGCCCGGGCACCCCUUCCCGCCGGUCGCCGCCGCCCCAGCGCGCCGCCGCCGCCGCCUCGGCCGGCUGCAGCCGCUCAGCCCGAGCCCAGGCCGAGAGCCGUGUGCGGCCUUUUCCUCGCGCCGCCGCCGCCCUGAGCCUCCUGUGCCGCCCUCCCCCGACCUCCUGCAACCCUCCUCCGCCGUCCCCGACCCUCCCCGGCCGCCGCCGUGGCCGGAGAAACCCGCCGAGCCCGAGCUUCUCUCUUGCGGGCUCGGGUUGCCCCGCCGACGUCGCCGCCGCUUCUCGCCACUAUCUGAGGUGAGCACGGAGUUCCUCACCUCCCCCUCACCCGACUCAGGGCCCCGCUCGCGCCGCCGUGCCGCCGGAGGCCGGCCGGAGCAAGCUUGCUCCGGCCAAGCCCGAAAUAGGGCUUAUUUCAGUGGGUUUUUGUUUCUGAGCUUCCUGAGCCUCCCCGAUCUCUACGGAAGGGAGCACGAUGAUCCUGGCAAGUUUCUGAUCAUCGUGCUCACCUUAGUUUCUGUCGGGGAGACUCCGUUCCGCUGUUUCGGCGAUGUCGCUCCGUUUCAGCCUUUUUGGCUGCUGUUUUGGGCUUGCGCACGCUUAUCCGGCGAUCCGAGGCUGUCCUGAUGCCUCCGGAGGUGAGCACGGUGAUCGUUGGUCAGUACUGAUCACAGUGCUCACCUCACUUUGGAUCAAUAGUGUCCGGUUAGUUCUGUGCAGCGCGAUCUUCCCUGACUGCGCGCUAUUCGCUGAACCUUCGGGUUGCUCCCGCGCUUCCCACAGCGAGCCGCUGUGCUCCGGAUCGUGAGCACGGACUCCGGUACGUCGAGACCUGUCAGUACGUGUCUCUGCGGACUUCGNNNNNNNNNUUAUGUACAUAGUGGACUUAACUCGCCAGUGCGAGUAGCUUUGUAUUUUGGAUUUGGACUAUGUAUAUGAAACUCAGUUUGUUUAGCUUCUGUUUUCUCUAGCAGCUCUCUACUACUGUUCGUAGUAGUGUUUGAUUUACAGGUACAGCAAUCGCUUCGUAUAUAGGGGAAAUUCCUUUGUAUACGGUGGAUUUGUCGGCGCGCCCGGGGAAAGUGUAAUCCGGGGCGUGACAGAUUAAGUUGGUAUCAGAGCUUUACUGUAGGUCGUUGGGACCUAGGAAAUCUAAGUUUGGCAAACCUUAGGAAAGCAAGACGUGAGAGGCGUAAUUUUAUUGCGAAAGUCAAUGAUUGUUUGUUCUAACUGCUCCUAGAGUGGAGUGAGUGACUGAGGGAGUUCCUGUUUUGGCCUGAGAAAUUAUGUUGGCUGCAGACGACAUAAUUUUAGAGGAAAAAUAGGGACCGCCUUCUAGACUUUCGUUCGAUUGGGUCGAGAGUGUUUGGUUGUAUCUGACCCCGAUUUGUUCCUUUCAGCUAUGUAUCGUCGCCGAGGCCGACCGUCGUUGCGGGAGCGUGCGCAGUUGGCGCAGGAUCGUGCUAGAUCUCCCGAGAUGCCUGAGCAGGCAGAGGCGAGUGCACCCCCAGUUGUAGAGCAGAGGGCCCGACCGGAGGCGAGUGCAUCCCCAGAUUUGAGUGCACAGUUGGCUGCCCUGACUGAGGUGACGAGACAGCAGGGGAAGCUAUUGCAGAGGUUGUGUGAGAGGAUAGCUCAGCCACCGAGUUCUAUACCGAGGGCACCAGAGUCGCCAGUUCCACCCCCGACUACUCCAGUGACAGCACCAGCUGCAGCAGUUCCUCCAUCGGCAGGAGUUCCAGUAGCGCCAGUUACGCCUGCUAGGGGGCCAGUACCGUUGACUGAGGCCGAGCAGGAGCGGUGGACGGAGAGAUUAGCUCGUUUUCGUCGAUUUGACCCACCGAUCUUCGAUGGCAGAGGCACUGAGGCCUGGAUUGUUGAGGGAUGGGUCAGUGCGAUGGAGAAGUUAUUCGAGGAUUUGUUCGUUCCAGAGGGGGAGCAGGUACCCCUGGGAGUACACUGUCUAGCAGGUGAUGCUCAUGACUGGUGGCGGAGAACGAGGCGAGACCAGGGGCUAGUGGCGGCGCAGCUGAGUUGGGACGAGUUCUGUGGAAUGCUGUUUGGGAUGUUCUUUCCCAACAGUGUGAAGCAGAAGCUCGAGGAGGAUUUGAGGAGGCUUCAGCAGGGAGAUCGCCCAGUGCAGGAGUAUGUUCGGGAAUUUACUCGACUCCUGAACUGUGUACCAUUUGCGGCCAGAGACGAGGCGCACAGGGUAUACAUGUUCGAGCAGGGGCUGAGACCGGACAUCUUCAGGUUAGUGCGGGCGCAGAGGUCGAGGACCCUGGAUGCGUCCAUAGAGCAGGCCCUAUGGGUGGAGAGAGGUGAGGUGUCGCUGCAGGAGAGGACUCAGGCCGCGGGGCAGGGUCAGGACAGGAAGCGCCCCUUUCCAGAUGACGGAGGGCAGUCGAGCAGCAAACGUCCGCCGAGACCUCCACGAUCACGUUCUCAGGGUCGUGGGUCUUCGCGGCGUCAGCAUUCCAGGGGAUCCCGUCAGCAGGGGCAGACUCAGAGGACGUCACAGUGUGUGAUCUGCGGGGGACCACACUGGCCUCGGCAGUGCGAGCAGAGAGAGGGCAGGUGCUACGGAUGUGGUCAGCCGGGACACAUGAGGGCAGCUUGUCCCCAAGCAGCAUCUCCAGCACCGUCAUCAGCUUCGGCACCACCAGCACCACAGCAGUCUUACAGAGCAGCACCGAGCUACCGCCAGGAGGACAGAUCGUCUGUGCCGCGGUCGAGUGAGCGGCGACAGCAGGUUCCGAGUGGCAGGGUCUACGCAGCUCAGGUGGAGGACUCUUCAGCAGCCGACCGAGUAGUGGCAGGUAUCAAUUUGAUUUCUGGCAUUAGAGUUCGCACUCUUUUUGAUACCGGUGCAUCGCAUUCCUUUGUUAGCCGAGCAUUUACAUUGUUGCAUGGUCUAGAGUUAGGAGCGUUGUCUCAGGCACAAGAGGUGCAGAUUUCCGACCAUGUCUUGCAGGUUACAGAGUGUUGUUGGUCCUGUCCGGUGCACUUAGACUCUUGGAUCAUGCCCGCAGACCUGUUGGUGUUAGGGCAGUUGCAGGACUUCGACGUAGUGCUCGGUAUGGAUUGGCUGGCGCGGUACUAUGCUACGAUCGACUGUGGAGCGAGGACGGUGACGUUCCGCGAGCCAGGCCAGGAGGAGUUUACUUUCAGAGGCUGCAGGAGCACGCUGUUUGCCACCUGGAUAUCUUCGGCGAGGGCUCGACAGAUGCUGAGCAGUGGGUGUAUCGCUUUCCUAGCGACAGUUGUGGAGGUACCUACGGCGGCGCCGAGACUCGAGGACAUCCCAGUAGUCCGCGAGUUUUCGGAUGUGUUUCCCCCUGAGUUGACGACAUUGCCGCCGGAGAGGGAGAUUGAGUUUGUGAUUGAUGUAGUUCCUGGAACUGCACCAAUCUCAAAGGUACCUUACAGGAUGGCACCGGCAGAGCUGAGAGAGCUAAAGGCGCAACUUCAGGAUCUGAUGGAUAGAGGGUUUGUGAGACCCAGUGUGUCGCCUUGGGGAGCGCCGGUGUUAUUUGUAAAGAAGAAGGAUGGUUCGCUCAGGUUAUGUGUGGAUUACCGGGAGCUGAAUAAAGUGACCAUCAAGAACAAGUAUCCUCUGCCGCGCAUUGAUGAUCUAUUCGAUCAGCUGCAAGGAUCUUGUGUCUUUUCGAAGAUUGAUCUCCAGUCAGGUUACCACCAGCUGAGGGUGAGGGCCGAGGAUGUUCCCAAGACGGCUUUUCGGACUCGGUACGGGCAUUAUGAGUUCACGGUGAUGCCUUUUGGAUUGACGAAUGCCCCUGCCGCAUUCAUGGAUUUGAUGAACAGAGUGUUCAAGCCGUUCUUGGAUAGGUUUGUGGUAGUCUUCAUCGACGAUAUCCUGAUUUACUCCCGGAGUGAUGCUGAGCAUGAGGAGCACUUGAGGAUUGUGCUACAGCUUCUGCGCGAGAAGAAGUUGUAUGCCAAGUUAAAGAAGUGCGAGUUCUGGCUACGGGAGGUUGCUUUCUUGGGCCACGUGAUUUCAGCUGAGGGCGUAGCAGUGGACCCGAAGAAGAUUGAGGCGAUUCGAGAUUGGCCUAGACCGACGACGGUUACUGAGGUACGGAGCUUCCUGGGACUGGCAGGAUAUUACCGUCGGUUUGUGGAAGGCUUUGCGAAGCUUUCCACACCCCUCACACGCUUGACGCGGAAGGGGAUUCGUUUUGUCUGGAGCGACGACUGUCAGAGGAGCUUUGACGAGUUGAGAUUGAGGUUGAUGUCGGCUCCUAUCCUUGCCCUUCCUGUUAUGGGCGAAGGAUUUGUGAUCUACAGUGAUGCAUCGCACAGUGGACUUGGUUGCGUGCUGAUGCAGCAUGGUAGGGUGAUUGCUUAUGCUUCACGGCAGUUAAAGGAUUAUGAGAAGAAUUACCCUACGCAUGACUUGGAGCUUGCCGCGGUAGUUUUUGCUCUAAAGCUCUGGCGGCAUUACUUGUACGGCGAGCACUGCGAGAUUUUUACUGAUCAUAAAAGUCUCAAGUAUCUUUUCACCCAAAAGGAGUUGAAUUUGAGACAGUGCCGGUGGUUGGAGUUGCUGAAGGACUAUGACAUCAGUAUCCAGUAUCAUCCCGGCAAGGCGAAUGUGGUGGCAGAUGCGUUGAGCAGGAAGGCAGUGCAGAGCAUAAGUAUGUUGAUCACUCGGCAGAGACCGUUACUCGAGGAGCUUAGACGGCUGGGACUCGAGGUGGUUUCCCCUGGAUUUACUGCGAGAUUGACGUCUAUGAUCUUACAGCCCACUCUGUUGGAUAGGAUUCGAGAGAAACAGAGUGGAGAUCCACACUUGUCGAGGAUUCGAGAGCAGCUUGAGAGGGGACAGGCCGAGGGCUUUGUUGUGGACAGCUCGGGAGUACUGCGGUACAGGGACCGACUGUGUGUACCUAUGGAUUCAGAGAUCCAAGAGGACAUCUUGAGAGAGGCUCACUGUUCACCUUAUACGGUUCACCCCAGUGGAACCAAAAUGUAUAAGAAUUUAAAGGCUCAGUUUUGGUGGAAUGGAAUGAAGAGGGACAUUGGUAGAUUUGUGGCUCAGUGUCUGACUUGUCAACAGGUAAAGGCCGAGCAUCAGGUACCUACUGGCAAGCUUCAGAGUCUACCAGUGCCCGAGUGGAAAUGGGAGCAGAUCACGAUGGACUUUGUCGUCGGAUUGCCGAGAGCACAGGGUGGUUUUGAUACAAUUUGGGUGAUAGUGGACAGACUAACCAAGUCUGCUCACUUCCUACCAGUGCAGACCACUUUGUCCAGAGAGAGACUCGCUCAGUUGUACUUGGAUGAGAUAGUGAGGUUGCAUGGCGUGCCCACUUCGAUAGUAUCUGACCGGGACCCGAGGUUCGUAUCGCACUUUUGGAGGAGUCUUCAGACGGCCUUGGGCACUCAGUUGCAAUUCAGCACAGCGUUUCACCCACAGACAGAUGGACAGUCAGAGCGGACCAUUCAGACUCUAGAGGACAUGCUGAGGGCAUGUGUCCUGAAUUUUGGAGGAGGGUGGUACCGGCAUUUGAGACUGGUUGAGUUUGCGUACAACAACAGCUAUCAAGCGAGCAUCCAGAUGGCUCCGUUUGAGGCGUUGUAUGGACGCAGAUGUCGAUUCCCUUUGUUUUGGAGUGAUGUGGGUGAGAGGAGGACGCUUGGGCCUGAGAUUCUUAUUGAGGCUGAGGAAAAGGUAAAAGAGGCGCGACGGCACAUAUUAGCAGCCCAGAGUCGACAGAGGAGCUAUGCUGAUACCCGGAGACGAGACUUGGAGUUCCAGGUGGGAGAUCAUGUUUUUCUUAAAGUCUCGCCGUCCAGAGGGAUUCGCCGAUUUGGAGUACGUGGAAAGCUCAGUCCACGUUUUGUAGGCCCUUUCGAGGUAUUGGAGCGAGUCGGGCCAGUUGCUUACAGGAUUGCUCUACCACCACGGCUAGCCGGCAUUCACGAUGUGUUCCACGUCUCGGCUUUGAGGAAAUAUGUGUUCGACCCCUCCCACGUGAUUGACUUCACUCCGCUUGAGAUUGGCGAGGACCUGAGUUACGAGGAGCGACCGGUGCGGAUUCUGGCUCGUGAGUCGAGGGAAUUGCGCAACCGGGUCAUACCCUUUGUAAAGGUGCAGUGGAGUAAUCAUGAGGAGCGGGAGGCGACUUCGGAGCCGGAGACGGUGAUGAGGGAGUCCUACCCCUACCUGUUUGAGGCCCUGGAUUGAGGUAUGUGUUCAGUUUCGCGGACGAAACUUUUUGUAGUGGGGGAGGAUGUAGUGUUCCUGAGCUUUGGAUAGGAUUGGCUUCAGUAUUAGUGACUGGUCGACAUCUCUGGAGAGUGUCGGACUGAGUCGGAGUCAAUUCUGCACGAAUUGGAUGCAGAAUUGGACUCGACGCACUCAAAUAAGCAAAACUGGAGUUUUGCCAGAUUCGGGCGCCCAGAAAAUGUUUAGGGUCGCCCAGAAACGAGUGUUGAAUUUUACUGAAACUGGAAGCCAAUUCGGAUCCCAUGUUCCGGGCGCCCAGAAGUGGGUCCGGAAAUUUCACCUCGUGAAUAUCGCUUGCUUCGACGCGUGGCAGGGCGGUAGGUGAGUUCCGCCGGUGCCAUUUACGGGCGCAGCACACCGCGAGCGGAGAGUCCGAGGAGCCCGGUUUGUGCAGUCAGGAUGUUCUGGUCGCCCAGAACAUGUUUCCGGGCGCCCAGAAACGCCCGUUUCUGCAGGGACACUGGAUAGCAGCUUAAGUUCCUGAGGCUUUUUGGAACGCUUCAACUCACUAUAAAUAGUUGGAAUGCGUCCCUUUGCUGCUCUUUUCUUCCCUCCUUCACAGAGAAACCCCUUUUAGCAUCUCAAACCUCGGAUUUGCUUCAAAUUGCAUCAAACUUCCAUUGAUCCAGCUUGAUGGUGUGCUGAUUCUGCAGUUCUUCAGCGUCGACCUCCAGUGUUUUGGCUCGUGUGCGACGUAGGAAGAUCGGAUUUCGACGAAACUUGGUUUGCUGGAUUCUAGACUUCCAGAGGAAUCCACGAAGCCCUGAAUUGCAGAUUUUGAUUGAGGUUAGCUUGGUCGAACUAAGGUUUUUCUGGACUGCUGUUGACAUUGAGCUGAAAAUUGGAUUUUUGAGCUUUUCUUGAUGCUAACUUUGUAGGCAGUGGGAUUUUAGUCCUGAGACUGAUCACCCCUCAGUAUUUGCUGGAUUUGGAACUGUCCUCACCUGAUUUGGAGAUCAUUAGGUGAGUUUUGACAUUGGAGUUGAGAUGAAUUAGCUUAAGUGCUGAAAUUUUGGCUAUUUGAUGAUUUUUAUUGGAUUUUUGGGUGAAUUGUAAAUCCAGAUCUUAAGGGGCUUUGUUGCUGGUUUGGAGGGGUUUCCAGCAGUGUUGCUUGAAGAUCCGAGACCCUCUUGCUGCCAGGAAUUGCAUUAGAGGUGGGUGUAUCAUCGGUUUCGCUCCUAAGUGCAUGUUUAGUCGACGUGUAUAGUUCGAUUUUUGUAUAUCAUGCUUUAAUUCAUCGAUUAGCAUUUUGGAUGUAAUAUGAAUAUAAAAGCAUGCUGAAAUGAAUGUUUAUAUUAUACAUGUUGGACUUGAAAUUUGACUUAGGAGAAAACCUGCGUUUUGACCCGUCAUAUGCUUAAACUACCAGAUUUAGCUCUAGGAGCCGUGAUUCGAUUGUAUCGUUGCAGUAUCAGUGCGAUGGAUACCUGGGGUAGUUUAGAAGGCAUUUACGCUCGUGCUGGGGUGCCGAGCUUAUUUUUCAGCAGAGUUUAGGCUGUUUCGGGUCGUUGGGUGCCGUUCGGGUUAGCGGUGGACCCAGAUUCUUGUUUUGGUCACAGAUUGUGCCGAGGGCACGUGGGUUUGGUUUGUAGACCUGUUUUGACCCUGUUCACUUGACUUUGGCUAGUUGGAGCCUGAUUGAGCUCGACAGAGAUACGCUGCAUACUCGGUUGGGUAGCGCCCACGAGUGCCACUCCGGAGUCAGGCUUUGUGCUUUCGCGUUGAUGUCACUCAUGCCAGUUGGACUUGCUCUCCACGGAUCAGUUAGUGUGGAUAGAGCCCGAUAGUCGCAACGGGGCAGGGACGGGUGUAUUCACAGUCCCGGGGACGGGUAUGCUUACAGUCCCGAUUGGAUUGGGUCAGGUUUGACAUUUCCUACAGUUGGUUAGUGUAGAGCAUGUUAGUAUAGUGACUUGUAGCGGUUGAGUUUAUUUCCUGCUUUUUGGCUAUUCUUGCUCCCUUCUGUAGACUUAGUGGGUGGACCGAUGUUGUUUUGGGCGGUACCCACUGAGGACUACUUGUUUUUACAGUAGUUCUCACGCCCAGUUGUUACCCAUCUUUUGCAGAGCCACAGGUUUCGGUUGCUGCGCCUUCCGCGGAUCAGGAUCGAGGCAAGGGCGUCGUGAGUUAGAGCCCUACCCGACUGACAGAGUUAGAGGCACCCUACUGCAGGUAGAUGUUUUGUUUCGAGUUUAUGUACAUAGUGGACUUAACUCGCCAGUGCGAGUAGCUUUGUAUUUUGGAUUUGGACUAUGUAUAUGAAACUCAGUUUGUUUAGCUUCUGUUUUCUCUAGCAGCUCUCUACUACUGUUCGUAGUAGUGUUUGAUUUACAGGUACAGCAAUCGCUUCGUAUAUAGGGGAAAUUCCUUUGUAUACGGCGGAUUUGUCGGCGCGCCCGGGAAAAGUGUAAUCCGGGGCGUGACAUUUAUAUAAGUUCAAUUUUCGAUAAAUAAAUGCUGCUUUUAAAAGCAAAAAAUAAUUCACGGUUUUCCAAACAAAAUUAUUUGAGGACUGUCUAGAAGGAUGCUACGUGGCUAGAUUGCCCAGCAAAAAGCGGCGAACAUACCAAUCCUAAAAAUUUGCAAAGUUUGGAUAUAUUGUUGUAAAUAUAUAAGUAUAGAGAUUAGAUUAUAAAAUAAUAUGAAAAGUGUUGAUAGAUUGAUCAAGUCGAGACACAAAAAUUUCACUUUCUUUAAAGACAUUCAACUCCUCUGUGGUUGGCAAAAUUCUCAAAUCGAUACAACAAAAUAAUUACUUAUCCCCUAAGAUGCCCAAGUUACAAUGGCUCAAUUCUCAUCAUAUGGCUUCACCAAUUCUACAUAAGUAGAUAAGUCUAAAACUCCACCAAAAAAUUUUUCUUUUGCCUCUCUCAAUAAGAAUAAUAGAAUAUAGGUUAGUUAUGUUAUUACCUUUUUUUGUCGACCCAAUAUGGAGGAGCUCUCAAUAUAUAGGACUAGGAGUUACUAGAACACGUUAAAAAUUUAGUAGCAAACUUAAAGAUUCGGAGUUAAAAGAAAUAAAGAGAAAUGUUUAAAAAUAAGUAUAAAUAUGUUAUGAAAUUUAGAAAUGCAAGAGCAAAGAACUUGUAACUUCAGUUACAACUCCACCAUAAUUUCAUAGGGUAUUAAAAAUAAAAUUAAUGUUUUAUUUAAUAAUAAAAUGUUCCAACAUAAUAUAUAUGUAAUUUAUGUUUGAAAAGUAUAGUAACAGGGAAGAAGUUGCAAGAGUGAAGUUGUAACCUCACUUGCAAUUCCACCAUAAUUUUAUAGAUUAUUAAAGAAAAAAAUUAAUAUUUUAUUUAAUAAUUAAAUAUUUCAACAUAAUAUAUAGGGCUUUUUUUGCAAAUGGUCCUAUGAAAAAAUUUUAUCUUAAAACUAGCCUCAACAAAUUUAUAAUUGCAAAAUGGCUCUAUUCCUGCCACGCAGGCGCUACGCAAGUGCCACGUGGGUGGCUGGGAGCUUGCUUGGUAAGUUGAACACGGUGAAUCAUUCACCAUGUUCAAACACGGUGAAUAAUUCACUGUAUUCCGUACUUAUAUUCUCCCUAUUAGGGAUGUCAAUGAGUCGAGCUUGGAUCGGAUUUUCAAAAACCUGAACCCGAACCUGAAAAACAAAUUAAAAUCCGAACCCGGUGGGUUUUAAAAAUUCAUACCCAUAUCCAUACCCGACCAAAAACCCGAAACCCGAACCCUGUUAAGGACUUUUUCUAAGUUGGCGGAUUUCGUGAAGUCGAAUGGAGUCUUGAGGAGUUGAAAACAAAGAUUGAAAUGAAGAUUGUGUGAUUCCAGAUGAAAAGACUCGUUUGUGAUGUUCGGUAACUCAGGUACGUGUGUUAAUAAUUUAUGGUGAAAAUCUACACAUGUACACGUGUUUGGAAGACUUAGAAUUGUUUUCAAAAUGUAAAACUGAAAAAUCUGAGUUUUCGAGGUUCGGGAUCCGGACCCUGGGUGUAGGGUCCGGACCCCGUAGGUCCCCUCUGCAUGUACGCAGCGAGGGUUCGGACCCUGGAGCUAGGGUGCGCACCCCGUAGGUUUGUAUUUUUAACACGCACCGAGGGUCCGGACCCUCGGGUUAGGGUCCGUACUCCGUACGUUGUAUUUGCUGUUAUGCAAAGAGGGUCCGGACCUUUGAAGCCAGGGUCCGGACCCUUCGGGAGGUCCGAACCCUCCGCCCGAUUUCAAAUAUCAAAAUCGUCUGAUCUCUUUCAUACUUUACCCUUUUCUUCUAAAACUUCUCCCACGAGCCUCCUACGCCUCCUGGGUGAUUUUGCUUUCGUUCUUCGCCGUUUUCAUCUUGUUUUCGGUAAGAUUUUCAAAUCUUCUUUAUUUCUUGUUAAUAUACUCGAAAAUAUGGCUAUUUUUGUGAUUUCUCUUGUUUGAUCCGUAAAUCUUGCUUAAUCUCUUGUUUUAUGCCUCUAACUUCAUUCUAAACUAGUUAGAGAAGAUUAUGUAGUGAUUUUGCAUGAUUUGGACCAUCUAUUUGCUUAGAUCUGUUCCGGCUUUGGACAUCGAAAAUAAUAUGCCUAUUUUUUUGAAAAUGACGGCUUUUGCAUAUUAUUUUGCAUUGAUUAGCAUUGCUUUCUGAUGGAUAUUGUUCAUUCAUGGAUACAUGUGGCCCUAGGAAUUUCUAGAUAUUUUUUCUGUAAUUUUUGAAAUAUACUUGAAAAUGUGCUAUUUAUAUGUUAAAUUUGUUCUUUCAAAAUGUCAAAAACAGGGAUUUCUUGCAAGAUGUAUUCACUACUGUUAGUCGUUGUGUUUCUUAUGACUGGUGCGGGUGGUGGUAGUAAGCGCCGCCGCUUCGGCUCAGCAACCUGCAACUAGAGUUGAGGAUGUGGGCAGUGAGUAUGUUCCUGCCGAUGAUUCUAAAACUGAAUUGACUGAUUGGGAAUCUCUUACUUCUGAGGUUCUCUCAAAGAAGAAAGGAAACGAAAAAGGAAAAGAGCCAGCGGGUCAAGGAAAGGGGAAAGAAAAAUUACCUUCGACUCGUGGCAGGAAACGAACUGGGGGAGUCGAGAUUCGUGAGCCUGUCGCUGAUCCUCCACAUUGCAACUUGCAAGAUGCUCCGGUGUCAUCAAAACGCCGGUCUAUGUUUUCAUCUAAAGUGUGCAUUGGUGAGCGACAUGUGGGUGUUAGACAGCUGAUUAGUGAAGCACCAGUUUUUCAGGCCCUAUAUCAGAAUGGUGAUCUUGCAGAAAUAUGUUCUUUUCCUGAGCAGAGUGGUUAUUGCCUGGAGUUGAUUCGGGAAUUUUAUAUGCGGGCUGGCUCUCUGUAGGAUUCAGAUGAUGGUCCUUAUACAUUUCAGACGACUGUUCAAGGUAUUUCUUUGGAGAUUACACCACUUGUUGUUGCAUCUACACUUCCUAUGCAAGCUCGCACUGACGGAGUUGAUUAUCUCCACGCGGGUAUUGACUCACUCCGGGAUUGGCGCCGCGUAGUGAAUGGGAUUAUAAUAUCAUGCCCACAAUGAACACGAAGGUCGUGCGUUGGGACCGGCUUCUCUACAUGUAUCUACUUGGGCAUCUCGAUGAGGUGAGAGCACGUGGGAUUAAUUUAAAUGUUCCUUUUCUGGUUUGGCGUCGGAUGACGAAGGAUAUGAAAUGUCCGGACCCUGAGACCGUAUUUUCGUUUUUAAAAUCAUGUUUUUAAAUCCUAAUCUAUCUAUAAGUCUUCUAAACCUAUAAAUAAGCUAUAGGGAGCAUCCUAUGAUAUAUGCUUAGAAAGAAGAAUCUUUAGAAACCCUAAAAACUUGUUCUUGGAUCUUUUUCAAAUUAUGUCUUAAAUACAAGUUUUUAUUUUUCAAUCGCCGACUUGAUUUAAAGGUUUCUCCUCGUAUCUUACGAUCUUUCUAAGAAAUUGAAUCACCACCAAUUAUUAUCUUCUACGAGCUCCGGAUGAAGUGUUGGCGCGAGGACUUCGCGUGAGGCCAUGGAUUCGGUGGACGCUUGAGGAUUCGAGGCGUUGUUGCUGCGAGGAUUUGCAGCGUGAUCGAUUGGAGGAGUUCGAUCGAUCAAGGACCGGCGAAGACGAUCUACGACGAGGAUUCGGUAAAAGUUGGGUCGUGUAUUUGGUAAAUCACUUUGUACUCAAUUUUUAAUAGUGGAUUGUUUCGUGUGAUCGGUCCCGUAGGUUUUUUACUCCGAGUUGGAGUUUCCAACGUUAAAUCUCGAUGUGUUGAUUUUAAUUUUUCGCAUUUAGUUUAAAUUUGCAUCGAGAAUUUUUAUUUUGUACCUAUUCACACCCCUCUAGGUAUUAUUUAUCUUUUAGAUCUUUGGGAUCCAUAUCUCACAAACCCAAAUCCGAACUCGAUGGGUUUUAAAAAUCCAUACCGUUGGAUGAAGAUCUAAGGGAUAAAAAUUUUUAAACAUUUUAUAUAUUGUAUAAAUAAAUAAAAAUAAAUUAUGUAUAUAAAUAAUUUAUUCGGGUAUGGAUUCAGAUAAUAUUUCGGGUAUCCAUACCCAUUGACAUCUCUACUCUCUAUUCCGCUUUUCAAUAUUUAUAUUGCGAAAAUAUAUAUAUUUGUAUUUUCUCUAGACACGAUAAACCAUUUAUCGUAUUUGGACACGGUGAAUAGUUCACUGUGUUCAACUUAACACCCUGGCUCAGCCCCCAUUGCGUGGCGCUGAAAUGGCAUCUGCGUGGCAAUGUCAGGGCCAAAAGUGCAAAUAUAAAUUUGCUGGAGCUAUUUUUAAAAUAAAUUUUUUCUAGGGGCUAGAUGCAAAAGAAGCCCUAAUAUAUAUAAUUUAUGUUUAAAAAGUAUAGGAACAGAGAGGAAGAACAAAAUAAAAAAAAUUUAAGGAAGUAAAAAAAAUGGAGAUCUUUCUUCUUGCAUUAGAUUUGAUUAAAUUUAGGGUUUCUAAGAUAUAAUAGCCUAUGUGCAAGAUUAAAAAGCAAAAGAAAAAUUCUUAGGCAUCGUUUAGUUUGAAAAUAAAGUAUAAUUAUUCUUGAUAUAAAUAAACUUUUAGAAUAAGCAAAAAUAAGAUCAAUUUUGUAUUUGGAUGAAAAUUGAAUUGUUCUUGGGAAUUAAAAAUAGUGUUUGAAUAGUUAUAUUCAAAUAUUGAGAAUAAAAAUAAUUGAAAUUAAAAUAAUAAUAUUUUAUCUAUUAAUUAAUAUAAAAAUAUUAAGUAAAUAACAAUUAACAUAUUUAAUUAACUAAUUAAUCAUAAAUACUGCUAGAUAUUCCCUAAAUUUUAAUUAAUAAGUUAAUUAACAAUGAGUACUAUUAAUUAGUAAUUUAAUUAAACAUAAGUAAUUUAAUAAAUUAAUAAUUUAAUAAAUUAAUAAAUUAAUAAAUUAAUUAGUUAAUUAUUUAAUAGUUAGAUAAUUAGUUAAGAAAAUGAUUAGAGUAGUAAAAAAAUAUAAUUAGGUAAUCAAUAUAAAAAUAUUAGUUAUAGUAUAAACACACUAAAUACACUAAAUAAUUAAUUAUUUAACUCGGACUAGCACUCGAACGGGGAAUUCUUCUACCCCGAGUCCCAAUAAUGAUUUUUUUAACUAAGAAUUUCACACAAUGGUUUUUUUAGAGGAUUUCAUAUUUCAUAAUAUCUCGCACUAGAUAAUUACUCUUCACCUCUCCCCCUUUUCUCUUUUCUCCGCUUCCUCCCUUCAUAGAGCUCUUGACUCAUCCCAUUCUUUGAAUUGCGUCGUCGAAUCGAUUCCACCCUCUGCUUUCCCUUCCACCGUCGUUCAAGGCCGCUUACUGUGUCGACCAUCUUUCGAGCGUGCCCAACCGCUUGUCCCCACACCUAGCUGCAAUGGCAGUGGCGACGACGAUUUCUAUGGCAUCGUCGUUCCGCCUCCUUCGCAGCCCUAUGACGUUCGUGAGCUCCCGCUGACCUCAAAGAAGGAGCGAGCCCACUGUCGGAAAUAGACUUUGCUGUCUCCUAGCACCUGCGUCUUGAUGACUAGAUAAAGCUAAAUAUUGACGGCUUCUUCAUUGGAAGAGACUCAAGUAGAGGUGCGGAGCUUACGGCCAGAGACUCUGAUGGCCUCUUCGUCUUUGUCGGAGCCUCUUCGCCUUUGUCGGAGCUUCAUGCUAUUUGGACGUCCAUCUUGGAGAGCCAACCAAACGAUUGGCGUCGACGGAGAUAACCAAGGUCGGCUUUUCGCACGUCAUCUUGGAGAGCGACUCGUUCUAGGUGAUCCACUUCUUCAGUAGGGGUAUCAAAAGUGCACACUAGGGGACAACACAGUCAGUGAAAGAGUGCUUGCAAGAUCAUUAUUCAGCACUGUAAUAACUGUCAUUUUUUUUUAGAAAUUAAACCCUUUGUUGACAAUGUUUCUGUGUGUAACGUAAUUAUAAAAGCACACGUCAAAUUUCAGGCGAAACCGAGCUAAAAUGGAGAAGUUAUGAGACCCGGAUGUUCGACUUAAGUGAAUAGUAACUCCGGUUUUCCGGAGAAGCCACGAAGCAAACUUGGCCUCUGGCGCGUACAGACCUCUGAAUAUAGGACUCCAAUAGCUCGUUUUGAACCUCUCGACUAUACUGGAACCAUUGGCGCUGACAGAAUCGGAUUCUGAUGUAUGGUUUUCGAGAAAAAGGAGUUUUAUCAAAAAAGAGGGUUUUCGUUCUUCGCUAUUCUUGCGUUAUGACACCCCUCGUGAUCUGUGUAUGUGACCAAGAGUAAGGUGAGGGAUGUUAUAGAUACCUACUAGUGGUAGGAGAUUCAAAUUUGAAUUUGAAUCAAAGGAUUUAGCGGGAUUAAACAUUGGUAUGUGUGUGUGGUUUUUGAAAUUGAGAGCGGUACGGAUUUCGUCGUGAAUCGGAGGUCAAAUCUGACGAAACAAAAUGGCAGUUUUGAUGCCCUCGUCGUGCUGAACGCGAUGGUGCAAUCCGUUCGGAAAUCCGAUGAACGGAUUGUCCGAUAAUGCAUGAAGUUUAUAAGAGGCUCGAAAGUGGCAAAACGGAAAAUCCCGCGAAAAGCGCGACAUUUAUGUAUCGAACGUGUGAGAUCAAACAUAGAGGUGUGUUAGCGCAAUCACUCACGCUGUGAAGGCUGGGUUGCAAAUAUUGAUUUUUGGGGGACUAGUUUUGCAUUUUAUGCAAAAUAUAUAUUGGGUAGCUAGGUUUUCACCAUGGAAACCCUAGACCAGCCGUUACCAAUCCCCAACUUCGCCCUAACCGACACCUCUGCACACCUGCCCAACCCUUGCGCGCACCCCGGCCGCCGCAGGUGCCCGGCCGCCGAAAACUCGAACCCCGGCCACCCCUCCCAUCAUUCCCUCUCAAUUAACCCACCAACCUCCUCCAUUACUAUACGUGGGCAACCCAGGAAUGUUCUCACCCUCGGGCCCCUCCCUGGCCAUGCCCGACUCCGGCGACUGCCGGCGUGCCGUCGUCACCGGCCCCGCGCGCAGCCGCUGCUGCCUUGGCAGCCUGCAGCCUUGCUGGCCGAGCUCGGGCCGGGACCGAGCUGCUGCUGGCCUGCGCGUCGCCGCCACCUGGUGACGGCCGUGCCGCCUCCCGCCGGCCUCUGACAACCGCUCGCCGUCGCCCGGAGCUCCCCCAGCCGUUCUCGUGGCCGCCGGCCGCCGCUCCCUCUCCCUGCGGCCGCGCAAGGUUUGCGGGCCGAGCCGCACCCCACCGCCGGCGCGCCUCCCCACCACCUCUGACCGUCGCCGCCGACCUCUGGGAGGUCACCGCCGCCGCCCUGAGCCGUUCCGAGGUCGCCGUCGCCGGAGAAGCCGAACCCAAGCUCCUCUCUCCCCGCGCGGGCUCGGUUUGGUCCAGCACCGCUGCAGCCGCCUUCCGCCGUCGAACGACGUGAGCACGGGUCCCUCCUGGUCGGCCGCACUCGUCCGCCGUCGUCGCCCGCGCCGCCGGAGCUCCUCGUCGGCCGGAGCGAGCCGUGUCCUCUUCGGGUUUGGAUGCCUAGGGCAUCAUUGGCCGUCGCCGCCGCCGCUUCCAGCCGCCAACCGAGAUGAGCACGGUACUCCUCACCUCCCCCGCACCCGUCCCUGGCCGCCGCGCAUGUCGCCGUGCUGCCGGAAGCCGGCCGGAGCAACCUUGCUCCGGCCAAGCCCGAAAUAGGGCUUAGUUUAGGACGGAUUCGUGUUCUGAGCUUCCCGAGCCUCCCUGAUCAAUACGGAAGGGAGCACGAUGAUCGUGACUCAUUUCUGAUCAUUGUGCUCACCUUGGAUUUUGCCGGGGAGACUCCGUUCCGCUGUUUCGGCAGUGUCGACCCUGUCAAGCCUGUUUGGCUGCUGUUUUUGGGUUUACGCACGCUUAUCCGGCGAUCUGAGGCUGUCCUGAUGCCUCCGGAGGUGAGCACGGUGAUCGUGGGUCAGUGCUGAUCACAUUGCUCACCUCACUUUGGAUCAACAGUGUCCGGUCAGCCCUGUUUGGCGCGAUCUUCCCCGACUGCGCGCUGUUCGUAGAACUUCGGGUUGCUCCCGCGCUUCCCACAGUGACCUGUUGCGCUCCAGACCGUGAGCACGGCCUCCGGCACGUCGAGACCUGUCAGUACGUGUCUCGGCGGAACUUAGAGGUCCUCAGUUUGUGAGAACGAGUCAUAGGAGUCGCCCGAUUUACAUAAAAUGAUGGAUUUUAUGUAAACAUAGGGGCUUUUGUGCAAUUGUACGCCUUGUGGCUACUGUGGGCAGCGUGUAAGUGUGUGUUUGACCUCUGGACUGAGUGUCCAUGAUCCUGUAGUUUUCGCGGAAAUCGAAAGGUCGAUUUCGGUGCGUUUUUCGACGAAAUUCGUCGAAAGAACGCGAUUUCGGUUCGGAUUCUUUUCGACAGUGUUUGUUUGCUCUGUGUUUUGUCGCUGAGCCUUGUUGGCUGGUCACCAUCAUUAUUUUGUAGGUUCGAUGAUGAUAGGUGAGCGACGGAGGGUUCCGGUGUCGAAAUAGACACUUUCGGGAACCCGGAUUCGUACAAUUAUCCGGCGAUAAUUGUGUAGGGGUGUUAUCUUGUGUUUGCUGCCAAAACAUCCAAAUUGGAGUGUUUUGGGGCAGCAGGUGACUCGUGACACGAGUCGGUGAGUUUCGGGACACUUAGUGGGUCCCGACGGCGUCCCAGUGUGGUUUUCGGGACUUCCGGCGAGUUACGGUAAUCGGUAUUGGGAAACCGAUCUUCGUGGAACCGUUUGUGGGGUUGUGGAUACUGUGAUUAUUAGUUGUGGGUUAGAUACUAACCCGGUGGACCCUCUAUAGGUCCUGUCGACUUUCUUUUGCAGUCAGGAGACAGACGCGACAUCCGUACAGGUGGGUACUUCGAUCCGACGUUGGUACAGUGGUGCACGCUCGGUGAUGGUUUCUUACCCUUGUUCUUUUGUUAUUAUCCAUGCAUAUAUUAUAUGUUGAGCUUUGCACCUCUAUCGUUUACAUUACACCCACGUUGUUUGACUAUACUCUACUCAGACGUUUCCAUGCUUAGUAUUAUGUGUAGGAGUAUAAUCUAUCUGUAUGUGAUACCGUGUUUCUUUAUUGCUCUACUUAGCUAUUCUGCAAAUCCUGUAUCAUUUUUAGAGUAGAACAGUUUCGUGAUGUUAUGUGAAAUCGGUGACCUAGUUGAUUCGUUCUUGUAUCUUAUAUCUGUAAAUAGUCGGUUUGUUCCUUGACUCUUGUUGUUUGAUGACCUUUGAGGUCGGUGUACCCUGAGGGGUAGGAUUGUCGACUAGUGGCCGACGGUAGUUCUAGAUCAUAUACUCAGAUGACUUGUUGACCGAUUCUUGCAUAUAUACAGUAGUGAAUCAUUCGAAUCCAGUAGUGUUGACAUAACUGUGGUAGAUGUUGAGUUGUUGCCAUCAGUUUGACUUGAUUAUCAGUAUUUGCAUAUGUUUGAGAGGAUAUCGAUGUGUGUCCAUCCUAGUUGACCUGAGUGGUCGGUUCUUGUACUUCUUUACAGUUGAUGACCUAUGCGGUCGAUAGGCCCUGGGGGGCAGAUUGUCGGCUUGUUUCCGACGGUUGAUCAUUAACCAUAUUCAUUGAUCGCCCGAUACUCGUUGCAUUUCACGAACACUGUGCGCGUUGAUCCAACCAAGGAGUGUUCUUUUCCGGAAAAGUGGUUGAAUAGUGACAACCCGUGAGCCCUAGAGGGGUUAUUAUGCAUGUUAGAGCGACAGUGGUACUGUCGGAGUGUUUGCGGUGGGCGGGACCUCCAGGGCAUUGGCUUGAGGUUGCGGUGCUGACCAAGAGAGCAUUGGUUUAGAUUGGGUACUUUUGGACUGAUUGUCCAUUGACGCAUAUGUUAUAGUAGCAGUCGUUGCAUGCAUAUUACAUCUUACCUUAUAGUUGCUCUUGCUACUAUAGUAGAUAAUUCAUGUAUGCUUUCUGUUCUAGUUACAGUAGCGGUAGCCGUAUUAUUCAUAUAGUUCUUACUUCCUUUCAGUUAUCGCUAUUGUACAUGCGCCAUUCUUUGUUUAUUUCCAAGACCAAGUUGUUGUAUAGUUCUUCAUGAUCCGGUGAGUACUCCUCGCCUUCUUCGGCUUGCGACCCACUGGGAGGGGAGAAUGUUUACAUGUCUCACUCCCCCACCAUUUUUCAGGAUAUCGCGGGCGUUGAGUAGUAGACGAGACGUGAGGUGACGUGUGUAGCGGACGAUAGAGCUUCCGACCAGGUUAUUUCGGUAUAGUUAUUACCCUUAGUAUUCAGUUGUUAUAGCUUAGACAGUUAUUAGUGUUCGUAUUUUUAUUACAUUUGAAAAUAUGGAUUUUCGUGAUGUAAUAAAUGAAUUUUGUGAAAUAAAAGGUUUAUACCCUCGUGGUAGCGUUUGUAAAGAAUAAAGUUUUCGUGUAGGAAAACAUUUCGAAAGGUUUUCUGUGGAUUUUGCAUCUUAGCAUUUCAAAACAUGUUUCUGUGGUUGGAAACUUUUUAACUGAUAGAUGUGGAUUUAUGUUUAAAUAUCGAAUACAUAAAUGUGAACCCUGUGAUGUGAAUGGUGUAUGAAUAUAUAAUUGUUGGUUAUUGGUAUGUUCAUUUGGUUGUGGUUGUACCUGGGUUACUUCUUGAUACUGUGUGACGCGCGGCAAUACAGGGGAGACUCUGUCCGUGUGAACAGUGGAUUCCUGUGUUUGUGGCGGAUCUGGCAACUCUGGGUCAGGCUUUUCAAAAAAAAAAAAAAAAAAAAAAAAAAAAAAAUUCAGACGCUUUUCCGCUAUGUUUUAAACUAAAUGGGACCCCGGGGCGUGACAAGCACACGUACAAGGAGGGCAACACUAUCACCGAUCGUCUCGCUGCACCGAUCAUAAGUGCGUGAUGUUUUGCAAGAUCGUGUUCGGUAGGGAUAUAAAAAAUGCACCCUAGGGAACGAAACAGUCGGUGCAAGAUCGGUUAGUGAUAGUGCGAUUAAAUCUUUACAAAAACGAUUAAAUCUUUAAGACGUACUAAUAUUUCGCACGUCAUCUUGGAGAGCGACUCGUUCUAGGUGAUCCACAGGGGUAUCAAAAAUGCAAUUGUGACAAUUCAUCUUCGGUAGGCGCAUCAAAAUAUGCGAUUAAAUGUUUAUAAAAACGAUUAAAUUUUUAAGACGCACUAAUAUUUCGCACGUCAUCUUGGAGAGCGAUUCGUUCUAGGUGAUCCACCUCUUCGGCAGGUGUAUCAAAAAUGUGCCAUAGGGGACGAAACAAUCGAUGCAAGAGUGCCUGUAAGAUCAUUAUUCAGCACACGUACAGGGAGGGCAACACUAUCACUGAUUGUCUCGCUGUACCAAUCAACAGUGACAAAUCAUUUUCGUAAAGAUUUAAUCGCAUAUUUUGUUGUGAAAAAGAUUUUAAAGUAAUGUGAUUGUGAUUUUAGAUUAGUUACAAAAUAAAAACGGAACGAAAAAAUAUUAGUAUGUUUUCAAUCAUAUUCAAUCUUAAUUGUCUGAGGUCAUACUCUCAAUUCUAACAAAAUAAAACCUUCAGCUGAUUCUAUAAUUCACAAUUUCUAUUCUUGAAGGUGACAACAAAAAAAAACUUGCUUAGUUAAAAGUAAUUAGUCUCCAUUUUAUUUUGCUAUUAUGAAAACAAAAUAGGACAAAGAAGUUUUAAUUCACUUACAACUUCACCAUGGUUUCACAGGGUAUUAAAGAAAAAAAAUAAUAUUUUAUUUUAUAAUAAAAUGUUUCAACAUAAUAAUUUACGUUUGAAAAGAAAUUACAUAUAAUUUAUGUUUGAAAAAUAUAAAAACAGAGGGAAAGAAAAAAAUAAAUAAUAACUUAUGGGUAAACCGCAUACCCACCUGUUCAUUUGUAGGCAGGUAACGGUAAAGAUGAAAAAAAAAACUAAAGGAACUAAGACGACUCCAGCUUUUUGCAUUAGAUUCGAUUAAAUUUAGGGUUUUUAAGGUUUAAGACCUUGUGAAACCAUGUGUUAUGGCUCGAAUCUGUAGUCAAUUCUAUUUUCGAUAGGAGCAAUUGACAAUUGAAUCAUAUUUUUUUCAUUAUUUUACUAUUCAUAAUAGUGUAAAAAAAAGACAUGGCUCCAAUUGGAUUUUAAAGGUUUAAGAGCCUAUAAACAAAAUUAAAAAAAAAAAACUCUUUAGGUGCCAUUUAGUUUGAAAAUAAACUAUUUAAUAAAAUUAUGAAUUAGCAGCCGACGGAAGCUCUCCCGGCAUCCGGUGGGCCCAGCAGGACCCACUCCUCUGCCACUGGGUUCAUAAAAGCAAAACUUUCUCAAAACCUCGUCCUCUCUCUCUCUCUUCGUGGCGCCCGGUGUUGGUGCAGGCAAUGGUAGUGGAGACCAUGGUGGCGGCGGCGGCGGCGGCUCUUGCCCUCUCGAACACCAACAUCAAGUGUGACGUGUCCUUAAUUUUUUUCCUUUUUUAAAAAAUUUUUUUCGUGUCGUGAGAAUCAAUCAAUAAAUACAUUUUAGAUAAAUGCCUGGAUAAUAAUUUUAUAUCAUAAAAUUUACAUAAGGCUACAUCAUUUCAUUAUUAAUUAACUAAAAUUUCUUCGAAAACUAAGCAUUUUUAAAAUUUGACAGUACUCUAUAGAAAUUUUUAUAAAAUAAAUUUGAUGUGAAUGAUAACUACUAUACAAAACACAAAUUUGUUAAACUUAUUAUUUUGUGGACAAAUUGAUUUGCCUUUUACUAACUUUUCUUAAAGUUUUAAAAUGAUACAUCAUAGCUAUCUUUCCGGAAGUUUAAUCUUCCAAUAAUGUUGCUUUAAUUUUUUUUCAAGUGGUAAAUCUAACUCUAUCACAAUGGUAGAAAUGUAUUAAUACAAUAUUUUAUUUGUUUAUAUCUGUAUAUGUCUCUAUUGCAUUUGUCCUUCACCUCUCCGUUUACUUUAAAUUAUUAAAAUUCUAUAUAAAAUUUUUAUGGUGAUAAUUUUGCUUAAUUUUAUGUUUUUCUUGUUAAACAUUGAAUAUAUUUUAUAAGAUUCGAAUGUUUGGAGAGUAUUGAUUUCAAUGCACUUGGGACAAAAUUGCUUGUGCAUUUGAACAGUAUUUGUCACAUUAGUAAUUUUUUAAAUGUUGCAAAUGUUCUAGCUUUGCGUGUUACAAAUUAUUUCACACUAUCAUUAGAGCUGUAAUGACAGAUUCAUAUUUGGGCGGUUAUAAGACUAUCUUCAUCUCUCUUAUGAUUUAGUAUUUCUAAAGCUGGAUCACUUCUACAAGCUUACGAGAAAAGCAAUGACGAUAAAAAAAAUCAUUAAUCUGUAUUUGAUGAAAUACUUUUUAAUGGAUAACCUUCUUUUCUCCUCUAAGCUGUUUGCAUUUGCCGAACACAUCGAUACAAGUUUAAAUGGCAAAAAAAGUUGGAUGGCCAUUAGGUAACCACUGUUGUGAUUAAUUUGUUAGACAAUUCUAUUUUGGAUAAGAAGAAAAAAGAUAAAGUUUACUUCUUGAAAGUAAACUUUCUGAGCUUAUCAUUGAUUUGUACUAAUCCUUCUAGAUAUAUAUUGUCAAUCUAUUAAUUGUUUUGAUAGUUAUAAUAUAGGCAUUAUAUUAUUGUUUUGUUAGUUAUAAUAUAGGCAUUUAUAAUAUAGGCAUUAUAUUAUUUAUUUGCUAAAUAAUUAAUAAUAAUUUUAUGCCCCAAAAGAAUAUUCUUGCACCAUUGUAGUUAUGGCGUAUUAGAUUUAAUGUUUGGGCCAAUGAUGAAAUUGCAUUUUGUUGAACUUUUGUCGUGCUAAGUAGCAAAGUAGCAUAUACGGAGUUAAUUGCUAUGGAAAUGUUUCUUUCACUAAUUGUUUCUUUCAAUUAGCAAAGAGCAUUUUACUCCUUACGAAUAAUAAAGUAUGUCUAAAUGCCAGGUGAAUAUUUGGUAUUACAUAACAAUUUUGAAUAAUUUGCUGAAAUAUUCAUGUACAUUGUAAAAUUUAAAUUACACUUCAUUAAAGAUAUCUAAACAUACUUGAUUAUUUUUAAAGAAACAAUUAUUUUAUAGAAAUAGCGAGUCUACAUAUAAAAUGAUUUACAUGUACAAAAUAUAUAGUAUAAUAAUGUACAUUAUUUCUGAGCUAGGCUGGUAUACUAUCGGUAGCACGGUGGCCUCCGUGCUACCAAGUUGUUUUCAAUGAUGCGGCUUCCAAAUUGAUAAUCAGCUCCGUUAGACUUGAUCUACACUAUUGAAAGUAUUUGGAAACUAAAUUUCAUAAUUUUUCAGCAUCAUUUACCUAUCAAACAAAUAAUCUAAAAAUGAACGGCUGAAAUAAAAAUCUCAUAAAAAAUGAUGAUAAAAGACUUGAAUUUAAAAUCAGAGGUACUGAUCUUUUUUUAAAUAGUGCAAAGAAUUUUCUACAAAAAUUUCAUCAUAUUUGGAUUGUUUUACACCGUUAAAUUUACAAACGCAUCACAUCUACCAUUAAAAAUGUCUAUUUCGAGACCUUUUGAUCACUAGUCAAAUGAUGUCGAAAAAUUAUGAAAUUUAAUUUUCAAAUACUUUUAAUAGUGUAGAUCAAGUCUAACGGAGCCGAUUGUCGAUUUGAAAGCCGCAUCAUUGAAAACAACUUGGUAGUACGGAGGCCUCCGUGCUACCGAUAGUAUACCAACCUAGCUCCAUUGCAUAAAUUCAUCAUCUUUUGCUCGGUUUCAGGUUUUAUAUAAGUUAGUUUUAGACAUCAAUCUGUAGCUUAUUUAGAAUUUUUAAUAAAAAAAUAUAUAGUACGCAUUUAGUACUUUAUAAUGAAAAUUUACUAAAAAAUUUCAUAUUUAAUAGAGCCAAAAAUUUUGUACGAAAGCAUUUAUUUUAUAUUGGUGCUUUUCUUUACAUUUGUUAAAGAAUUUAUUAAAAUAAAUACCGUUGCAUAGCACGGGUUACUUAACUAGUUCAUGUUAAUUCCAGAUAUAAAUAUAACUCUUAUAAUAAGCAGUAAUAAUAUCAAUUUUGUAUUUAGAUGAAAAUUAGAUUGUUCCUAAAAAAUUUAAAAAAUUAAUAUUUAAAUAGUUAGAUUAGAAUAUUGAGAAUAAGAAUAAUUAAAAUUAAAAUAAUUAUAUUUUAUCUAAUUAAUUAACAUAAAAAAAAUUAAUUAAAUGAUAAUUAAUUUAUUUGAUUAACUAAUUAAUCAUGAAUACUGCUAGAUAAUCCUAAAUUUUAAUUAAUCAGUUAAUUAACAAUGAGAUGUAAUUUAGUCAAAUUAUUAAUUAGGUAAACACACAAUUAUUUAGUAAGCUAAUUAAUUAUAAAUAAUAAAUUAAUUGCAGUUGUUGUUCCAGAACAAUUCCACCUUCUUAACGGUUUUUUUUUUGUUUGAGAAUAUCGAGAGGAAUAAGGCCAUUUUUAUGAGCCAAACAAUGCCUUAGAUUUAUUUUUUUAUUAUGUUUCUAAGAGAAAUUUAAAAAAAUUAAAUCAAGAUUAGACCAGAGGAGAAAAAUGAAACAAAUGCAAAUUCAAUGAGUUCUAUCGAUUUUUAACCAACCGUACAAGACAAUGAUAAUGCAUCAACAAAAAAAUAAAUACAUAAAUUUAAAGUUUUAACAAACACUAUUAUAUUAUAUANGGAGCCCUGUUAGUUGGUGGGGGCUGGGUGCAAAUGUGCCAUAUAUGAGUAGGGGUGUAAACGAGCCGAACACGAGCGAGCUGGGGUUGGCUCGUGUACGGAUCGAAAUAUAAAAUAUAUGUAUUCGAGCUGUUAUCUAGCCGAACACGAGCGAGCUGACCCCAGCUAGUGUUCGGCUCGUUUAUUAAACGAGCUGAAAAAUCCAGCUCGUGUUCGGCUCGUUUACUAAACGAGCGAGCCGAUCUCAAGCUCAUUUCGAGCCGAACACGAGCUGGUUCACGAACAACAAGCUGGAUUGCCACCCCUACAUGUAAUUACUACAACAUUCAAAGUUUGACCUAGUUUCUUGAAACAACUGAAAUCCAAAACAAGCAAUGCUUAUCCUUUGUUCACCAUGACAAGAAUAUACUCCCAGCAAAGACACCUACAUAUAUUUGUGACAAAACUUUGUUUGAAGAUUAAGAUUUAUCUUUCAUCUCUCACUCUUCUUUAAAGGAAAAGUUUAAACACAUCUCAUCAGAUAAAACUUACUGCGACUUCAGUACACCAAAAAUGUUACAGAGCACUUGAAGUACUUCCAAGUUUUGCAGGGAAACAUAAAUACUCAUAUAUCAUCACAAGAUCAAAUAACUUUGUGCAAAUAAAUUCAAAAGCUCGCUUUCUCUCUCCCCCUGUUCACUGACUGAUCCAAUAUUUAUCCAUAUAUGUUGGCGAAUUCCGAGUUCUUGACUUCUUGGGCAGAAGUCCAAAUCAUCCUUCCCUGGAGAAGAAACAUAGUUAUCUUCUUACCAGUCAGUUAUAAAAUGUACUUAUAAUAGUCAUCAUGCCGCAAGCCAUCCAUUAUUUGGUUAUUAAAUUUAAAGGAAUAAUUACUUACAUGUUCCUGCAAAAACAAAGUUUUGUUAAAUUUAUUUCUCUAGACUUUUCAAAAUUUCAUAUUCAUCAAUCUUUGUCAGUUAAGCAGUGAAACUUGACCUUUUCAUGUGCAAAAGGCCAUUCCACCCUUCAAAGUAUCGCUCAAAAUACUAAUUUGGUUACAUUUUUUUUAUUUCUAAUGUUUCUAUUCUAUCUUUCACGUCAGUCUACAAGAACCUUAGAUCCUAAAACUUUCAAAAAAUCUCAGGAAACUAUAAUUUUAUCGGCAUAACUGUCAUAAUGAUGAAAAUUUAGUGAUUAAAUGUGCAGUACUUCAGAAUUAUGGAGGCAUAUAUUUAAGAAUUGAGAUUUUGUAGGAAUAAAUCUGAUAUUAUGCCAUUUUCUGGGGAUUUGGUGGCAAACAUUGCUAAACAAAACCAGUAAAAACAAGAAUGUCAGGGGAAACAGCGUGAAACGUACCUAUGUUUAAAUUCAGUGUCAUAAAUUGCAAAAGAUUAUACUCUCUGGAGUUACAUGAUCCAAUAGUGAUAAUUUUCCAACAAAUAGUGAUGAUUAUCCUUCCUUUGACGAAACAACAACCUCCUUCGAACCAUACUUAGAGAAAACACCGGACAGAAUUGUUCUCUCCUUGAUUUUCAACCUGAAGCACAAAUGAAUAUACAUUAACCAUAGUUUGUGUUAUUCUACUUAAAACACCUAAAGAUAUACCUGGAAACUGAACCCGGCAAACCCAACUUAGGGUUCUUCACUGGUUUUUGUUUACCACUUCUAUUUUGCUUCUUUGAGGCUACUUGUUUCUUCCUAUUUUGAGAUAAUGGCAUUGAAUCAUUUGAAUCCGACACGUCCACUUCUGUCUCACUCACAUAUUGGACACUGUCUAGACUGGGACUAUCUAUGUGCUCAAUUCCAGUUUCAAUUGCUUCAAGAUCAGAAAAGGGAUCAUCUUCUUCAACAAGGAAUGGAGAUUCUUCAGUGCCAAACGAUCCAUCAUAAGAGCUGCCUUCUAACGGAUCUUGAUCUUGAGUCAGAAUAUCCAUGUUAGAUCUCGAAGAAUCCUUUUCUGUAUCUGUAUGUUUGAGAGAAGUGUUUGUUCGAGUGUCGGCCAAUUGCAUGGAAGAGUUGGAAGAGCUGCGCGGGUUUAUGAUAUCACAAAAGAUCUGCUUUUCUACCUUACCAAACUCCACAUUUUUCUUACUGUACAUUUGUACAAAUCUGGGGAAAAAAAGGGGAAAAAGAACAAGAUGAGCGUAGUGGCUUUUAACAUAUUGAACAUCAACAUUUGACCAAAGGUGCCGGGAAAAGAAUUUGUAUUAUUUGGACUGCGAAAGCGAUAAAAAUAUCAGCGGAGCAUCAUGAUUUAAACGUUCCAGAGGAAGUGCAGAAAAAGACUUGCUUCUUAGACAAUAAAAUUAACCGGCUAAAUGUCCAGUGGGAUUUAUACAAUCAGCACUUGAGACUCCUGUUUGUAAGGUUAUUAGAGAAGCUCGAAAAGAAAAAGGGUACUCACAGUAAGAAAACAUUUUAGUGGUGUCUUGUUGCUAUGAAGGGGCACACAGAAAAUAAAACCCUACUCAAAUAAAAUAUCUGGUUCCGUAGUUGCUCUCGGUGAGAGCAUGGACAUCAUAACUUCUUUGUCUUAGUUUGCACAAAAGCGUGAGAAGUUACCAACACUAGUGCUUAAUCAUAAAUUGGUUUACUCGUGAAUUGUGACCAUUGGAUAUCUGAGGUUCCAAUACUCAAGAACUAUUUGCAACGAGGGAUCUCAUAUAACUAAGGGCUAUUGAAAUGGAAUUUCACAUUUGUGCCGUGUUGGAUUCCCUUAGACAACAAGCAAAAAUCAGCAUGUGGCAUGGUCCGCACAAGCCAACCAUAUGCAAAUGGCAUGACAAGUUUUGGCUCUGUGCUAAAUGUUGCAAAUGAGCUAGCAUCAGUGGCAUCUCACCCGCAUUAUUGUACAUAAGCUUGUUCAGGCUCUUUGAUUUAGCACUUAUCUGAUGCUGGCUAGGAUAAAACUUAAUAGGAUUUGUUCAAGUUAUUCACAUUUUGUUAUCAAUUUUGUAAUUAUUGCCUGUUCAUGCAGCCAUCUAAUAGCAUUAGAGAAUGGUCCUAGAGAGGUAAAAGAAAGCUAGAAAUCAAGGCAAAAAAUUUGCAGUUAUUUACAAGUUAAACUUUGAUGUCUGUCAUCUGUGUACAAGUGACAAUUUCUUAGCAGCAGAAGAUCAAGACUGACAUCCCAUAGUUAAGGUGCUAUUACCAUCUAACCUAGAAAGUAUUGGGUUUUUCCAUUUAGAAAACAUUCUUUGAACUUAAAAACAAAAUUAUAAGGAAUAUUGGUACCUCUCAGCAGCAGCUUCAGAUUCGAAGUAAAGAAAUGCAAAGCCCUUGCAAAUUGGAUCACGAGUCUUUUUAUUCGCAAUAACUGCAGGGCUUAUAUUAAUGAGGCCUGGGAACCCUUUGAAAGCUGAUUGGAGAUCCCUAUGUAUGUUCUUCUUUCUUGGGAGGUUUGACACACGAAUGCCAAUGCCACUUUGUAUGGCAUCUACUGCUGCAAAUCACCAGUAUUACAUCGAACAUGAAAUUCUAUGAACAAAUAAUUUAAAUGGAAAAAAAAAAAAACGUACUUUCCAUGUAAUUUGAUAAACAGAAGGAAAGUGUACCAAUGAACAAGUUGAGGAUGAACUAACAAAAAGUAACCAUGUUUUAUUAGUUCAGAUAUAUGCAGCCUUGUUUUGGUGAACUUGGAAUAAUCAACUUCUGAAUUCUGAUACCCAUACACGCGCACACACACGCGAGUGUGCUCGCGCAAAGAAUACUACAAAUGAAGUAAAGACGCACCACAGAUGCCAUAAUUAAAAUGCCAAGUUUAGGCACAGAUUACCAUUACAAAUGACACAUCAUAGUGCAAAUUUCUGGUUCCAUGUAAGGGAUUGCAAUUUUGAUUUUUGCGUACGCAUCCACCGGGUAGCAAUGAACUCUAUAUGGUAAGUAGAACCAUAACUUCAGUACUUAAUUGGAUCAAUCAACAUAUAAAGUGGAUCAGGCAAGUUCACAAUCAGAAAUCAGUAGAUUAAUAUGUGAAUAAAAAUUAAGAUUGAGCACUCACAUAUAAGCACCAAAUAAAACAAAGUGGUGGAUACGCAACUGCCACAUAUAGGAAGGCGUUAGGAAAAUGAAGAGCAAUAUUGGUUCUAAUAGUUGCCUAUCCAAGAAGAAAGUAACAUCCAAAAUUAUAUGCAACCAAAAGAUAAAUAAUUUUGUUAAUUAAAACGCCAGAACUUGUCCUAAGCCCGUCAAUUCCAAAAGAAGGUCAUGAGUUCAAUUCUCUGCAUCGAUCAUUAAAUGAAUCCAGCAUCUCUUCUGUCAGUGCAUAUGAACAUAAGCUGUAAUAACUGCCUAUCUAAGAAGAAAGUAAUAUUCAAUUCCAUUAACUCCUAUACUAAUUUCUACAAAAUCAAUCUUCUGACUAACGUGGCAUCAGAAUUAGUCCUAUGCCCCUAAAUUCCAAGAGGUCACAGGUUCGAGCCGCAGUGCACGUGGACAUGGUACUAGGACUGUUUCUGUGCUGUUUUCUAUCAGACUCUCUAUCACGACCCGACGCCGCCAAUUUGGACAGCUCGGGUCCGAAACAGACCCGCCGAACGAACAUAAUUUUUCUUGUCCGCCCAAGGCGUAAACAAAAUCUGUGCAUACAUACAUAGGAAAUAUUAUGUAUGCAGACUUUGUUUACGCCUUUGGUAGACAAGAAAAACUCUGUCUGUUCGGUGGGUCUGUUUUGAGUCCGAGCUGUCCGAAUUGGCAGCGUCGGGUCGUGACACUCUCUGUUCUUUCCACUUACAUUCCCAGAAUUCUGUUGGAAUGUGGUAACACUCUCUGUGCUUUCGACUUACAUUCCCAGAAUUCUGUUGGAAUGUGGAUAUAGAAGAGGACUCUGAUAACGCCCUUCGCAUCCGAUCCAGAAGCACUAAACAAGGACGAUCCAAGAAGGCUAGUAAUUCUUGAUAUAUUGGCUAUCCAGUUUGUAAGUUUUCGCUGCAACAACAUCAGAUCCAAGAUAAACGACUACUAACAAACACAGGGCCUACAAAUGAAGCAGAGACACUGACAUUUCCCGGGAGGAUCAUCCUGCUUCUUCUCGCCGCGGGCGGGCUGGCUCCUGAGGUUGCUGACGUUGGCGAGCUGCGCGGCGCGGCUGCGCUCCAUCUCUUCCAGCAGCCGGUCCUCGACCGCGGUGUCGUACAUCCUGCCUUCCCCGAACCCCCGCGGCUUCCUCUCCAGCCACCGCCGCAUCUCCGCGAACGGCAUCGCCGCCUCCGCAUCGUCAUCAUCAUCAUCACCCUCAUCUUCGCUCUGAUCAUACUCCUCUUCUUCGUCUUCGCGGCCUCUACGGCGAGGAGGGGCGGCGAGGAGAGGAGAGGGGCGGGAGAGGCGGAGGGAUGGGGAGAGGCGGAGGAUUGGGGAGGGGAGAGGAGGGAGGGAGUGGAGGGUGGGAGAGAGGAAAAGGGGAAGGAGAGGGGAGGGAGAUGGAGAUGGUGGUGCUGCUGCUCUGAGACUUGGCCACAACAUCUUCUCUCCUCACAAUGCUUUCAAGUUUCAACAUGCGUGUGUGGGGGGUUCUGAUCAUCCCCCUUCUUCUUUCAACCUGAAUUGCUAAUUUUGUAUACUUACAUAUAUUAUCAAGUAAAUUUUCGUAAUUGGAUAUUGGAUCUAACGGUUAGUUGGAGUGUGGUGGGCCUUAGGUAGAUUAAGGGCCUGAGUAUGCAGCGAGCAAAAAAAAAAAAAAAAGAAUAAAAAAAGUGGGAGACCGGUAAAUAGUCUCUUAAUAGGGACCGCUUCUACCAAAAAUUUUUUUUUUUUUCGGUUUUUGUACCCGAUAGAAAUUUUAAAACAUAGUGAGUAUAAAAAUAAUGAAUUCUAUGAAAAUUUUUUUCUUUCUUUUAUUUUUUAUUUUAGACGCGCAGCUAAGUAGGCCAAACCAUCUAGAUCCUGCCCGUGUUAUCCCUCAAAAGAGUUGGACUCAUGUAAAAUUCAUUUAGUUCAUUAAAUCAUUUCUAAGGUCCGGUGGACACUUCAAUAUUAGAUAAUAUUUUUUCGGAUAAAAUAUUAUCUGAAUAAUAAUAUUAGGCAUAACACUAUAUUAAUAUAUCGCAUAAUGUAAUUAGAAGCACUAUAUUAAAGUUUCUGCUUUUAAGGGUUAGUUGAACAAAAGUUAAAACCCGUGUAAAUUUUGUUCUNNNNNNNNNNNNNNNNNNNNNNNNNNNNNNNNNNNNNNNNNNNNNNNNNNNNNNNNNNNNNNNNNNNNNNNNNNNNNNNNNNNNNNNNNNNNNNNNNNNNGUGGGGUCUAAACUGAAAACUUAAAAUAUAUUCUUACUCAGUUGACGCUUAAAGCUGAGCCUGCCUGUCAAAUUUAGCUCAACGGACAUUCAGAAGGGCUCCAACUGUAAUCCGAACUGCAAAAUGACUGAAGUGAAUAGGUUUUGGGAUGUAUGUAUAAGAAGAUCGAUGGCUUUUCUUCCUCCUUCACAGUGCACACCACAACACACCGCAACGCACACAUGGGAGGAGGAGAGGACAACUCUCCUUUCUCUCUCUAGAGAUCUCUCUCAUUUCUCUAUAUUUCUCGCCUCAAAGUUCGCGGGGUUGGUGGGAAGAUGCUUGCGAUAUGCGUUGGAGGCGACGGAAUUUGGCUUUCAGUGCGCCUGUUGAGCGGUUGUGUAUUUCGUGCGGAUUCACAUUGAGGUAAGUUUUUAGGAUGGCCUAAUCCUUAGUUCUAAGUGUUCUAAUGCCUCUAAUGAGCAUUUUAAAACAUGUUUGCUCCAUUUAAUUUGGAUUAUUUAGAGAUUAAUUCAUAUUAGGGUUAGAAAGGAGGUUUUGUAAAAUAUGAGGGUUUGAUUAUUUGGACCUUCGUAAACCAAAUUUGCUAGCUGUAACACGAACGCGUUGACGAAGUCGGUUCGGCGAUUCGUCGACCGUUGCCGAAGUUAUUAAAGAAAACGACGUUUUAGGCUUCGUUUCCGCCUGGGGCCGAGGCGACAUCGUAACCCAUUAGAAAACAGAUUUGAGUAAUGUCGCACAUAACCGAAGGACCUUUAAUUUUCGGAUCAUGGAUGUUGGAGCCGUUUGGGUGGUCGCCCGCAAGAGUCUCGGUCAAACGAGAGGCCAGGUACGCGGGCGGCGAUUGCAAGUAGUCGACAAGAAUCGGAAUGCGAAUUGAGGUGGGUUGUGCUUACUGAAGCGACAUAGGUCGCCCUUUAUGUCUAAGAAAUGAGAUUUUCAUAUUGAUGCAUAUUGACAUAUUAUCAAGAAUGUGAAAAGAAUGCAUGUUAACAUGACUAUAGAAAUGCUACGAUAAAUGCAAUAUGAUUAAUGUUUUGAAUGCAUAAUAUAAAGCGGCGUACAUGGAAUGUAGAUUAUAAGAACAUCAUAAACGAAGUAUAUGAUGACAUGUUCAUGUUAGAAUAUGCCAAAACUGUAAUAUAUAAUGAAUUAAGUGCUAAAGAAUGCCAUGAGAAUGCGUAAGUAGGACUAUUUUUGGAUUAAUUGAACUAUAUGUAUGUUGACAAAUCAUGUUGAUACUAGUGGUAUAUGUGUAUGAUGAUAUAUUUAUGAAUUUAAUAUGUGCGAUCUAUGUUAAAUUAGAAAACAUACUUGGAGACAUAUUGCCAUGUUGUGGGAACAUAGUGGACAAUCUAUAUAUAUAUCUAGAUCGAGUUGGCAUUAAACCUAGCAGCUUGAACCUUAGCCAAACCUGUGUGGUGAUUGAUCAUAUAUAUCUCUGGUGCUCAUUCAUGUAUCGUUAGGACUCUAUUUAUUGUUAAAUGUGAGAGUUGGACUUUUCUUGAACAUAGUAAACAAGGGUGACAAUGACAAUAGGAGGACAUGAUUGGCAGCAAGAAAUGAUUGUUAAACAUGUUUACAUAUUGACAUUCGCGUCCAAGUUGACCAUAGAGGAGUGGCAUGAAUAUAAAUAGGGUAGAAGACCUAUCUGAACAUUGGCAAUUUACGAGGUGGCUAUGAAUCCUCAAGUGAAGGAUUGGAUCGAUACUCACGUUAUUUCUUGGUUUGAGGGAGAUAGCUCCCCUCGGGCGGUGCCCUCGGAGGUUGGUCACCAUGGCGCGUGGUUUAAAGUCCCCCCAGAGACGGGUCCCCAGGGAGGUUCGAGCUCCCCGUUUAUUAAGGGAUUUGGUGUGACGUUAUUGGGGUUAAUAUGGUUAACCGGUAAGAUUGGGUCAUUAGCAAAUUGAGUGUACACAAGUAAGCAUUAUGAGUUAUGGAUUUGGUAUCCUAGUCGGAGAGGAUUUAGGGCGGAGGUGUAGUGUGAGACGUCCAUCGCCUCGAGCCUUGUUCUUAUGGCGGUACUCCGCAGACGAUAUGACAUCAAAGACGGUCGGGUGUGUUAGCCUUGUAAAGGUACGUGUAAACUUUAUGAUUAAAACGGUGAAUUGACAAGAAUCUAAAGAUAGAGGAAUACCUUAGAUAUCGAAUGAUGACUAUGGUUAGCAGAAUGGAAAGUUAGUGUAAAGAACUACUAGUUGCUUCAUACUGCAAUGUAUUGCAUGAUUUGGCAUUAUAGACAUUGCAUUAAUUGCAUCGUGAGCAAAGCAUGAGUUUAUUAGUUGCAAUAAUAAAGAUAUAUACUCUAUCUGUUUAGAUUGAACCUAACUUUGCAGUUGCCUCUCCUUGGACUAAUUGGUCGAGCUUUUUUCUUGGGUGCCGUACCCACUGGGAACCAUGUAGUUGGUGCUCAGCCCGCACCGUGGUUUGGGGGUUUUACAGGUUCGCACAUGUGAGCGCCGUCGGCGCGAGGCGAGGGCGUAGAAUUAUACGUAUGCGCCCUACCACGCGAGGACCAGAGAUACGUCGAGCCGCCUGAUGUCGGCCUUUACUUAGUGGAUGUCAGAAAUGAAAGGAAUAGAGAUUGUAAUAAUUUGUAAAUAAUCAUGUUAAAUCGCGAUUUUGUAUUUGAAGAUAAGUGAAUAGUGUAAGAUUCAAACUGAGAAUUGUGUAUGUAAAAUGCAUGAAAUAUGAAAUGAAUGUAAUAUAUAGGAUUGUUAUGUUGUUGAUUACCUUCCAUUAUGCAAUCUUGAUUGAAAUGUGUUCCUGGUUGGAACUUUGCACAUUGUAUUGAUUGCUACGCCUUGAAUGUACAGGGGAGACUCUGUCCGCGGUACAGGGGAAACCCUGUCCAUUCGGCGGUCUGUUGUGGCGCCGCGACCCGACCAAAUAGGCGGGCGGUCGCGGGGCGUGACAGAGGAUCUACCGGCAGAGGUAGAGGGCGAAGAAGAGAUGGACAUAGAAAAAACACAUAAAAACAAAGAGGAAAAAGGAAGAUGAGGAGAAAUAAUAUAAUUUUUACCUGAAGAGUGCAACUUUCGUUCAAAGAGUGCAACUUUUAUUUAGAAAAGUAUAAUUUUUCUCUCAAAAAGUGUAAGUUUUUUCUAAAAUAGUACAAAUUCAUCAUCUUCUUCUUUCCUCUCUGAUUCUUUAUUUUUCUUGUAAAAAAAAAGCAUUUUUUAUAUUUUAUAUUUUAUUAUUUUUUUUUUUAUUUUUUCAUGUUUUUUGGCUUCGCUCUUACUCGCUCUUGCUCUGAGCCUUCUUUUUUCGGCACCGGCAAAGGCGGAGGAAGAGGAUGUGGUGCUGUCCUCGUUACCGUUGUGGAAGGUUGCGGAGGCGUGGAGAGAGGUCGAAGGGGAAAAAAAUAUAAUGAGGGAAAAAAAAAGAAGAGGAAGAAGACACGGUGCUGCCUUCUAUAUUGUUGUAAAGAGCUCAUAAAGAGUCGAGGAGGCAGUAGAAAAGGGUCGGAGAGAAAAAAAAAAAGAGGGUCGCGGUACGGCCUCGGCGGGGUCGGAAGCGAGGAAAGCGGGAGGUGCAUGGGCGAGGGUGAAGGCACGUAGGACAAAGGCGAGGCGGGCCGCCUCUGCCUCUUCGAAGAGGAAAAAAAAAAAGAACGAAAGAAAGAAAAAGGAGAGAGAAAAGUAAAUAAGGUUAUUUUUGUCAGUUUUCCAAAAAGCCGACCCAAAUCUGCAAAAUCUAAAAAGGUGGCUUACUUUUGCAAAAGCUCAAAACUAGUAAAUUUUUUAUGCAAAUUGGCCUUUUAUUUUUUUUUAUUAAAGUUUAAUUUUAAAAAAUUGGCCAAUUUGCAUAAAAAAUCUAUUAAGUUUGAGAUUUUGCAAAAGUACAUCAUUAUUUUUGAUUUUGCAGUUUCGGUCUGAAUUUUUAGAAAACUGACCAAAAUACUCUUAUUCCUUUCUCUCUCUUCUUUUUAUUUUUUCUCGCAUUCUUUUUUUUCUUCUCUUCGAAGAGUGCGGCAGAGGCGGAGGUGGAGGCGGCUCGCCUCGCCUCUACCAUGUGCACCCUCCCUCUCCCUGGCCCGCCCCUCCUUGCUCUCUCGCCUGGGCCUGCGUACCCCCUGCCUUCCUCGCCUCCGACUCCGUCGAGGUCGCGCUUGCCACCACCCUCUGAGAUGCCCCACCUCGCCUCCACCCUAUGCACCCUCGCCCGCGCCUGCUUAUCCCUACCCUCCUCACCUCUAAAGCCGCCAAGGCCGCACCGCGACCUGCUUUUUUUCUUUCCGACACUCCUCCACCGCCUCUAUGGCCCUCCACAACAAUAAAGAGAACGACACCACAUCCUCUUUCUCCGCCUUUACCCUCUAUCUUCACCGUAGUAGAUUUUUCACCCACCAAACCUACUUUUGGGAACCCACGUCUUCACCGCCGCCGCCGCCGAUGACAAAAAGGAAGCACUUCUCCGUUGAGAAGCUUGCCGGCGAGGGAGGGGGCACGCCGCCCACCUUGCCCACCCAAGGCCUGCAAUGAGCAAAGUAGAGACGGAGAUGAGCGCGACGAUGCUGGAGAAGAGGGCGGCAUCCCAUAGGGCGGCGGCGAGCGUGGCCUCAGCGGGAUAGGAGGGGAGAAGGGCAGGGGUGCAUAAGAGCAUCUUUAGUCAAGCACUUUUAGUUGCUUAAAAUAAAAAAAUUAACUAAAGGCCAAAAUCUAGAUAAUAAGAAAGAAUAACUACAGAAGAAGGAAAAAUAAGAUGAAAUUUCACUGUUAAGAUGAAGCUGUAUUAUUUUAGAAGAACGUUGCACUGUUAUAAAUGUAAGUUGCACUCUUUAAAUAAAAAUUGCACUCUUUGGGAGAUAGUUACACUAUUUCUUCUCCUCCUCCAGUGUAACUAUUUCCCAAAGAGUAUAAUUUUUUUUUAAAGAGUGUAAUUUUCAUCUUAAAAGAUACAGUUUACAUCUCAAAGAGUGCAACUUAUAUCUAUAAAAGUGCAACGUUCUUUUAAAAUAGUGCAACUUCAUUUUAAUAGUGCAACUUCAUCUUCUUUUUUCUUCUUCUCUAGUUCUUCUUUCUUGUUCUCUAGUUUUUGGCCUUUAAUUUUUUUUAAGCAAACAAAAGUACUUGGCCAAAGAUACUUUUGUGCAUUUCUUGCCCUCCUCGCCUUCAACCUCGCCAAGGCCGCGCUCGCCGCCGCCUGUCGUCGCGGUCUCCCCGGUCUCCACCUCGCUCAUCGCCGGCCCCGGGUGGGCGGGGUGGGCCACGUGCCCCCUCCCUCACCGAUGAGCUUCUUGGCGUCGAGAAGGAAGCGUCGUUGGCGGCAGUGGUGAGGACGCGGGUUCCCGAAAGUCGGUUUGAUGGGUGAAAAAUCUGCUAUAGUAGAGAUGGAGGGCGAAGGCGGAGGAAGAGGACGCAGUAUCAUCCUUGUUACUGUCAUAGAAGGCAGCAGAGGCGGUGGAGAAGGGUCAGAGAGAAAGAAAAAUGGUCCUGGAAUUGCCUCGAUGGGGUAAAAGGCGAGAAGGGCGGGGGGAGCGGGUGCAGGCGAGGGCGCGUAGGGUGGUAGUGGCAUAGCCUGAGGUCUUCGGACCACGAGAAGUUUUACAACGCAAGAACAACAUAGAACAACGCAAGUGAAUGGUGAAUGUAUGAAUGUAUAGUAAUCUUUAUAUUCAUUUAUUUGUGGUUGUAUCCGGUUUACUUGUUGUACUUGUGCGACGCCAUGCAAAUACAGGGGAGACUCUGUCCGUGUGAACAGUGAAUUUUCUGUAUUUGUGGCGGAUCUGGCAUACCCUGGGGUUAGAUUUUCAAAAAAAAAAAUUAGACACUUUUUCGCUGUGUUUCAAACUAAAAGGGACCUCGGGACGUGACAUCUAUUGAUCGCUACUAACGUGUCUCACGCCUUGUCGCAACCCUUACCACCCCAUCACCUGAAAAAUGGAGGGGUGAGAACAUAUAAACAUGUCUCCCCUCCCAGUGGGUACCGCAAGCCGAAGAAGGCGAGGAGUACUCACCGGAUCAGGAAGAACUAUACAACAACAUGGGUCAGUGGAAAUAAACAAAGUAAUGAGCAGAUAUAUAUCACAAAUACAGUAGUAGUAAUACCAGAAGGAAAGAGAACAGUAAGAGAACAUAUAACUACCGCUACUGUAAAGUAUAACAGAAUGCAUACAUGGAUAUCAUAACUACAGUAGUAAUGAUGCAGGAGGUAAAUAAUAGUAUAGAGAAAUAUACCUAGCUGCUACUAUAAUACAAAACAAAGAGUAAGUAUGCAUCAACCGGACGAUCAGUCUCAAAAAUACCCAAUCCAGAAGCCGCCAUAUCAGUCCGAAGACCUCAGGCUAUGCCACUACCGCUCUAGCAGGACGUGACCCGAGCAAAUGACUGCUGGGGUCUCCCUGGCAUAUAACCCAGCAAAUGACUGCUGAGCUCACGGGUCGGAUGUACGACCAUUUUUUUGAAAAAGAACACCCUACUGUGGUGGAUCAGACUGCUGGUGUACGUGAAAUGCAUAUGAGCAGUGGCGAUCGAUGCAAUAUGCUCAAUAGCCCACUGUCGGCGGAUAGCCGAAGUAAAGUAACAAAGAAUAACCGACCAACCAGUUCAACCUUUAUCUUAAGGAUAGAAUAAUAUCCGAGUAACCGACCAACCAGGUCAGCCUCUAUCUCAAGGAUAGAAAAAUAUCACCGACCAAUCAGAUCAAACAGAGCAAGUCAUGCAAUAGACCACUAGAAAUGUCACCGACCACGAAGUCGACUAAUGUAAAAUAAUGUCAUGUAAGGAUACAAGUGUCACCGACUAUGAAGUCAACUAAUGUCGAAUCAUGUCACGUAUAAAUAUGUGUGUCACCGACUAUGAGGUCACCAAAGUCAAGAUCGUCUACUAUAAACAUAACAUGGAUGAGUCAAUCAUCAGGAAUACUGCUCCACUAAAGUAGUGUAAUUUUUAUUAAAGAAAAUGUGAUCCUUGCUCCCAUAUUAAUAAAGAGUGCAUUUUUUAUUUCAAUCUUUAUUCUUCUUAUUAUUCUUUAAUUUUACUUUUAUUUUCUAACCUUUGUGAACUUGCACUGGUUCUACACCCAAGCAACAUUCGGUGAAGAUGUUGAGAACAUACACCGAACGAAAAAACAUUGAUCAAAGAGCAGAGUUGCACUGGUUAGUGACUACCUACACUAUUUAGCAAAUAAUGUUGCACUAGUUGGGUCGUUAUUACAUCAUUUACAACCUCUUUUGCACUAUUACAUUCAAGGUAGCACAAAAUAUAGAGAAUAAUUGCACUGGUUAGAGACUAGUUACACUAUUUAGCAAAUAAUGUUGCACUAGUUGGGUCGUCUUUACACCAUUUACAGCCUCUUUUGCACUAUUACAUUCAAGGUAACACAAAAUGCAGAGAAAAAUUUGCUCUGGUUUACAUAGAUUGCUCCGUUUCCUUUAAAGUUGCACUUCUUGCUUUGCCAUGUGGUAUCUCGUUGCAGAUACCAAGCGCAAACCACUCUUCACCCUGCAUGCUGCUAUACUUCUUCCACUUCUCUUUUGCAAAUACCAAGCGCAACGAAGAGUGUUGGAAUAAAAUAUGACAGGUGUAUGGAGGAGGGCGAGGGGUUUAGAAAUAGGGUAAGCAGCACGGGACGCGGGAGAGGGGGUCGCAGUGAGGCAAUGAAGAAGAUUGACUGCGUGGGAGUGGGAUGUUGCAUUGGUUGACAUAGCGUUACACUUUCGGCGGCGAAUGUUGCACUGGUAUAGGCUGCGCACUGUACUGUUUGAAGUGUUGUUGCACCGUUUUCCUUCGCUUUGCAUCAUUAUCCUAGCCGUCGACUGUGUAUUUUUCCUAAUUUAGUUUCAAAAUAUUUAUUUUCGAAAAGCCGAAUAGCAAACAUAGGGGUUCGCGAAUAGAGGAGUUGAUUUUGUUCGUAUUUCGAUGACUAGGAGGUUGCGUAACCCGGGCGUAGAGCGCAUUUAAUGCCCCGACAGUCACCGUACGGUACAAUACAGUAGCUGCAUUUGACGGGAUAUGGGUGAGACGAAGGGAGACGAGGGGUAUUUUUGUUAGAUAGUGAAAAAUCCAGCCCGAAUCUGCAAAAUCGAAAAAGACGGCCUAGAUUUACAAAAUUGCAAAACUAGUGGAUUUUUUAUGCAAAUUGGCCUAGUUUAUGAUACAAUAUUUCCUUAAUUUUUUGAAGUGAAACAUGUUAAAAAAAGAGAAGUCAAUUAGCCAAAAAAAUCUAUGUGUUUUUGGAUACUACGGACCACAAGAUUUAUUGCUAAUAAAUUAUAUUGAGCAAAAAUGUGAUAAAUUAUCUAAUGAAAAGCAAUGCUAUAAUACAAAAAAUUCUCUAUUAAAUAUCUGAUUUUUCACUCUUUUUUCCGACUUUCAAAAAUUUAUAUUUUUUUUCCUUAGAAUUUUGAAAAUAUUUUCAAAGGAUAUAGCGUUAAUGGAAAGGGCAAAAUUACCAAACUAUUCUUACUUGUUCUACAAAAACAAUAAUUUUUUUAAUAUAUUUCUGUCAUUUUUAAUCAUAUUUUCGAUAUAAAAUGUUAGAGAUGGACAAAAUAUUGAUAGAACCUUGAUAGUGGUGGGCUAAAUUCAUCAACUUAAAAUUUUAAAAGAAUAAAAUAUAGGUUUUUGAAAAUGAGAGGAAAAAUAAAAAAAGGGAUAUUUACAUGAGGAUUUUCUAUAUUUUAGCCUAAAAUUUGACAAUUGUACAUUGAAAUGAAGUACAAGAAAAGUUUUGUUCUUAUACUCGUACGCAAUGUAGAAAUAUAUAUUUGGUCUAACAAUAUUAUUUCUACAUGAAAUUAACAGCAGCUAUAUAUAGUGAGUUAUUUUUGACCUAUGUUUCAUAAUUAGCCCAGUGGUUAAUUAACCCAUCUGCAUGUUCAAUAAUUAAAGAUGGCUAAGAAUAUUUGUAUGGACUCAGAGGUAAAAGAAAAUCUUAGUAGCUUUGUAAUGAAUAAUUGAAGCAUUGUACCGAAUAAUUCAAUAAAAGGGAACAAUGGCAUUGUGACAACUACAUAGUGAAUUGAUAUAUACUUAGAUCAAAAGAAAUAUUCUAAUACUAAAAAGGAAUAUUCUUGCAGUAUAAUAUCACUUCUAAUAAGUUGAUAUUUGAAGGUAGCAGCGACUUGCAUGCAGAUAGAUUAAGCUUCUAAUGUUCCUUUUCCUUUUAAAAGACUUUGGUAAUUAAGAUUGUGAAUCUUUAUAUUAAUUACAUAGUAUUGUUCCUACAGUGGACCAUUGAAUCACUAUUCAUUAUAUAAAGUACAUGAAUUUCAAAUAAUGUGAACAGUGGAUUUAGUGGUCACAUCAUAUUACAUUAGAGAUUUGUUCUCUAAAAAUAAUCUUACUUUAGAUUAGCUUUAGAUAAAUACUAUUAAAGAAGGAAAACAUAUAUAUGGGUACAUUAUUUUGGGCUUUAGUUUCCCAUUUCACUCUUUCAUGGUUGGGAGUCAUGUUCACAAUUCUCUGGAUUGAAGGCAAGUUGUGAUUGUAGCAAAUCAAAAGUAAAUCGAGUAUUUGCUUGUUGGUAUGCCCCGAGAACACUUGAACUGUCCUGUGGCAACAUUGCAAAGCAAAAUAUUCCCUUAUCCCUUCUAAUGAGGAACAAUUGUCGCCACAUGAUAUGCAUUUGGGCCCCUUGUAAAUGCAAUGUCAUGCUCGGCAUUAAGCUCUCAUAACUUGGUUGGAAAAGCCAACAAAUUUUAAGAUCUGUCAUGUAUCUCUGUGGAUCCACUUCAACCAAUUUCUUAUGGCGGAAAUGAUCUCUAAGCUCUUUCUUCACUCGUUCAAAAGCUGGGGUUAUUAAGUGAGUGAUGAAUGCGCCGGAGUCCACAUAGAACCCACCCGAUCCAUUCGGCUUUCGUGCGAACAUUCCUGGCUCAAACCCAAGUCGUUUGUUUCCAAUACUAAUGUCAUUUAAGGUAAUGAAAUACAAGAACACACCUUGUAUGGGAACUAUCGGUGUGGUUUGGACUGACCCUCUUUGCACAAUGUUGCUUCCGAAUCGUAAAAAGCUUAUACUGUUUGAACCUAUCGGUGGAAGACAGUAUGAAAAGCGGCCUUGGCUGCCAUGAUUGAUAAGUUGCUUUGCAAAUGAUUCCUCGGCCAAACCUAAUGCCAUUAAUCCUGAUGGAUAACCAUGGUUGUCGCCAAUUAAAUGUGUAUCAUGUGAGCAACCAAAGACAAGCCCUUCAAUAAACUCGAGGUGGUCACCAUGGCUUGAAUGGAAGCCAAAGUUGUCUUUCGAGAGCGUGCCACUUGUGUGGGACCCGUCAAUAUAGACGAUAUGGUAGUGGCAACAGCUAUUGAUGCAAUGAUAAUAGCUUUGCGGGCAGGGGUUCUGGUCAGAGCAAGAGAUGUCGACGAAGGAAGGGGAUUGGAGAGGGUUGAAGUAAGGUUCAUUUUGCACGUAGCAAUUGAUGCAUGGCUUGCAUUGGGUCCAAGAAAGAUGACUGCCUGUAUCUAGGUUUAAGUGAUAGCCAAUGGUGCCAUUGCCAGUGCCAAUCGUCACAAAAACCAUGUACAAUGUUUGAUAGCAGAUGAUAGGGGGGCGAAUAGUGGUUAUUUCAUGGCCAACUAGCAUUGAUUCAACAUUGUUUGGUUGGAGGAAUCGAUCCUCAGAAAGGCGGAGGGACUCUUCAAAGCAUUGUGAAUCGGUGAGGUUAGGGUUGUAAACUGGGGACCGAGGAGAGUGACGAUAUAUGAGCUCGAAGCUUAAGAUUCUUUUAGAUGCUUCAAUAGUUUCAAAGGAAAAGAGUAGGAUGCAUAUUAAAAGAAGAAAUGUAACAUAUGAAUGGAUAUCUUUGCCCAUGGUUGAUAUUUUGCAAAGAAGUGAAUCAUGAAAAACAAGAAGAGAUAUAUACAUAUAUAUAUGUAAGACUAAAAUAGAUAAAGCUAAAAAAAAAAAUCCAUAAGAUAUCUUGGAGAAAAAAUGAAAUCGGUGGAUUCAGUAGGCAAUCCACUAUAUAAUGACUUUUCUAAAAUAUAAAGUGUUAGUUACUUUUGGAGGCUAGAAUUAAAUUUGGAGUUACUAAAAAGUAGUUAUAGUGAUUGGUAAAAACAUUUAGGACCUAAUUAAUUAAGAACUCAAAAUUUAAUUCAAAAUUUUUUUUCAAUGGCAUAAAAAUUUACUGAAAAUAGCAUUAUUUCAAAUAAAAAAAUUUUAUAUGCAAUUUGCUUGGACACUCUAAAUUUUGAAUUUUACUAAAAGUACCUCAAUUUAAAGAAAAAUUUUGAGAGAGAGGCAAUGAUGAAUGGUUAAGAUGUUUUAUUCUUACUUUACUCCAAAAUUUUAUAGAUUUAAGCUUAUUGUUUUUUACCCCAAAAAUUACAUAAGAAUGAGAUUAUUUUGCUGUACUAUGCAAGUCUAUAAAAGCCACUCAAAUAACUCUUUCGAAAAAAAAAUAAAUAGCACUAAUAAAAAUUUCCUGCUUCUAGCAAAUAUCACACUUUUAUAAGGUCCAAAAAAAUGCCUUAAUUCCAUUUUGGGAUGCCAAGUCGGACGACUACCGCUUCGUUAUCUGGGCCUACCACUUCACAACAGGCAACUUCGCAAGGAAGACUGGGCUGUGGUCAUCAAUCGUGUUGAGGAGAGAAUAGAAGGUUGGAAAGCCAAACUACUAUCGCUAGGGGGAAGACUCACGCUCGUCAACUCGGUUCUCACCAACCUGCCACUAUUCUACUUUUCCAUCUUUAGGGCGCCAAAGUGGGUGAUAAAUCGGAUAGAGGGACUCAGAAGAGCCUUCUUCUGGAAGGGGUGCUCCAAAAUCACUGGUGGUGCUUGUCUCGUCAACUGGAAUACAGUAUGCAAAAGUAAACGAGAAGGUGGUCUUGGAAUCUUAGAACUAAACUCUAUGAAUCUGGCACUCUUAACCAAAUGGUGGUGGCGUUACUUUACCAACCUAGACCUCCUUUGGUGUAAAUUGAUUAGAUCCCUCUACUACGUCAGACGAAAGCCAUUGCUGGAGGGUAGAGCCUUCGUCCCCAAUUCGCAGUGGUGGAAAAGCGUGCUCUAUUGUCGAGAUAUCUUCUCAUGUGGAGUAACCUACGAGCUCGGCGACGGAAGAAAUAUCAGGAUGUGGUCCGAUAUCUGGAUUGGAGAAGCCCCCCUUCGUACCCUUUUCCCGUUUAUCUUCUCGAAUAUCUGCAAUAGGGAAGCCCGGAUCUCCCAAUGUUGGAACCAGAGCGGCUGGAGAUGGCGCUUUAUCUGUCGUGGCUUCAUGACCACUCGCUCUACUGAAAGUCGCAGACAGCUGUCGUUGCUUAAAGACUUGCUCCGAGACCUCCGACCAAGCGCCAGUCCGGACUCGGUCAAAUGGCGAUGGACCUCCAACCAACUAUUUACGGUUAAAUCGCUUUACCAGUCCAUCACGGACGCUGGGUUGCGUGCCCCGACGAAUCAGCACAUCUGGAAGCUAAAAAUCCCCGUUAAAAUUAAAAUCUUCAUUUGGCUACUCCUUCGAAAGAGAUUACCUACUGCCGACAGAUUGCUCAUCAGAGGCAUGCAUGUAGAUCCGAAUUGCGCCUUCUGCGCAGUUCUGAUGGAAAGCUGCGACCACCUCUUCAACGAUUGCGUUCAUGUUCGGUUUCUUCUCCUCAGUACGGGAGGACCGGACGUAAACAACGCCAGCUCAGCCGACGUUAGAGAUCUCUGGGCCAAAACUACGGAAAUCCCUGUCGAAUCGUCGAGGAAACAUCGCCUGAUUGCUCUGGCUGCGACCUGGUGGGUAAUUUGGACGGACAGAAACAACUAUGUCUUCAACGGAAAGUCGCCCAAUGUUGUUGGAUCUCUAGAACGACUCAAACAACUGAUCAACAACUAGACCACAUUGCUCUGACGCCCUUCUUGUACCUCCACCCCUGCUCCACUCCCCGUUGGGGCUUUGAUCUCCCUUCCUCUUUCUUGUGCUUUUAAUUUAUUUUUGAGUUUUACCGACUUCUCGGAGGCCUAAGCUGCUUCCAACUUGUAUGCUCAGUUCAUUUCACCUAAUGAAUGAAGCAGGUAGCUUGCUAUCUAUUUCUCAAAAAAAAAAAAAGGAUAAAUUGCUAAAUUAAUGAUAUUGAAAAGGAAUAGAUAUUAACUGGUUGUUUUUUGUUAUGCUGUAACUACAAUGUAUAUAUAACAAUCUGAAGAAUUAUACAACAACACAUCUUAUAUAUGCGCAAGACCAAAAAANAAAAAAAAAUAGCACUAAUAAAAAUUUGCUGCUUCUAGCAAAUAUCACACUUUUAUAAGGUCCAAAAAAAUGCCUUAAUAUCGUCUGACUACCAAGUAAAACUGAAUGUGGUCACUUGGAUGUCAAAAGAUAUUGUUUAUGACAAAAGAAUUUCUUUAUAUAGGGACCACUUAAGUAGUUUAAAAAGGUGUUUGGCUCCUUGUAACUCGAUUUUGCUACCAAAAUAAUAAAACAAAACUUGGGAAAUCUUCCUAUUUGUAGUUUUGAAUUAAAAGUUAGUCUCAUUGUACAGUGAAGCUUGCAAAUUACUUUAUGGCUAAAUUAUAUAAAACCUUUCUGUCAAUAUCCACUUUUUCAUUUUUUUUCCUGUCAUUCAAAGUCCUACACUUUACCUCCUUGAAAAAUAAAAAAUAUUCAUUAAUUUCCGCCCCCACCGUCAGUGUUCCGUUAGGAUUUCAUUUAUAUCUUAUUUUUUAUACCCAAAAUACCCCUGAAAUCCCUAUCCAUGCCCACACGCAUGCUCUCGGUCGCCGCCUUGCCCUCGCGCAACCCUCUGUCUAUGCCUAGACACACGCCCUUGCCCUCCUCCGCCACUGGUAUGAGCAAGAUUGGGGAAGAGGAGAUGAAGCAGAUGACGAUAAUUUGGUCAUUUUGUCACAUCGUAUUCCCCUAUGAAUAUUUUUUAUUUUUAAAAGGAACGAAGUGUAGGUUUUUGAAUGACAGAGGGGAAAGUGAAAAAGCGAAUAUUUAUAGGGGUUUUAUGUAAUUUAGCCUUACUUUAAUCAUUAGUAGAUUUAGAAGAUCUACAUAUUUUAAGUGCAGAAAAUUUUUUUAGAUCUUUUCAACUUGAAAGAACUCAGAAGACCCUCAAAUAUUCCAAAGAAAAAAUAAGGUACAGAAAAUUAAUACAUUGUACAAGGCAUAUGUACAUUUAGAUUAGCUCCAAAUACUCUAAAUUUGUGGCAUCCAAAAUAAUGUAUAGAGAAACUCUUUUCGGUAGGAAGCAUGCGACAAAAAAUUUAGAGAUAAUUACCUAUAUAUAUAUUACUCAGAACUUCUGAAAUAUUUAGUAUACCCCUUCUUAAUUUUUUUUGUUUCAAAUAUACCCGCACUGUUAGUAUCCGUUAAAUUAUUUUGUGAAGCCCCACUUCACAGAAGGGUCAUCCAUCCUAGGACUACUUCAGUCCUAGCAUGCUUAACUCUCUUAACCUCUUGGGCCUAGCAAAUAUCCAAAAUACUAUAGCCGGAUUCAGAGUUUUUAGCUCUAUUAUAUCUUAUAUAUAGCGAUACCUAAGGUCUUACAUUGUCCCCCCACCCCAAGCCCCGACAUCCUCGUCUAGUUCAAAUCACAAGUACCAAGCAAUGUGACACUCGUCUCGCUAGCUUUAACCAACCUUGUGAAGGAGCCGGGCCCUACCCACAACAGUAAUCGGCAUGAGAGCUUCGCUCUCUCCACUGUAUGCCUGGCUCAGCCGAGACUCAUCUCACAGUUUUGGCUAGUAAUUGGCUCUGAUACCAACUGCGACGCCCCCACUUCCCAGGGGGUCACCUAUCCGGGACUACUCCAGUCCUAGCAUGUUUAAUUCUCUUAACCUCUUGGGCCUAGCAGCCACCCAAAAUGCUAUAGUUGGGUUAAGAGUUUUUAGCCCUAUAUAUUUUAUAUAUAAGACUACUUACAUAUCUCGGGUUAAACCCGAAGUAAAUUUCUAGCAGAGUUAAAAAGAGGGUUAAUUGCAUCAGCUCCCUAUAAACAUAGCAAAUUACAAAUAUACCCCUACAAACUUCAACUUUUAACUUUUAUCCCUGCAAAAGUUCAGUGAUAUUCAUAUUUGUCCCUCUUGUUGUUACCGUUAAAAAAUUAUUUAUUUUUUAACAACAGAUAAGUGAACUGUCAAUUUUGACAUCACAAAUAUGUCUCUGCAAAAGCUCCAAUUGUUAUAAUCGUACAGAAAUGUCCCCUCAAAAUAUUUUCAAUGGUCAUAUUUCUUCUCUUUAAAAUCCAAUCCAAUCCACCAUUGUUGCAACCUCUUUUCCCACUCUUUUUCUCCUAAAUCUUUUCUUUUGAGCAAAAUAAGAAAAAAUUAUAAAGAAAAUUGAAUGGAGAAGCAACACGUGUUCGACGCGAAGAAACACACGUCAUGGAUGAAUGAAAACAGAGAAAUUUUAGUUACGAGUUCGAAACUAGCAUGAAGGAGAGAGAGGAAGAGGAAAAAGAAAAGAAAGAAGAUGAAGAGAUCCUAUUACUAGGGUAUUGAUUGAGAGAAAAAGAUAUAAUAUAAGAGGGAUAAAAAUGUCAAUUUACCGCAUUGACUAACCAGGUUAAGUACUUUACCUAUGGUUAACUAAAUUUUUAUAACGAAUCCUAACGACAGGGGCAUAUUUGAAAACACUAACACUUUUGUCGGGAUAAUAUAAGAAAGCUGAACUUUAUAGGGAUAUAUUUACAAUAUGCUAUGUUUACUAGUAGUUGUAUGCUAUUAACCCUAAAAAAAGUAAAAAUACCUCUUCUGACCUUGAGUUAAGAAUAAAUAAGAAAAAUUGGUGACUGUAGAAGGGUAUAUUUGAAAAGGAAGAAGUUAAAAUACUUUUUUUGUCCCUAACUAAUAAGAAAAAUUGGUGACAGUAGAAAGAUAUAUUUGAAGCUUUAAAAGUGUACUUUUAAUAUUAGCCUUUUAAGACGGAUAAAUAAGAAAGUCGGAAAUUUUGUAGGAAUAUAUAAGCAAUUGUCCUAAAGAUUUAUAGUAAAUUAAUAUAUUGUGUCAUGGAAGAUGAUAAAUAAUCUAAUUAAAUACAAUGAAACAAUUUUACAUCGAAAUGAUGUAAAAAAAAGUUUUUGUUCUUUUACUCGUAUGCAAGGUAGAAAUAUUUGAUCCAAUAAUAUUAUUUCAAUACAAAACAAUUGAUAGGAUGUGUUGGGUUAAAGGGACCAGUAUCAUGUCCUGUGGCGAGAGGUUAGGUUUGCCGACUCACGCUCAAAAUGACGUGAGGUGGGGUUGGACCAAGUCAUGCUCGAAGUGACGUGAGACUACUUCGGCCGAGUCACAGUCGAAAUCUAGUGGAUACUGUACCUAUACAUUUUUAAUAAAUUAGUUGUAUCUUACUUACAGCUCGAGGUUUUGAAAUUAAUGAUCAGCACCAACAAUUCUACAGGAUGCUUAGAAGAUGCCACAAAUCACAAUUGAUAUGCGCAAUGAUUAAUAGUUCAUCAACCUAAUUAGGUGCCUAGACACUAGACUCCAUCCCAAAGAUGCAUGUUCUCGGAAGGUUUAGGAGACAGCCUAAAAUUAACCACUAACUUAGAACCCCCACCGCCCUUCCGCCUCCUGAUUCUAAGUAGGGAGGUUAAUGGGUACGGAUGCUUGAAAUUUUAUUUGAAUCCAAAUCCGAAUGCAGCAAAUUUAUUCGAUGCUAAAUGAAUAUAGUUUCAGAUAUUGAUAUUGAAAAUAAAAAUUCAAUAGAUUUGGAUUCGGAUAUGGAUUUUAACUGUACACGACCCGAACCCGAAUUGGUUAUAUAUAUAUAUAUAUAUACAUAUAUAUAUAUAUAUAUAUAGAGAGAGAGAGAGAGAGAGAGAGAGAGAGAGAGAGAGAGAGAGUGAGUUGAGCUGGAAUACUAUCGGUAGCAAAUGUGCUUUGUUGCCACCAAUUUGUUUUCAAUGAUGAAGCCUCUAAAUCAACGAGCACCGUUGAAUAUGAUCUAUACCACUUGUGGUAUCUAGAAAUCAAAUUUCAUACUUUUUCAAUGUUGUUUUCUUGUCCAUCAAGUGAACACAAAAAUGAACGGCUGAAAAUGAAUAUACUUUAAAAAGUGAUGAUAGGAAUCUUGUAAUCAAGAUUGAGAGUAUAGAUCUUGUUCUAAAUAGUUUAAAAAAUUUUCUAAUCAAAAUUCAAUUGAUUUGGAUAUCUUUACACUGUUAAACGAGAAAACGCCUUAUAUCGACCAUUAAAAUUAUACAUUUUGAAACCUUUGAUCACUAGGUCAAUGAUGUCAAAAAAAUUUAAAAUUUGAUUUCUAGAUACUUUAAGUAGUAUAGAUUAUGUUCAAUAGUAUUGAUCGUCAAUUUGAAGCUCCAUUACCGAAAACAAAUGGGUGGCAACGGAGCCCGUUUGCUACCGAUAGCAUUCCAGCUCAACUCAUAUGUAUGUAUGUAUGUAUGUAUGUAUGUAUGUAUUUAUUUAUUUAUUCAUAUUUAAUAUGUUAUAUUUGAAUUUGCAUUUGAACAAUUUAAAUUUAAUGCAGUAUAUUUUGAAUAUUGUAAAGAGAAAUAAUUGCUUAUGGUUCGAGUUUUCAGGUUUUCGAUUUUGGUUUCUUGUUUCGAAUUUUGAUUGUGUUCGGGUUUGGAUAUGGAUUUUUAAAACCCGUCAGAUUCAGGUUCAGGGUUUGGGUUUCAGGUUUGGCAUUCGGAUUUUUAAAAAUCCACUCUGAAUCUGAUCAGUUGAUAUUCCUAAUUCUAAGUACCUAUAUAUUAACUGAAGGCUUGGAGGCACGAGUCCGGAUAAUUAAGUUCAUACAAGGGCACAAAUUCUUAACCUCAUAGCGAUUAUUUAAAAGCUUUUAACCUCUAUGUUUCGAAGAUAUAAAUCAUAAAAUCAAAAUGUUCUUAAAAGUAUAUUUUGAAAAUCAUAACUAUAAGAUAUAUUUGACACAAACAUGCGAGACUUAUAGCUGCAUCCUUAAUACAUAGUUAGGGUGUCAACGGGCCAAACACGAGUGAGUUGGGCCGGCUCGUGUUUGGCUCGUUUCAUAAACUAGCCGAUCUCGAGCUGAGUCAUUAAAGAAGAGUUAAUUUUUUUAUUUUGAUUACUUUGGGAGGAAUAACACUAACUUGAUUAGUUUUUUUUUUUUUUUUUUUUCCUUUUACUUCCUUCUAUUUUACUUUUUCUUAAUUCGCUUGAGCAUUUUCACUGUUUUCCUUCCCAGGUUUUGAUGCCCCCCUGUUUCCUAAAAAACAUCUAUUUUACUACAUAUUUUUCUAAAUAUUCUAUUUGUUUGAUUACUGUUGUGCAUUGUAUAGAUUAAGACAACUUAAAUAAUUAACUUAUAUCUUUUUCCAAUUAUUAUUAGAAAUUCAGUUGGGACAAAAAUAUAAAAUAAAAUAAUUUCUUUUAUCAAAUACAAAUUAUUUUUCGAAUCAGAUCGAACUGGAUUGGAAACGAACCGAAUACGAGCUCUGGCUCACGAGCAACAAGUUAAAAGAUUAGAAACGGUAUAUAUAAGAAAAAAUUUAUGAACUCAUUAGAGCUAAUGGUUGAAACUUUAUACAUAAAUAAACCUUAUAUAUAUAUAUAGAGAGAGAGAGAGAGAGAGAGAGAGAGAGAGAACUAGGCUGGAAUACUAUCAAUAGCACUAAGCUAUUUGUGCUAUUGAUUUUUUAGCCCUUGGAUUGAGAAAUCAGUGGUUAGGAUGAUGUGGGCCCCCCAGGGUUGAGUGAGUGGUUGGUUGAAUAGUAUAAUCUAACGGCUAAAAAUAAUCAAAGGGUUAAAUCUAACGGUGAAAAACUUGAUAGCACCAAAUUCUUGAUACUAUCGAUAGUACCUCAGCCGGCGACUCUCUCUCUCUCCUCUCUCUCUGCUUCUCUCUCUCUCUCUCUCCUCUUCGUAGUAUAUAUUAUAUAUAUAUAUAUAUAUAUAGUAUUUAUAUAUUAUAUUAGCCAGUACUGUAUCUAUAAGGUUAUAGAGCUUUCUUUGGUUACCUCAUAAAGUUUUUGGCCAUUGACUAAACCAUUUAAUAUUUUUGUUCACUUACUGUGAUAUUAUCUCAACCAACCACCCACUCACCCUUAGGGGCCCACUAUCAAAACCUAACCGUAAUCCACUCUCAUCUAACUGCACAUUUUUGCAUCUAAAUGAUCGAAAAGUUAUGAGCUAUACAAAGGGCUCUAUACUCAAUAUGGAUAUAGUGCCCAGCAUUAUAGUAUAAUAUAUUAUAUAUUACUACCUAAUAUUUAUACAUAUAUAUAUUAUAUUAAAGUUGAGGGCUAUGUUAGUACAAACACUCCCAUGUUGCUACAGUUUUUUUAGUAUUUAGAGUCAAUUCUUUCUCUUAUUUCUAACAUUGGAUAAAUACCUAUAACCAGUGGGGAGACACUCAACCCUAGGGGGGACACUCGAAUCUGAGAUCGACUUAAUAUCAUCGCACCUUACAAUUUUUCAUUAAGGGUUUAAAAAUUUGAUAGCAAAAAUGAGAGUUUUACUAUUAAUGGUAUUCAGCCUUAAUUCUAUAUGUAUAUAUAUAUUAGGGUCAAGAUGCAUAAGCUCCCUGCAAACAUAGCAAUUGCGGAUAUAUCCUGCAAAAUCAGAAACUCCAGUAAGUCUUGUCCCUACAAAAGUCCUAAGUUAUUGCAAGAUAAUGUCCCUGCAAGUUUACAUCCGUUUAGUGCUGGAGCUGUUUGUUUUUUAACAGCGAAGUGUGAAAGCAUGACCAUUUUACUCCUCACGAAAUAUAUCCCUCAAAAAGUUUUCCUCUUUGCCUUUUCUUUCUUUCCUCCUUCGGGCCGGCCGGAUUGGCGGGUUGACGGGCGGGGGGGAUGGCGACGGGCGGUGCCGGUCGACCUCGCCUGGCGACGGCGGUCGAAGAAGAAGGUAAGAGAAAAAUUGGAGAGAGAGAGGCAAGAAGGUGAGAAAUGAGAGGAAGGGGGGAGAGGAAGAACGUAGAAGCAGAAAGAUAAAUGAGGAAAAGGGUUCGCGCCGGCUGGCCCGCCGGAUCUCUCCACUCUAACUGGCGAGAAGAAGAUGGAAGAAGAAGAGGAAGAGGAAAGAAAGAGGCGAGAGGAAGAAGAAGAGGGAGAGGGAAGGUUCGCGGCGCCGUCGAUUUUCAUCCCUCUGCCCGGCAGACUGAGAAGAGGAAAGAGGAAGAGGGAUAGAGGAAGAAGAAGGUGAGAAAGGGGGCCGGGAAGAGGGAGACCGAAUUUAAGAGAGAAUAAGAACAGAGAAGAGGAUUCGGCCGUCGCCGGCCUAGUCCCGUACGCCUGCCAGUCGGCCGCUGACCUGUCGGCUGCCAGCUAUCCGCCUGUCAGUCGGCGAACGAGAAAGGGGUAAAGAAGAAGAGAGAGGAAGGAGACAGGGUAGAACCGUAAUUCACAGGUAUAAUAACAAUGGUUAAGUAUUUUAACUGGUUAACAGGAAAAAUUUUCUAACAAAUCUGGCCAGGCAGGGAAUUAUCCUGCAUACUGUUUAGACUUUUGCAGGGACAUAACUUAUGGAGUUUCUUUACAAGGGGAUAUUUUGCAAUUUCACUUGUUUUGCCAAGCGGACGUGGUAUGCAAGAUACCCAAUAUAUACUAUUAUAGAGCUAGGACCUCCUAUGGCUUUUCGAACGUUACGAGGUUCCUCCUUGUGAAUUGCUAAAGUUGUUUUCGAUGAUGGGCGACGUCAUUCCCAUGCGAUCGGUUCCCGUUAGAAAUGAUCUUACGUAUUGCGAAAACUAUCUGGAACCAAAUUUCAUAAUUUUUUAACUUCGUUGCGUACGUGAACGAGAACUAGCUCAAACAUGAACGGCUAGAACUAAAAUCUCAUAAAACAUAGAGAUAAGGGGGAUCAAAUUUCACAAUCGGGAAGUAUUGUUGCUCUGCUGCAAUUGAUGUUAUAGUAGAACUUUUCUGAUAAGGUUUCAUUGUAAUUUGGAUAUUCUACAACAUUUGAACUUGAAAAAACGGUUAGCUAUAACAAUCCGGGCUGGGUUAAAUCUUGUAAAAUUUGGUCAUUUGAGACCCUUUGAUCGUCUUUGGUAAAUUGAAGUCGCUAAGAACUUAUAAAAGUUUUUGGAUUUCUAGAUAUGUUACAAUUACGCUCAGAUUAGCCUACCGAGCACUGACCCUUCGUCGAAUCGGUAUAGAGUGGCUUAUAAUCAAAAAUAAUCUACAAGCCGGAAGCCUCGUACGGUUUCGAAAGCACGGGAGGAACCUACUCUCUCUCUCUCUCUCUCUCUCUCUCUCGUCUCUCCUCUCUCUCUCAUCUCUCUCUAUAUGAGUAUAUAUAAUGCUAUAUAUAUAUAUAAUAUACUUAUAUAUAUAGAUAUAUAUAUAUAUACUAGUAUCAUACUAUAUAUAUAUAUACAUAGUAUAUAUAUCGUAUAAUAUACUAUAUAUAAUAUGUGGCUUACUAUAAUCUUAAAGAGUAAUAGACUCCUUUAUUACUCAUAAAUUUGUCAGGUGCCGCCUUGGAUGAAAGGAUAUAUGGCCUUAGGAUCAGUUAGUGGUCCCGUGUAUAGGCAUGUGUAGUGAGUCUCUGCCUAGGGUUGAGUGCGCGUGGUUCGAUUGAAAUAGCUACUGAUCUAACGGAAGGUAUAUAUAUAUAUUACAAUGUAAAAUUAAUUCGAGUUCGGGUUCCGGACUUCAUCAUCUCCUCCAAUUUCAUCUCCUAUGCCGUUGUGUGUCGUCGGCGACACAUUCGUGAGGAGCGUAACAAGGCGAAGUUGUGAUCGCUUCACUAUGUAAUACUUAUACCACAUCAUUUAUAUCAGGCUAAUCACAUCAGCAGUAUAUAUAACUGUUGUAUUCUAAACUUUUUCCUUAAAAGGAGAAUAGGUCUGAACCCAAAAUGCCCGUGCCACACGAACGGCACGUAUUGGAUGAUCCAUGAACACUAGUCCUGCAUGAUGUUUGGGCAGCCUGACGCCGGGUUCAUGAAUUGGCGGCAAACGCUCGAUGGGUGCGAGCUGUCGGUCUUCAACCGCUAUAAAUUUUUGCUCGAGUGUCCUUUCGUAACGUGCAAUUCCAAUUCGAAAAAUAAUUUUUGAGAUCUACGCGUCGAAAAAUGAAGCAGUUCCGCCCAAGUUUUGAACCUAAAUUCAACUGAUUAGACCUCCAAAUUUACAUUUUUAGAUGUUUUUUAAGAAAAUUUUAUAUUUUCUCUACUUUGAGUGUAGUUAUUUGGUUGUUCCUGGUGGGUUUAGAUUUAGAUAUAUAUUGGAUUUCAUUAUCUUCUAUCAUAAUAAGAUUCUGGAACUGCUUCUACAUAAACUAGAGUUGAUUAAUAAUAUUUUUUUACUUUGUUAAAAAAAUUGUGUUUUUCGCAUAUCUCUCUUUCCGUUCUUUUGAUUCUUCUCUCUUAAUGCGUCUUAGGCCUUCCUCAAAGGUAAUAAGAAUUGCAUAUAUGGUCUCUCCUCUCUACGUAAGAGAAAACAAAGACCUAGGUUACAUUUUUGGAUUAACUUUACCAUUGGUUCAUAACUUCUACCCAAUUUUUUACUUUAGUCCUUAAUAUACUAAAUUUAGGUUGUUGGCAAUUACUAUUUGUUUUAAUUGAUUUCUUACAUCACAAAAAAAGAAGAAAAGAAAAAUUCUAGUUAAAAACAACUCCAAUUUAGAGGCAAAUAUUAUUUAAUAUUGCUGGUGAGUUAGUUUUCAUAUUAGAGUUAAACUGAUUUUCAAUAACUGAGGCCUAAUCGAAAUAAAUAAUAAACGUUUAGAGCAGGUUGUACAUAUUAAAAAAAUUGGGGAGUGAAGUGAAAAACCGAUUAGGGGCCAAAUAGUGCAACCCCUAAAAUUUUAGUAUAGUGUAGUGGUGGUGCUGUACAUAACUAUAAAUAUUCCACUGAAUCACUAGAUCUAUUUUUAGGUUAAACAUCUAAACUUUUAGAAAAAUAUUUCUGCGGACACUGCAACAAAACUAGGUUUUAGAGACACUUUUUUGAGACACUUUAGUAUAAGUGUCCCACAAUAUGUUCCCUUAUUUCCAAAACAGAGUGUACAUCUUACACCAUUUUAUUAUAGGAUUUUAAAAAUAUUUAAGGCUUGAUUAUUAAAAAAUUGACAAGAUAAGAAGAGGCUUAAAUCAAAAAUGUUGGAUUUCAUCUGAAAGCACAAUGUGAAAGAUGAGUAAGUGCCAUAGAUGAACUGAUGUUGAUAUUUCUAGGUAAGAGUCAGAUAUCAUCUUCCCUUAUUUCCAAUAAUCUAAAAGAGUCUAUUUUAAUAAAAGUCCCAUAAGAUUAAGAACAUUCACUUUGGUCGCAAAAUAUUCUUUCCAUUGUGGACCAUUCGAUCCACCGAAUAUCAUAUAAAAUGCAUGAAUAUCAACACAAUAUGAAUUAUGGAUUCAAUGAUCUCAUGAUAUGAACAGUUUCCUUUAAAAAUUUAUUCUCUAAAGAAGGUCUCACUUUGGAUUAAGUUCAGUUAAAUACUAUUAGGGGAAAAAAAGGAGGCAUAUGGGCACAUUAUUUUAUUAUUUAGUCUUAUAUUUCUCUCUUUUAAGGUUGGGAGUCAUGUUCACAAUUUUCCGGAUUGAAUGCUAGCUGUAAAUGCAGUACAUCAAAAGUAAAUCGAAUAUUUGCUUGUUGGUAUGCCCCAAGAAUAGUCCAAGUAUCCUGCGGUAGCAUUGCAAAGCAGACAAUUCCCUUUUGUUGAACAAUGUUGAACAAGUUCUGCCAUGCGAAAUGCAUCUCAGCCCCUUGCAAAUGAAAUGUCAUACUCGGCAUUAAGCUCUGAUAAUGUGGUUGGAAAAGCCAACAAAGUUUAAGUGAGACUCCAUAUUUCCUUGGGUCCACUUCAACUAAAUUCUUAUGCUGGAAAUGAGCCCUAAGAACUUUCUUCACCCGUUCGAAAGCUGGGGUUAUCAAUCGAGAGACUGCUGCCCCAGAGUCCACAACGAACCCACCCGACCCAUUCGGCUUUCGUGCAAACAUUUCUGGCUCAAAUCCAAGUCGUUUGGUGCCAACACUGAUGUCAUUCAAGAUAAUAUAAUAGAAGCACACACCUUGGACUGGUAUUAUUGAUGUAGUUUGGAUUGGACCUCUUUGUAUAAUGUUAUCUCCGAAUCGUAAAAAACUCAUACUUGUUGAACCUCUCGAGGGAAGACAAUAUGAGAAGCGGCCCUGACUGCCAUGAUUAAUGAGUUGCAUUGCAAAUGAUUCCUUGGACAAACCUAAUGAAAUUAAUCCUGAUGGAUAACCAUGGCUGGGUAUAGCUAGUUGGCUAUCAUGCGAGCAGCCAAAGAUGAGCCCCUCAACAAACUCAAGGUGGUCACCACGGCUAGAGCGGAAGCCGAAGGUGUCUUUUGAGAGUGUGCCUCUUGUGUAGGACUCAUCGAAAUAGCUAAUCUGGUAGUGGCAACGAUUGUUUAUGCAAUGGUAAUGCCCUUGAGGGCAAGGGCUUUGGUGGGAGCAGGAGAUGUCAACGAAGGAAGUGGAUUGGCGAGGGUCAAAGUAAGGAUCAUUUUGUGGGUAGCAAUUUAUGCAUGGCUUGCAUUGGGUCCAAGUAAGUGCACUACCUGUGUCAAUAUUUAAGUAGUAGCCAAUAGUACCGUUGCCUGUGCCAAUCGUCAAAAAAACCAUGUAUAAUGAACUAUAGUAGAUGAUAUUAGUGCGUAUUGCAGUUAUUUUAUAGCCAAUUGACAUCUCUUGAGAGUUGUUUAGUUGGAGGAAUCGAUUCUCGAAAUAGUGAAGGGAGUCUUCGAAGCGCUGUAAAUCGGUGAGGUUAGGGUUGUAAAUAGGGGACUGAGGUGAGUAACGAUAGAUGAGCUCAAAGCUUAAGGAUCUUUUCAAUCCUCCAGUAGUUUCAGAGAAGAAGAGUAGGAUAGAUAUUGAAAGAAGAAAGGUAAAAUGCGAAUAGAUUGUUUUGGCCAUGAUUGAUGUUUGUGAGUUUAGAAUUACAUUGUGGACAAGAGGAAACUAUAUAUAUAUCUAUAUAUAUAUAUUAUUUAUUUAUUUAUUUAUAUGUAUGUAUGUACAUAUACUUAGUAGAUCUUGUGUGCUAUUAUGAGGCAUGGAGGCCUUCGUGUUCCUAAGUCGUUUUUGAUGAUGGAGCUUUCAAAUUGACGAUCAGCUCCGUUAGACUUGAUCUAGUGUAUUUGAAAUAUCUAGAAAAUAAAAUUUGCAGUUUUUUGAUAUCACUUAGCUAGUGAUCAAAAUGAUUCAAAAUUAACGGCUGAAAAUUAAAGUCUCACAAAAAGUGGUGAUAUAACACUAAAAUUUUUAAUUAGAAAUGUUGAUCUUGUAUAAAUAGUAUAAAAAAUUUUCUAUUAAAAUUUUAUUUGAUUUGAAUACUUUUACACCGUUAAACAUAUAAAUGAUAUACAUCAACUAUUAAAAAUUAUUGAUUUUGAGCUUUUUGAUUGCUAAAUAAAUGAUAUCGAAAAAUCACAAAAUUUAUUUUCUACAUAUUUCAAAUAUACUAGAUUAAGUCUAACGGAGCCGAUCAUCAAUUCAAAAGUUUCAUUAUCGAAAAUGAUUUAAAAGUAUAGAGGCCUCUGUGUUCUUAAUAGCACACAAGACCUGCUCGCUUUCAAAGCAUAGGGCCUCCGUGUUACUUUUUUUUUUCAAUGAGAGAUUGGAAUCAAUGAUCCACUUGUUAGACUUAAUCUCUAUUUGAAUAUUUAUGCAUCUUUCAACUUCCAAUUACCUCAUAUUAAUUAUUGAAAUAAAUAAUUUUUAAGACCUUUUGAUCACAAAACUUGACACUAGAUAUCUCAAAUAGUUUAGAUUAAGUCUAAUAGAGUAGAUCAUUGAUUUGGGAAAAAAAAAAAAAAGUGAAAGCAUAGAAACCCCAUUGUUUUUAGAAGUAUAGUAGCAUCAUUCUCUCUCUCUCUCUCUCUCUCUAUAUGUAUGUAUGUAUGUAUAUGUGCGUGUAAGUAUGUAUGUUUAUAUAAGAUAAAACUAGAUAAAACUAGAAAAGAUAGGGAACAAAAUAGAAAAAGAGAAUCCAUAAAAUAUCUUUGGCACAGAAAAGACAAUUAUAGAUUCCCACUGCAAAAUGACCUCUCUUGAACUAACAACAUCAUAUAUAUGUAGAUAACAUUUAAAUGGUUAAUUAGUUACUUUUGGAGGUUAGAACUACACGCGCCAUAAUAGUCAAUGAAAAGUAGUCCUAGUGGUCUCAGUAAGGAAAAAGUUUAGGACCCAUUUGGGAACUGAAUUUAAUGCAGAAAUUUUUUUUUUCAAUGGCAUAAAAUUUGCUCAAAAGUAACAUUAAUUCGAAGAAAAACCUUUUGAUCAGUCCCAGAUGACUAGCAUGUAUACCUAAAACUCUAUUUGGUGUGUAUACCUAAACUCUGAGACUGGUCAAUAUUCUUGAAAAUAUUGUUUAGUAUGUACACCCAAAAAAUAUUCUUCUUUUUUUUUUUGAGAGAGAUAGGUAGCACGCCACCUGCUUCGUUUAUUUCAUUUAAAAAUAAACUUAGCUAGAAAUGUAAAUCAACUAGGAUUCGAACUUGGGUUUCGGAUACCAACCACCAAGCCCUUAGCCACUUCCUCUAGGGACGGUCGGUCUAUUUAGAAAAACCUUACAAGAUGAACGCCGCUAGAUACCAAAAGAAAAUAAAUGAAAAAAUUAUUAUGUAACAAUAUCUUGAACUGUGCUUUGCUAUUGCAUAUCAUGAGCACAAUUCAUAGAAAUGAAGGCUAUCUACAAUUGCACACAAGUUGAUUGAGCAUGUUUCUGCUGAAAUUAAUGCCUCGAGAAUGCUGAUAUCUUUCCUAUAACACCAUCCCCCAGUAAAACAAAAUUUUCUACUAAUCAAUAUAGAAUAAUUGCUCCUGCCGUAUCUCUAUAUACUUUAUUUGUCCUCCCUUCUCUUCUCCUAGUGAUGUGAAAAUGUGUGGCAAUAACUAAGAUACCAUAUCACUGUCACAUUAUAUGAGUUACGGCAAGCGCACAAACGGAAACGAAGAUGACGAACACAAAAUAAACAAACCACAAAUAAAAAUAAAAGAACAGAUUUACCUGAAAAUCCCUUUGCAGGAAAAUACCACGGGUGAGGGAGGAGAGAACUUUACUAUUGAAAAAGAGAAUACAAUGUUUGGAGUACAACCAUCAAUCUGUCCUCUCUAGGGCAAAUUCGAAAAGGAAACUCUUAACGGGUUUUGGAUCCGAUCCGUACCGCGGAGAAGGGAGGCCCCCGUACCCCUUGACGAAUGUUAGUGGUGGGCUAUGGGCUCGGGCCUAUCAGCUUGAGCCCGCCACUACCCACCAUGGACAUUUAUUUUUUUCUUCACAAUUUUAUUUUCAAAUGUCACACUGCGAAACUGUCGGCGAGUCGAAAUCCCGAACUGAGGUUGAUUUUCAAUUUUGAGUCAUAUCUAACAAUAUGUAACUUGUAAUUGAUCUGUCUAAUUAUACCCAGUCAACUUUAUUAAAUGGUAGAACUUUCUUACAGCAAAAUUAUAACGUAUUGAACUUUGACUAAAUUGAUAAAGUACGGAUUAAGUUAUGCUAGACAUGAUUAGAAGAGGUUUUGAGAAGAUUAGACUGAGUUUAGAUCGAAUUGAAAGCAAUUCGAAUUGAAACUGAGUACCAGAAGAAAGGAAAUCUAAGUUCUAGAAUUUUUGGCUGUUCGCAAAUAGGAAUUCGGGCAUUCAAAAUGGUUUUAGACAACCUAAUGGAGCAUCCAAAAUAAAUGACUCUCUUUCAAAGAGUGAGAUUGGUGAGGAGGCCAAUUUUCAACUAUCCGAAUAGUGCUGUGGGUGCCCAAAACUUUUCGAACCUACUUGAGGGCUUGUGGAACCCUUUCGGACUCCCAACCCGAGAGCUCGGAUGCGCGAAGAAUUAACCAUUUGGUGUUUGAAUGACCCUACGGGCAUCCGAAUGACCUUGCUAGCACCCAAAAUAUCUUUGGGCAGACCCUCACAGACGUCCAAAUAGAUUUCGGAUGCUCAACCAAAGAGCAUUGGUUAUGUGGCACAAUAAACAAUCAGACACCGGAUCUCUUUUUCUAGCCCCCAAAUUGUGAAUCAUACAAACUGGGCGGGCAUCAAGACCAUCGACCGGACAUAGCUAUGACGCUUUCGGGUGCCCACCUGAAACCUGACGUAAAGGAUGAGGACCAGUUAGUUGCAAAUAAAAAGAGUUGGUAGGUUUAUGGACUAUUGUAGCACCUCUAUAUAGCCCCAUAUCAUAGCCAAACCCUAAUCUUUUUCUUAUUUCCCCCUUUCUCACUCUCAGUCUCCUCUUUCUCUCUCUAGGAAAAAAUGAGAAUCCUAAAUCUCCAUUAUUGGAGCUCAUAGAACCACCUCCUUGGUAGUUUGGGGAAUGUCAAAGGUAUCAAGAGGAAGCUCUUGGACGGAGAAGAAAUCCACUUCACCAACAUUAAUUACUCUUGCCAGAAAGAAAAGAGAUGAGUUGAAAUUUUAGGGUUUAUAAUCUUAAGGGCCAUUUGAAACAUCUUCUCCAAAUCAAUAACUUCUAAAUUAUGAAACACAACUUUAUUACUCGUUUAAGACACUAGUUUAUAGUAAAACCCUUCAAGGAGAAAAAAAUCAAACUUUUUAUCUAUAAUGCCUCUACUUAAAUAAGAAAAACUUUCCCGGCAACCCCAGCUGUCGCCGUGGCCAGAGAAGGGAGCUUGACCCCAACUUAACCCGUGCGAGCUUCGGUCGUCCCCUUGCCACCAUCGCAGCCUCCCGCCGCCGGCAGCGCACACACCGACCUCCCUCUGUUGACCACACACACCCCCUACUGUCGGUGCACCCGCCGCUGAGUCGCUGCCGGCCGGGCUUGGCUUCCCUAUCCACAGCAAGCCUGGUUAGGGCAUUUCUUGGUGAUUUUCACUAUUUCGGUGACUUGGGGCUGUACUGACACCUCCAAAGUUGAGCACGGUGACUCCCAGUCAGUGCUGAUCACAGUGCUUACCUAAUUUGUUGUUGGCGAGGCUCGGAUCAGCAUUUUCGGCCUAGUUGCUCCUAUGUGCAUCAUUUGUUGAAGUUCGGCUCACUCCUGCGCAUCCCAUAGUGACCCGUGGUGCUCCGGACAGCAAGCACGGCCUCCACCUUGUCGAGACCUAUCAGCCAGUGUCUCGGGUGACCUCGAAAGCACUCGGUUAGCGAUAACGAGCCAUAAAACCCCUCUAGUUGCAUGUAUAAAUGUGAUUGUAUGUAAUAAUAGGGGCUCUUACGCAAAUUGCCACCUCACGGCUGCUGUGGGCAGCAUGUAUAUGUCGUAGAUGACCUCUGGACUGAUCAUCCAAGGUUCGAAGCCCUUUGCGGAGACCAAAUAAUGGUUUCGGUGCAUUUUUCGAUGAAAUUCUCCGGCGGAACAUAGUUUCGGGUCGGAUUUUAUCUGACGCUGUUGGAACACCUUGAUUGUUACCACCGAGCCUUGUUGGCUAGUCACCUACAUCAUCUUGAAUGUCCGGAGAUGACGGGUGAGUGGCUGAGUGUUCCAGUGUCAAAAUUGACACUUUUGGGAACCCGGAUCGGAGCGAUUAUCCGACGAUAAUUAUUUCGAUGUGUGAUCUUGGUGUUUGCUACCAGGACAUCCAAAAUGAUGGUUGGGUCAUCUUUACACCAUUUACAGCCUCUUUUGCACUAUUACAUUCAAGGUAGCACAAAAUGCAGAGAAAAAUUUGCACUGGUUUACAUAGAUUGCUCCGUUUUCUUUAAAGUUGCACUUCUUACUUUGCCGUGUGGUAUCUCAUUGUAGAUGCACGACUUGUCCUCCUCUUUCACUUGCUAAUCGUAAACCACUCUUCCCCCUGCAAGCUGUUGUACUUCUUCCACUUCUCUUUUGCAAACACCAAGCUCAACAAAGAGUGUUGGAAUAAAAUAUGACAGAUGUAUGGAGGAAGGCGAGGGGGUUUAGAAAUAGGGUAAGCAGCAUGGGACGCGGGAGAGGGGACUGCGGUGAGGCAAUGAAGAAGAUUGACUGCGUGGGAUUAGGGUGUUGCACUGGUUGACAUAGCGUUACACUUUUAGCGGCAAAUGUUGCACUGGUAUGGGCUGCGCACUGCACUGUUUGAAGUGUUGUUGCAGUAUUUUCCUUCGCUUUGCACCAUUAUCCUAGCCGUCGACUGCGUAUUUUUCCUAAUUUAGCUUCAAAAUAUUUAUUUUCGAAAAGCCGAACGACAAACAUAGGGGUUCGCGAAUAGAGGUGCUGAUUCUAUUUGUAUUUCGAUGACUAGGAGAUUGUGUAACCCAUGUGCAGAGCGCAUUUAAUGCCCUGAAAGUCACCAUACAGUACAGUAGCUGCAUUUGAUGCGAUAUGGGUGAGACAGAGGGAGACAAGGGGUAUUUUUGUUAGAUAGCGGAAAAUCCGGCCCGAAUCUGCAAAAUCGAAAAUGGCGGCCUAGAUUUGCAAAAUCGCAAAACUAGUGGAUUUUUUAUGCAAAUUGGCCUAGUUUAUCAUACAAUAUUUCCUUUUCUAAAGUGAAACAUGUUAAAAAAAGAGAAGUCAAUUAGCCAAAAAAAAUCUAUGUUGUAACAUACCGAAACAUCGGUGGAAUAUGUUGGACUUUAGCCAAAUUGGCCAAAGUGUCCGAAAAAAAUAGUGGGACAAGUUCCAUUUAAUAUUCCAACAAGGUUAGAAGGGUUAAAAGUGGGUUCUAAAGGGGUUAGAAGGGUUUUAGCAUCGUUCGGUGCGAAAUAGAAUCGAAACGGAACCAAAAAUCAAGUCUGGGCAAAAUGUACCGGUACAACCAUCGAGUUGUAACCAGUACAGCAAAGUGUACCGGUACAGCAUUGAAAGUGUACCGGUACAAAUGCUACGAAAUCGAGAAGUAGCUCUGGGGUUUUGUCUCUGCGCAAUCGUGUUACCGGUGGCACGAGGAAGUGUACCGGUACACUUUGGGCUGACAACAGGAAAUAGGUCUGCUGCAAAUAUAAGUUGAUGGGGGGCUUAUUUGCAAAUAUUGCACACUAUAUAUACAACCAAACCCCUUCUCCUUCACAGCAGCCCUCUUCUCUCCCAUUUUCUCUCCCUCUCUUUUUUUCUAAAAGCUUUGCACCAAGGCAAAGGAGGAGGAGAAGAAGGCUUAGAGAUGGAUUUUUGAGGGUUUUGAAGGAUCAAGAAGCUCUCCUGCAAGGUGGAUUUGGAGGAGCUUGGGCUAAGGUAACCUCUCAUGCAAGGAUACAUCUAGGGUUUAGAUUUUUACCCUAAGAUCUAGAGUUUUGAUCUUCUUGCAAGCUUUAGAACAUUGUAGAGGUUUGGAAACACAUGAAAACCAUGUGUUCUUCAAGGUGCUCUAAUGGUAAUUUAUAGGUUUUGUUCUAAACACCCUAAGGAUGGUUCGAAUGCUUCUAGAUGAGCUUCUAGAUGUUGAACAAGCUCUCUUUUGCUUGUUCUAGAGAUCAAACCAAGAUAUUUUGCUAUAUGUCACAUUUGGGCACCCAAAAGAGGGAUUUUACUCAAGUAGGGUUUUGAUGCAAAUUAACCCUAUGCAAACCUAAUUUUACGAACGCGUUGGUGAAGUCAGUUCGACGAUUUGUCGAGCCUAUGCGAAGUUAUUGAAGAAACGGACCGUUGAAGCUUCGUUUCCGCUUGGAGGGCCGAGGCGACGUCCUAAAAUCAUGAAAUCGGAAUCGUGGGCUCGUGGCAACUAACCGAAGACCUUUAAUUUUCGGAUCGUGGAUUGGAGGCCGUUCGGGUGGUCGUGCGAGAGUUCGGGCCGAACCGGGUCAUGGGUGUCGCGGGAGGCCGAUUGCAAGUGACUACAAGCAAUCGGAACGCGUUUUGAGGUGGGUUGUGUUUACCGAAGCGACUAGGUCGCCUGUAUGUCUAAAAUAAAUAUUUUUCAUUGAUGCAUGUAGUGGUAGCUAGUGAUAGAACAUGUGAAUGCAUAGGAUGAAUGCUACGUGGGCUACCAAAUAACACAUGAUGACAUAGUGUAAAUAAUGCUAGUGGAAAGCAUAAAGUAAAUGGCAUGUGCAUAUAGAAAUGCUAAUAUAAGAAUGCUAGGUGAAUAUAUGAUAAGCAUGAGGUAGAAAACUAUGUUAAAUGACAUGUGCAUGUGGAUAUACAUAUAUAUAUAUAUAUAUAUAUAUAUAUAGAUCGAGUGGCAUCGAACCUAGUGUUAAUAAACAUAGGUUGAACAAGUGUGGCAUGUAACCUAGUGUUAAUAAACAUAGGUUGAAUAAGUGUGGCAUGUAACCUAGUGUUAAUAAACAUAGGUUGAAUAAGUGUGGCAUGUAACCUAGUGUUAAUAAACAUAGGUUGGAUAAGUGUGGCACCGAACCUAGUGUUAUUGAACAUAGGUUGGAUAUGAACCUAGUAUCAUGAACCUAGGAUGGAUAAGAAUGAAUGUGAACCUAAUGUUUGAGAACAUAGGUUGAGAAUGAACCUAGAGUCAAGUCAACCUAGGUUGUGAGAUAAAGGUAAUGAACCUAGAGUUAAAGUAAACCUAGGUUAUGUGAUAAAGCAUCAAGCCUAGAGUCAAGUGGACCUAGGGUGGAAAGAACAUUGGACCUAGAUAGGUCGACACUAUAGGAUUAAGACCAACCCUCGAGUUAUGUGAAAUGGAUUCCGGAAUCCGAGAGCUUUGGAUCACACCGAGAGUGGUGUGGGCCGUGUGCGACGAUUUCGCCGCCGGAUGGUUAUGCCGGUUUGUGGAUUAUACCGCUGCUUGACUUGAACCAUUGUCGUGGCGUAUGUGCGACGAUUUCGCAGCCAGGUGGCUCAGUCAUAAAGUGCGGCAGGUUGUGGUAGGCUGAGGUGCAUGCCAGAGUUCCUUCACCUCGAGCCGACAGAGCGCGGAUUAUCUGAAGUUGAUUGACUCAAGACCGAGUCGAGUGGCAUAGAUGGCUAAGGUAAAGGUAACCUUAGGAAAGAAUCGCCAAUGAGCAUUGUCACGCCCCGGAACCGAUGCCAAUUUGGCUCGACCCGAGCACGUCAAACAGACGCCGAACGGACAGAGUUUCCCCUAUCCGCCCAAGGCUCAUCACAUGUACAUUUUCAUCAAUAGAGAAAAGCACUAGCGGAAACAUACACAAACGGCUUACAUGAGGCUAAGCAAUAGCCAUUAGUGAAAGAAAGGAAAACUAAACAUUUACAAGUACUAUGAUUCAUUUUUUGAUCAUAUACAUUGCAUUCAUUUACAUUCAUGAUUCUUGUACUUCAUUACACAUUGCAUCAUUUCUUUCUUACAUCACAUUUAUCUCAAAAUAAGCUUUACAUUCUUUUCUCAACAUCAUUAGUCAUCAAAUACAAAAGAUGAACAUAGGGUACUCUACUAACAAAAUGUAAACCCAACUCAACUCUGGUGGCCUCUGUCUAAGGCGCGAUACCUUUACCUCGGUCGCUCGCUGGCGCGCUCGGUCCCGGCCUGUGGAAAUAGUGGGGUGAGAACUACAAUAAAGUCCAGUGGGUUUCGCCCCCAACAUCAUCGGACUUCCUACUAGGACCUACUCAGGCCAUAAUAGAAGAUAAGCUGAAAUAUAUGUAACCAAUCUACAAACAUGAUGCUAAUAUGCCUGAACAAUAAAGCAAGGAAUAUGCUCAACAUUAACAUAUACAGAUUAUGCAAGUUCUUUCGUUCUUUAUCUUUACACUUUGUUCUUUUGUUCUUUGUUCCUUUAUUCUUUAAUCUCAAGGCUAACCGCGGGGUUUCGCCAUAUUAACUUGCUUCACAUUAAGUCCAUCAUCACAGAACUCACCCCGCUAGGACCGUCCUUCGGUUCAUUCCAACCGUGAUGCAUAACUUCGGAGCGCAUCGCCGAGGGGGAGCGACCGCCUCGAGCACGGAACUCAUAGCAAGUAUGAUCAUAUCCUUAACUCAAAGGAUUUAUAAGUUCAAUCUUGACUUUACACUAGCUCUAGUGUUCUUUCAUCACUUUUUUGUUGCCACUCUACAAUCAUUGUAUCUUUAGCAUUCAUAUACUCUGCUACUCUAGCAAUUAUAUUCUUUACAUUUUUUACUUUUGGCUACCUCCAGCACUUCACGUUCUUUCUACUCCCCACAUUACUUUAACUUUAACAUUGUCAUUUUCAUCAUUCUUACAUUACAUUGGUUCUUUACCUCACACUAUCUCUAGUGUCAUUUCACUUUACCUUUAUCGAAUGCCACUCGAUCCAUGUCAUUGUGUCACUCUGUUCUUUUGCUCACUUUGGGUGCUCACUUUUCUCUCAUGCAAUACACAUAGGGUUUUCGACAUUCACAUAGUUCUCACUCAUCGUAUUAUGCAAGUUGUAUUCACAAUCAUGCAUCAUUAUAUUUUCAUCAUUCUUUACCCUAAAAUGCAUGCAACAAUAUAUUUACACAUGCUCAAAUGAAUGACACAUUAGGCAUAGAGAGAAGUUCAACGAGUUUGGAAAGCACCACCCACCUCGUAGGUCUCUUUAGGUGCUCCGAUGAUUUUCUUGGAAUUUUUAGACACCCGGUUCACUACCUGCGGCAUAACGAAGCCCAAUUAGGCUUAUUUGGCCAUAACUUUACAUACACUUUUCGUAAUGCUAUUCCGAGCGCACCAACGCGUCGGAAGUACCCCCAAUUAGGUUUCUAGAGGGUCAAUUGCACUUAGAAAUCCCCAUGAGCAAAAGCCCCAAUUUGGUGCCCUAGCUUCAAUACAUAUACAAAACCUAGGGUUUGAUCUCAAUGGGAAGCAAAAGUAGCUUCAUUAUACUCUGAAAAGUCCAUUAGAACCAUCUUUAGACAAAUCAAAACCCUACUUAGGGUUUCGCCAUGAGAGGUGAUGAAGCUCACCUUCAAGCUUUACCAUUUCUAUGGUCUUGAUCUCAAAAGAAGCAAAAGAAAAGCUUCAAAUACUCAAAUGGUUCCAUAAAACCCAUUUCAAGCUUAAUCCAAACCCUAGAUUAGGUUCUACCAUGAUUAGGGUUCAAAGCUUGCAUGCCUGCAGGUCGACUCUAGAGGAUCCCCGGGUACCGAGCUCGAAUUCGCCCUAUAGUGAGUCGUAUUACAAUUCACUGGCCGUNCUUUACCAUUUCUAUGGUCUUGAUCUCAAAAGAAGCAAAAGAAAAGCUUCAAAUACUCAAAUGGUUCCAUAAAACCCAUUUCAAGCUUAAUCCAAACCCUAGAUUAGGUUCUACCAUGAUUAGGGUUCAAAGCUUAUCUUGUAAGCUCUCCUUUUCCAAGCUAGAGAUGAGGGAGAGGGAGUUUCUUCACUUCUUCUUCUUCUUCUUCUCCACUUUCUUCUUCUUCUUUUUCCUUCCUUUCCCUUGUCUUCUUCUUCUCCUUUGUCAUCUAGAGAGAGAGAGGGAGAGAAGAGAGUGUGAGAGGGUGAGGAAAUGAGAGAAAUAUCUCAUUUGCCCUCAUACAUAGCUAUUGGGUUGCAAAAAUGCAAAUAAACCCCUCAACUUGUAUCUCUGUACACUGCCUGGACUGGGCAGUUUUCGCAGGUAGGGACCGGUCUCUCCUUCAGGGACCGGUUCCCGAAGGUCGUCCCAGCGCAGCCAAAGUUGCUGUGCGCGAUGCAUCCGGUCUCUUCUUGGGGGACCGGUCUCUCGGGGACCGGUCUCUCAAGCAGGGACCGGUUCCCAAGAGCUGGUUUCUCAGGACUUAGCCGAUUUUUCGGCUGUCUCAAUUCAUACACGUUCGGGGACCGGCCUCUCCCACCAGGGACCGGUCCCCGAGAGCUCAAAACUGCAGAAUGCAGAUUUUGAUUCUAUAGCUCUCGAAAACCUCCCGUAACUCACUUUUAAUCAUUUUAACACCUUCGGACUUUCCGAAGUGUACCGUCCUCGCACUUUGGUCAAUUUGACUAAAGUUCGACAUUUAUUUUCCGAAUUUUCGGUAUAUUACAAGCAUAGUGUGACAAGGAAAUAAAGUAAAGAACGGCUAACGAAUAAGAAUAGCUAAUAAAGUAAAGAACGACUACAAGUAAAGAAUGGCUAAUAAUAUGAAGUAGAAUCAAUUAAUCUAUUUGCAUGAGUUACAGGAUAUGCAUAAUGUUCAUAUUGCAUUUGUGAGAGCAUGUUAUCUAUUAGUUGCAUAAUAACAUGAUGAUAUAUAUCUGUAGAUGUUUUUGGACUAACAUGAUUGUAGUGCCUCCUUGGACCUAUUGGUCGAACUUUUCCCUUGGGUGGCCGUACCCACUGGGAACCAUGGAGUUGGUUCUCACCCCACGUUGUUUUGGGGUGUUACAGGUUCGCACGUGAGCGGCGCGGCGGCGCGAGGCAAGGGCGUAGCUCCGUAGAUAGCGCCCUACCCAGCGACUAGAGAUAGCAGUACCCCGAGUCGGCAUAGCCUAGGGGUAGAGGAAAAUGAAAAGAACAAGAUGAAUGGAUUAAACUUGUAAUAAAUCAUUGUAACUUGGAUUGUAUUCGGAAGUUGGAAAAAAAAUGUAAUAGUAAUUGUGAUGUAAAAUGCACCUAAAGAUGAAUCUUGUAAUAACUUAGUUGUUUUAUAUUUUUGAUACUUCCUUAUGCAAUCUUUGGUUGAAAUGUAUUCCUGGUUGGAACCUCGUACAUUAUAUUGAUUGCGACACCUAGGAUGUACAGGGAAAACUCUGUCCGUUCGGCGGUCUAUUGGCGUGCCCAAACCCGACCAAAUACGCGGGGCACGGGAUGUGACAUAUGUGUUUUUGGAUACUACGGACCACAAGAUUUAUUGCAAAUAAAUUAUAUUAAGCCAAAAUGUGAUAAAUUAUCUAAUGAAAAGCAAGGCUAUAAUACAAAAAAUUCUCUACUAAAUAUCUAAUUUUUCACUCUUUUUCCUUACUUUCAAAAACUUAUAUUUUUUCCCCUUAAACUUUUGAAAAUAUUUUCAAAGGAAUAUAGCGUUAAUGGAAAGGGAAAAUUUACUAAACUAUUCUUACUUGUUCUAUAAAAAAAGUAAUUUUUAAAUAUAUUUCUGUCAUUUCAAUCGUAUUUUCGGUAUAAAAUGUUGGAGAUUGACAAAAUAUUGACAGAACCUUGACAGUGGUGGACUAAAUUCAUUAACUUGAAAUUUUAAAAGGAUAAAAUAUAGGUUUUUGAAAAUGAGAGAAGAAAAAUAAAAAAGCGGAUAUAUUUACAUGAGGGUUUUCUAUAUUUUAGCCUAAAAUUUGACAAUUGUACAUUGAAAUGAAGUACAAGAAAAGUUUUAUUUUUAUACUCGUACGCAAUGUAGAAAUAUAUAUUUGAUCUGACAAUAUUAUUUCUAAAUGAAAUUAACAGCUGCUAUAUAUAGCUAGUGAGUGAUUUCUGACCUAUGUUUAAUGAUUAGCCCAGUGGUUAAUUAACCCAUCUGCAUGUUCAAUAAUUAAAGAUGGCUAAGAAUAUUUGUAUGGACUAAGUAAAAGAAAAUAUUAGUAGCUUUGUAAUGAAUAAUUGAAGCAUUGUACAGAAUAAUUCAAUAAAAGGGAAGGAGUUAACAAUGGCAUUUUGACAACUACAUAGUGAAUUGAUAUAUACUUUGAUCAAAAGACAUAUUCUAAUACUAAAAGGAAUAUUCUUGCAGUAUAAUAUUAUUUCUAAUAAGUUGAUAUCUUAAGGUUAGGGCUGGCAAACGAGUGAGCCGGCUCACGUUCGACUCGCGUUCGGGUCGAUAUUCGGCUCGAUAUUCGGCUCGCUCGAGCUCGACUCGAAAUUAAAUGAGCCGAGCUUGAAUGUUACUCGGCUCGCUCGAAUUAGGCUCGAAAAAUCUCGAACAUAUAUAUAUAUAUAUAUAUUGUCACGCCCCGAAUUACUCGUUUCCCCGGGCACGCUAACAGAUCCGCCGUAUACAUAGGAAUUUCCCCUGUAUAUGAAGCGAUAGCUGUAUCUGUACCUGAAAUCAUACAAUACUACAACCAGUAGUAUAGAGCUGUUAAAAAGAAAUACAUAAAUAAAUAACAUCGGUUCAACAUACAUACAUAGUAUCCUGAUACAAAAACAUUCGCACCGGCGAGAUACUAACAUCAGUAUGUAUAAGAACAAAAAACUACAACUACCUGUAGCUGGUGUAAAUCUCUAGGUCAGCAGCAACUGCGAAGGGAUUUAGCUCGCGACUCCCUUUCCACGAUCAGUCUUCACGACAACAGCAGCCGAAGAAGAGGGCUCUGCAAAAGGAUCCACAACAGGGCGUGAGAACUACUGCAAAAAGAAGUAGUUCUCAGUGGGUACCGCUACCGACCUCAACGGUUCACCCACUAAGUCUACAGAAGUAAGCAGGGAUAGUAAGGAAAGCUGGAACAAAUCUACAGCUAUAUGCCACUAUACUAUCGUGAUCCAACACUAACUAUCUGUGAAAAAGUAAAUCCUGACCCAAUCUCACUAGGAACUGUGAACACACCCGUCCCGCCUGUCGAAACUACACUAACUGCCACCACGCUAGGUCGUCAGUGGGGAGUAAGUCCAAACAGGACAAACCGACAUCAACGCAAAGGCACUAAGCCCAACUCUGGAGUGACACUCGUGGGCGCUACCCAACCGAGUAUGCAAGCGUAUCUCUGCCGAGCUCAAUCAGGCUCUCACAGGCUGUAAUCAAAGUAGAAAAGUCUAGCUGGUCUAACAACCAUAAUCGACGCGCCCUCGGCACAAUCUGAUGCAAAAAUUAGCAUUCUGGGUCCAUCGUUAGCCCCAACGGCACUCGACAAUCCGGAACAGUCUAUGCACAAACUCGGCAUCUCAGCACGAGUGUAAAUACAUUCUACACUAUUUUGGGUAUCCACCGCCCCCAAACUACGACGAUACAAACAAAUUACGGCUCCUAGAGCUAAAUCUGGUAGUUUCAGCAAAUGACUGUGUAGAAUCGCUAGUUUUCUCCUAAGUCAAUUCCAAGUCCAACAUGUAUAAUUUAUCUAGCAUUCUAAGCUCCAAUUCAGAUUUCAAUUAAGAAUAAUGCAAAUCUACGAAUCGAGCAAUGAAACAUGAUAUACGAAAUUCCACUAAUACAUGCUGUCAAUAGAACUUAGGAGGAAGUCCGAAAAUUCCGGUAGCUUAAUAACAACCCACCUUUAGCACGAGCUCGACAAUAGUAAGCAACCGCUGGAAUCACCCUGCCAAGAUCAGCAACAACCCACCAAGAUCUCUCUAAUGAUCAAAGCACAAAAAUCCAAAGGUUUCCAUCAAAACUCUAAAUUUCAGCACUUAAGCUUAAAUUUAUCCAAUUGCAAUGUCAAACCCACCAUCCAAUCUUCAAUUCAGGUAAGGAAGAGUCCCAAAACCAGUAAAGAGUGAUGGAGAAACAUCCUCUGGUCGAAAUUCCAGCUUCCUCCAAAGUUUGAUCCAAGAAAACCACAAAAGUCCCAAUUUCAGCUCAAGUAUAACAGCAGCCCAGAAAAACAUCAAAUUGACUAUACAAACCUCAAUCAAAUGCUGUCAAAAAGGGCUCCACGAAAUCUCCAAGAAGUUAGCUAACUACCAAACCAAGUUUCACAGCAAUCCGAUCUUCCUAUGUCGCACACGAGGCAAAACGCCGAAGGUCACUGCUGGAAUUCUGCAGAAACUGCAAUCCUCAAUGUGGAAUUGUGUAAAAUGAAGGGUUUAGAGGGACUAAAAUGCAAAAUAGAGGCUUCACUGUGAAAGAGGGUGAAAAACCAGCUCAAGGGUUCGUCCCCAUGCUUUUAUAGAGGGGUGGAAAGGUCUAAUAAGCCCCAGGAACCAAAAACACUAACCUGUUGUUCCUGCAGAAACGGCCACAUUCGGGCGCCCGAAACCAACUUAUGGGCGUCCGAAUCCUCCAGGCUACACAAACACUCCUCUUCGGUUCCUCCGCCCGCGAUACGAUGUGCCCAAAACCUGGUCUGGCGGACCUCACCUACCACCAGACAUGUGUCAGGACAGUUGAUACUCCCAAAGUAAACAUUCGGACUUACUUCUGGGCGCCCGGAACACAGGAUCAGAAUUGGCUUCCAGUUCAGUUCAAUUUAGCACUCAAGAUCUGGGUGACCCAAACCAUGUUCUAGGCGCCCGAAACUAGCAAAACUCCAGUUUUGCUUAUUUGAGUGCGCCAAGUUUAUUAAUUUCUGCAUCCAUUUCGUGCAAAAAUGACUCCGACUCAGUCCGACACUCUCCAGAUGUGUCGACUAGUCACUAAUACUGUCACGCCCUGAGCCCGCCUCUUUGGUCGGAUUCGGGCGCGCCAACAGACCGCCGAACAGAUAGGGUUUUUCUUGUACCGCGGACAGAGUCUCCCCUGUACGUCCAAGGCGUCAAAAUCCAUACAAAGUGCGAGGUUCCAACCAGGAACAACAUACAACCAUAGAUUGCAUAAGGAAGGUAUCGAAAACAUAAAUACAACUAUGCUAUUACAAGCAUUCAACUCACAUACAUUUUACAUCACCUAUUACAUUACAUUUUUUAAUUCUCUUUUGGCUUCCAAAUAUAAUCCAACUUUAACACAAUUAUUACAAUUAGGUUUUUUUCUUUCUUACAUCCCUAAGUAGUCGACUCAGGGUACAGCUAUCUCUGGUUUCGGUGGUAGGGCGCUAACUAUGGAGCUACGCCCUUGCCUCGCACCGCCGUGCCGCUCAUGCGUGUACCUGUACCCCCAAAAACAACACGAGGAUGAGAACUAUUGUCCAUAGUUCCCAAUGGGUACGGCCACCCAAGAGAAAAGCUCGACCAUCAGGUCCAAAGGAGGCACUGCAACAUAUUAGUUCAACAAAUAUCCACAGAUAUAUAAUUUAUGCAACUAACAAUUAUCAUGUUCAUGCCUCACAAUAUGCAAUAUGCAAAUCAUGCAACAAUGCAAGUAGAUUAAUUGAUUAUACUCUCUAUCAUUUGCCAUUCAUUAUGUUAUUAGCAAUUCUUUCUCACUUAUCAUUCUUUACGACUUGCAAUUCUUUAUUCUUUGACAUUCUUUAGUAUUUACUAUUCUUUAGCACUUGCCGUUCUUUACUCUUUAUUCUUGGCGACACUUUGCUCAUUUGUUAUUCUUUCCUAAGGCUACAUGUACCUUAGCGAACUAUGCCACUUGAUUCGGUCCUGAGUCAAUUCAUGAUGAAUGCAAGAUCCACUUUCCAAUUUUGGGUCCUUUUGGCUAACCCGUAGGUUUCGCCUUAACCAACAACUUGCCAAUUCCGAUCCCUACUAUCGGGCCCUAAGCUUCCUCCCGACGGGAUGAAUAGACUCACCAACCCAAAUCUCUAAUGUCGGGCCCUAAGCUUCCUCCCGACGGGACCGUCUUCUGGGGCUUCCCCUUCCUGGUGAUGACAACUCCGGAGCUCAUCGCUCGAGGGGGAGCUACCUCCCUCGAGCCAAGACUUAUAGGCGAGUAUAAUCUAUCCUUAACUUUAAGGAUUUGCAAGUUCAAUCCAAUCCUUCACUAUGAGGAUGCAAUGCUCAUAUGACCCUUAACUUUAAGAUUGCCAUGUCAUAAUGUCAACUAUAUCCCUUUACUUGGAUUCUUUAACUUUCAUGAUGCCACACACACUAAGUGUUCUUUGACUCAUUCUUAUACAUUCUUUAUUCUCAAUAAUGCCACCCUAAGUAGUCAACUCUAGCAUUCAAACUCAAUAAUGCCACACACCCUAAGUGUCCAAUUCUAACAUCCAUUUGUUUACUAUUGCCACACAAUCCGUAUGUCAUAAUGUCAUUUGGUUCUUUAUUAUACUUAGAGUUCAUCAACUCAAGUUCAACAUUCAUGUCAUUCUAGCAUUUUCUCACAUUAUGUCAUCAUGCCUAUAAUCUUUAGCAUCUCAUGCACAUGCAUAUUAAUCAUCUAGCAUCUCAAGAUAUAUUAACGUACAUAUAUCUUCUCAUGCAUUCAUAUAGCCUCUAGCUUUUACAUUCGCUUAGCAUUUUAACUCAUGCAUUCAUUCAGCAUACAUUAUGCAUACCCAAUUAGCACAUCUAGAUCAUGCAUUCUGUUACUAGCAUACGUCCUAUGCAUUUACAAUUAGAAUCUAACUCAUGCAUUAACUUUAGCAUUUAGCUCAUGCCAUCAUUUACUUUGCAAUCAACUACCAUUGCAAUUAGCUACCAUAAUGUAUAUAUAUAUCAAUUAGAAAACCAUACUCCACUUUGACAUGGAAGCGACCAAAUCACUUCGGUGAGCACAACCCACCUAAUAUCGCUCUUCGAUUGCUUGUAGUCACUUACAAUCGGGCUCCGGCGGCACACGUGACCCGGUUCGGCUCCAACUUGAAAUCGGCAACCGAACACCCAACAAUCCGCAACCUAGGGUCUUCAAUGGCUCAUCUCUAACCUUUAAUUAGAGAACGAUAGGGUUAUUAUAGAUCAAAACCCUCUAAUUUCCAAAACCCUCAUUCAAACCCUAGCAUGAACCUAUUCUCCAAUUAAUCCAAAUUAAAUGGAGGAAACAUGCUAACAACACAUUAGGGGCUACUAGAACCUCAUACAUAAAGGAUUUAAUUGAAAUCCUAACUUAAAUCAUGAGAUCUCACGGCACCUUAGGCCACCAUGAUCAUCAAGCUAAAUCCACCAUUGGAAAGCUUGCUUCACCAUUGGAGAGCUCCAACUUCAUCUCCAACAUCAUCUCCUCCAAAAUUCCAACUUUGGGAGAGAAACCUAGAGAGAGGAGAGAGAUAUCUAGAGAGAGAAACGAGGUUUCUCUCUCCCUCUCCAUACGUGUGAUGGUGGUGGUGGUGGUCGGCUGUGGGAGGAAGGAGGAGAAAAGGGGAAAAAAAAACCCGUUUUAUACACUAUUCACAUUAGCAGUUUAGCAAAUCAAGUACAGAUACUUUUCGCCGGCCCUUCUGAAUGUCUGUUUUCGCUCAAAUUUGACAGUCAGGCUCGGAUUUGGCCAAAUAAACGGAAUAUAUCUUAACUUUUCAGUUUGGAUCAUGUUUGGUCACCGAAAGCUCUACCGAACUGUAAUCUCUAGCAGAUAGCAGUCAGAUUUUAUUUUCCACCUUCCGGGUGUGCGAUGGGACGGAUGCGACUUCCCUCAUAAGUAAUGGGUGGCAUAGCCAAGUUGAAAGCUCUAAAGUUAGAUGUAAAGGAGAGGGUCUUUUUGAAAUUGAAAUAAAAAUCUAGCUUCAUAAAAAUAAUCCUGACAUAUUCCCAAGGUUUAAUAAUUUUCUGACACUGUGCAUUUUCUGCUAAAAUAUCAGCCCCGUUUCCAACAGAAAAUUCUAAAUCUUUUGUUUCCGUUCCGAUUUCAGCAUAAGUCAUUUCCGACUUAUAUUUUACUUCUUUAAGUCCAAUAAAAAUAGUAUCUCACACUAUUUUUAUUUAUAUUUACUUUUAUAUUAAAAUCAGGUAUAUUACAAAUACUGAAACCAAUCCGAUACCAAACCCUCGGGACACUACAUCCUCCGCUACUACAAAAAGUUUCGUCCUCGAAACUUAAUGCAUACCUCAACCCUGAGCAUCGAACAAGUAGGGAUAGGACUCCCGCAUCACCGUCUCUGGCUCCCACAUCACCUCUCGCUCCUCGUGAUGACUCCACUGUACUUUUACAUAUGGAAUGACCCGGUUGCGCAAUUCUUUCGUUUCACGAGCGAGAAUUCGCACCGGUCGCUCCUCAUAUCUCAAGUCCUAGCCAAGCUCCAGCGGAAUGAAGUCGAUCACGUAAGAAGGAUCGAACAUGUACAUAUCUCCUCAAUGCCGAGACGUGGAAAACAUCAUGAAUACCAGCCAGUCGUGGGGGUAGAGCAAUCCUGUAGGCAACUAGUCCAACUCGCUCCAAUACCUCAAAAGGGUCAACAAAGCGUGGACUAAGCUUUCCACGCACUCCGAAUCUGCGUAUCCCUCGGGAUGGCAAAACUUUCAGAAAUACAUGAUCUCCAACCUGAAACUCUAAGUCUCGUCUCCUGGUAUCGAUGUAGCUCCUCUGCCGACUCUGGGCUGUCAAAAUAUAUCGUCGCACCACUUUAACUUUUUCCUCAGCUUCAAUUAGAAUCUCAGGCCCCAGAGUCUUCCUUUCACCCACAUCACUCUAAUACAAACGGAGCCAUCUGAAUGCUCGUUUGAUAGCUGUUGUUGUACGCAAACUCAACCGGUCUCAAAUGUCGAUGCCACCCUCCUCCAAAGUCCAGGACACAUGCCCUCAGCAUGUCCUCCAGAGUCUGAAUGGUCCGCUCUGACUGACCAUCCGUCUGUGGGUGAAACGCCGUGCUGAAAUACAACUGUGUACCCAAGGCUGUCUGAAGACUCCUCCAAAAGUGCGAAGCAAACCUCGGGUCUCGAUCCGAUACUAUCGAGGUAGGCACACCAUGCAAUCUCACUAUCUCAUCCAGAUAUAACUGCACGAGUCUCUCCCUGAACUAGAUGGUCUGUACUGGUAGGAACUGAGCAGAUUUAGUCAGUCUGUCCACUAUCACCCAAAUAGCAUCGAAACCACCCUGUGCUCUCGGUAAUCCCACUAUAAAGUCCAUCGUGAUCUGCUCCCAUUUCCACUCGGGCACUGGCAGACUCUGAAGCUUGCCAGCAGGUACCUGAUGCUCUACUUUUACAUGUUGACAAGUCAGGCACUGAGCCACAAAUCUGCCAAUAUCCCUCUUCAUUCCAUUCCACCAGAAGUGUGCCUUCAAAUCCUUAUACAUCUUGAUUCCACCAGGGUGAACCGUAUAAGGUGAAUAGUGAGCCUCUCUCAGAAUAUCCUCUCGGAUCUCUAAAUCCAUAGGCACACACAGCCGGUCCCUGUACCGCAGUACUCCCGAAGUGUCCACAACAAAACCCUCUGCCUGUCCCCUUUCCAUCUGCUCUCGAAUCCUCAACAAAUGAGAGUCUCCACUCUGUUUCUCCCUGAUCCUGUCCAACAGAGUGGGUUGCAAGACCAUAGACAUCAGUCUUGCAGUAGACCAAGGGGACACUACCUCGAGCCUUAACCGCUGCAGCUCCUCAAGUAACGGCCUCUGCUAAGUAAUCAUCAUGCUCAAACUCUGCACUGACUUCAUGCUCAAUGCAUUUGCCACCACAUUCGCCUUGCCGGGGUGAUACUGAAUACUAAUAUCAUAGUCCUUCAAAAACUCCAACCACCGGCGUUGCCUCAUAUUCAACUCCUUUUGGGUGAACAGAUACUUGAUACUUUUAUGAUCAGUGAAAACCUCACAGUGCUCGCCAUACAAAUAGUGCCGCCACAGCUUCAAAGCAAAAUACACCCACCUUAACCCUACCUUUCCCCUUCCCUUCACCUAUAACGUCUAAUUAAUGGUCCACCCACCUUAACCCAACUCUUCGCCUUCCCUCCGCACAUAAUGUCUAAUUAAGGGUCCACCCAUCUUAACCCUAAUCUAAACCGUAAAUCGUAGAAACCCACGAAAAGCCCCAUUCUCUCAUUCUCUACUUUCUCUUCCUCUUCCAUGAGCUCCGAGGCCAAGAUCGAGCACGUUCUGUGGACGAAGUGUGAAUUUGCACGCUACAUCACUGAGCUUGGUGCUGCCAUCUUCAUCAAACCGAGCCUUCUUCCAAAUUUCAGAAGUUCUUUUAAAAGAUUUACAUAUUCUUUAUGUUGUAGCGUUGAAAUUUCUUAGGUAGCUUUAUUCAGUUUUUUCAAGUUCUUUUUAUUUGCAUGGCAUUUGAACUGAUGUGUUUGUUCUGUUGAAAGUUUAUUACUUUUUCUUUUUCUAUCCUUUGUUCUUUAUAUAUUUUUUCGAAAGUAAAACUCUGUAUUAUAUUUGCUGUAUUAAAUUGUGUUAAGUUGUAUAUCUUUUUGUCACUUAAAUAUUUAUUAUAUAACUUUUCAUAUGCUUAUUUUUUUUCUACUUUCAUGACUCUUUUUAUUAACUAAUAUAANUUUCAUAUGCUUAUUUUUUUUCUACUUUCAUGACUCUUUUUAUUAACUAAUAUAAGAAUGUUUACAAAAUUAGAUUGAUAUAUAAUCUAAAAAGGUUUUCAUUUUCUUGAAGGGAUAAGUAUCAUAGUUUAUAUAGAAAAUGAAGGGAUAAAUAUAUAACUUAUACAAAAAAAUUUAACCAUUUGAUUGUUUUGAUUUGAUUUAUAAAAUGUUAAUUUUUAUUGAAUUUUUUUAUCUAAAUCUCCCAAAUAGUAUGUCGCUUUUCGGCUCAAUAGGUUGACAUACUUAUUAUCUUUCUAUGAGCAUUUUGUUACUAAUCGGCUUCAGCAAAUUAAUAUACUUUUGCAAGAAGCCAAUAUGUAUGGACUAUUUUGAUUUUUAAAGUAAUGACAAACUUUUGAUAUAUUAGUUAGAUAUUAAAUUAAUUUUAGUAGUAUCUACCCGCCGCAAUGCACGGAUUAUUACCCUAGUAAAUCAUAAAAUCAAAAUGUGAACGAUAUGGUGGGAUUUAAUGUUCUUUGAAGUAUAUUUUGAAAAUCACAACUAUAAGGGUGCGUUUGGUUCGAGUUAUCCUGGCAGGAUUACAGGCAAUCCUGCCAGGAUAACUGUGUUUGGUUAAUCCGCUAUGUAAUCUAAUCGUUAAUGUAGCAUUACAAAUCGAGCAGGAUUACAUCGAAAAUAUUAACGGGAGGGGGGUCGUGUAUCUUGCAUUACUGAAACCCGUUAAUACUACAUAUUAUGUAAGAUGACAAUUUCACCCUCCAACAACCCCAAAUCUAAUUAACAGUAUUAUUUUCAUCUCUCUCUCUCGCCUUCCCCCCUCUCUCUCGCACGCCGCUUUCUCUCGCUUCUCGCUCUCUCUCUCUCUCUCUCUUUCUCUCUCUCUCGCACGAACACCUAUCAUCUUCUAUUGCGUCAUCCUCCCAGGUAAUCAUCACGAUCUCCUUCCCUCCAUUCAUCAUUUCCGCAAAAAAAUAAUAUUCAAAUGACCACAACAAGGGCAAUUUUGGAAAAAACUAUACUUUUAUGUCAGGAUUACUAAAUUUUAUAAACUGAACCAAACGUAUUAAUGCUAUAAACACUGUAAUCUAGUAUUACAUUACUGCAUUAAACAAACGCACUAAUGCAGGAUCAGUAGUAAUCUCACGCCGAAAUCUAAGAAACCUAGAUAUGUCGAGAUACUUUGUAAUAUUAUAUAACUUGAACCAAACGGGCCCUAAGAUAUUUUUGAAACUAAGGGUAACAUGCGAGGCUUAUAGCCGCAUCCUUAAUACAUAGUUAGGGUGUCAACAGGCCGAACACGAGCGAGUUGGGCAGGCUCGUGUUUGGCUCGUUUCAUAAACUAGGCGAUCUCGAGCUGACUCAUUAAAGGAGUGUUAAUUUUUUUAUUUUGAUUACUUUGGGAGGAAUAACACUAACUUGAUUUUUUUAUUUUUUUAUUUUUUUAACUUCCUUCAAUUUUACUUUUUCUUAAUUCGCUUGAGCAUUCACUGUUUUCGUUCCUAGGUUUUGAUGCCCUGUUUUCUAAACUUCUAUUUUACUGCAUAUUUUAUUAUAAGAAUCUGUAGAAAUUAAUAACUUGUACGUCUACCCAAUUGGUAACCCGAUUAGUAAUUUGUAUCCACUCUUUAGUAAGUAUAUAUAUGGGAAAGAUUAAAAAAUUGAAUAACAAGCACUCGGUCGAGCACAAGCUGAGCAAAGGAUGGGUCGAGCUAGACUAAGUUUUUUAUUAAGCAUAAACUAUUUUUUUAAAUAAAGUAAAAUAAAAUAAAGAAAACAGGGUUGACUUAAAGAUUGUUAUUAACUUUUUUUAUUAUUCAAUUAAUAAAUUCAACAGAAUUAGAUAUGCUACGUGUUGUCAUUAGUUUGUUUAUCUUAUAAAUCNUUGAAUAAUUCAAUAAAAGGGAAGGAGUAUUAACAAUGUCAUUUAACAACUACAUAAUGAAUUGAUACUUAGGGUGUGUUUGGAUUGAAGUCGGAAUCGGUAUCGAAAUUGGAAUGAGAAUAAGCUAGAAACGGAAUCGAAAUGAUUCAUUACCUCAUUCUGUUUGAUUCACUAUCUGAAUCGGAAUCGGAAUGAACCAUUCAUAUUGUCAGUAUUUAGUUCAGAUAGAUAUCAGAAACAUAAUCAAAUUAAUAUGUUAAUAUUUUCUUUGUAAUAUAUUAGUUUAAAUUCAAACUGAAAAUUAAAUAUUAAAAAUAUAGGUCAAAAUUUUAAUAUAUUUUUUAAAAAAUUAAAAUUUGAAAUUAAACGAAUAAUUCAAAAUAUAAAACUAAUUUCGAUUUAUUCAAAUUCAAAUUUAAAAUUAUAGUUUAAAUUUCAAUUUUAAUCUAUAAAUUUAAUUUAAAUUUUAAAUAAAAUUUGAAUAAAACUUUAGAUUUUAAAUUAAAUUGAAAUUUAAAUUAAAUUUAUGAAGAGAUCCGAAAUGUUUGAUUGAAUUUUAAUUUUUAAUUUAAGUCCAAAUUAAAAUUAAAAUUUAUAUAUAUAAUUUUUAAACUUAAACUUAUGUUUUAAUUGAAAAAUAAGCUUAAAAAACUUAAAUUUAAUUCGAAUAAAUCCAUUCCACCCGGAGUCAAUUUCCAAUUUGGCCUCCUAGGCCGGAUUGGAAAAUCAGGUAAUUGGGGAUUCCAAUUCACCCGGGAAUCGAAAUUAGAAUGGGAAUCUAUAAUGACCCAGCCCCCUAGCAACAAUAACUCAAUGAGCCCAAACACUGGCCCAAAAUAUUUAAACUCAGUUCUUAUAUCUAGCCUAAUUAAGCUUAUAUACCCCAACAUCUAGCCAUAACUAUCCGUUGUGGAAUUAUUGGGUGUCAUAUCCUCCCGUUUUAAGCCCUGACUUCCUCGUGAGUCAAAUCACACACAGAGCUAAGAUCACCAGGCGAUGUAAGACUCGUCUCGGUAGACUUGUCAUCCAGACCCUGGCAUAGCCGGUUACCUUGUCAUUUAGAGACCGAUAUCGCCUAUCUUAUCUUUCAGACCCUGGCUCAGUCGAGACGCGCCACACAUUUUCGGCUGGUGAACCAGCUCUGAUACCAAAUGUAACGACGGAGCCCAUUAGCAACAAUAACUCGUCCGGGCCGAACACUAGCCCAAAAUGCUUAAUCUCAAUUAUUAUGUCUAGCCUAAUCAAGCUUAUAUACCCCCAUAUCUAGCCAUAACUAUCGAAUGUGGGAUUAUUGGGGUGUCACAGAAUCCCGCAUACCAAACACGGACAAACGGAUUCAUCUAUUCUGAUUCCGAUUCCAAUGUAAAAAAGGGGCGAACCAAACACGCCCUUAGAUCAAAAGACAUUCUAAUACUAAAAGAAAUAUUCUUGCAAUAUAAUAUCACUUUUAAUAAGUUGAUAUUUUAAGGUAGUAGCGCCUUGCAUACAGAUAGAUUAUGCUUCGAAUGUCCCUUUUCCUUGUAAAAAAACUUUGGUAAGGUUGUGAAUCUUUAUAUUGAUCACAUAGUAUUGUUCCUGUAGUGGACAUUGAAUAACUAUUCAUCAUAUAAAGUACAUGAAUUUCAGAUAAAGUGAAUAGUAGAUUCAGUGAUCUCAUUAUACAAAUAGUUUUACAUAUAAAGAUUUGUUCUCUAAAAAUAAUCUUACUUUAGAUUAGCUUUAGAUAAAAGCUAUUAAAAAGGAAAAACAUCUAUAUGGGUACAUUAUUCUGGGUUUUAGUUUCCCAUUGCUCUCUUUCAUGGUUGGGAGUCAUGUUCACAAUUCUCUGGAUUGAAGGCUAGCUGUGAUUGUACCACAUCAAAAGUAAAUCGAGUAUUUGCUUGUUGGUAUGCCCCGAGAAUACUUGAAUUGUCCCGUGGCAACAUUGCAAAGCAAAAUACUCCCUUCUCCCAUGUAAUGAGGAACAACUCUCGCCACAUGAUAUGCAUCUGGGCCCCUUGUAAAUGCAAUGUCAUGCUCGGCAUUAAGCUCUCAUAACUUGGCUGGAAAAGCCAACAAAGUUUAAGAUUUGUCUCGUAUCUUUGUGGGUCCACUUCAACCAAUUUCUUAUGGCGGAAAUAACCUCUAAGCACUUUCUUCACUUGUUCAAAAGCUGGGGUUAUCAAGUGAGUGACGAACGUGCCGGAGUCCACAAAGAACCCGCCCGACCUAUUCGGCUUUCGCGCAAACAUUCCUGGCUCAAACCCAAGUCGUUUGUUGCCAACACUAAUGUCAUUUAAGGUGAUGUAAUAGAAGCACACCCCUUGUAUAGGUACUAUCGGUGUGGUUUGGACCGGCCCUCUUUGCACAAUGUUGCUUCCGAAUCGUAAAAAGCUUAUACUCUUUGAACCUAUCGGGGGAAGACAGUAUGAAAAGCGACCCUGGCUACCAUGAUUGAUAAGUUGCCUCGCAAAUGAUUCCUCAGACAAACCUAAUGCCAUUAAUCCUGAUGGAUAACCAUCGUAGUUGCCAAAAUGUGUAUCAUGUGAGCAACCAAAGACAAGCCCCUCAACAAACUCAAGAUGGUCACCAUGGUUUGAAUGGAAGCCAAAGGUGUCUUUUGAGAGCGUGCCAAUUGUGUGGGACCCAUCAAUAUAGCUGAUCUGGUAGUGGCAACGGUUGUUGAUGCAAUGGUAAUAUCUUUGCGGGCAAGGGUUCUGGUCAGAACAGGAGACGUCGACGAAGGAAGGGGAUUGGAGAGGGUCGAAGUAAGGUUCAUUUUGCACGUAGCAAUUGAUGCAUGGCUUGCAUUGGGUCCAAGUAAGAUAACUGCCUGUAUCUAGGUCUAAAUGGUAGCCAAUGCUACCAUUUCCAGUGCCAAUCGUCACAAAAACCAUGUAUAAUCCUUCAUAGAUGAUGACAUGGGAGCGAAUAGUGGUUGUUUCAUGGCCAACUAGCUUUGAUUCAACGUUGUUCAGUUGGAGGAAUCGGUUCUCGGAAAGGCGGAGGGACUCUUCAAAGCGUUGUGAAUCAGUGAGGUUAGGAUUGUAAACUGGGGACCGAGGAGAGUGACGAUAUAUUAGCUCGAAGCUUAACAUUCUUUUUAGUGCUUCAACAGUUUCAGAGGAAAGGAGUAGAAUGGAUAUUAAAGGAAGAAAGGUAACAUGUGAAUAGAUGAAUCCGGCCAUGGUUGAUGUUUUGCAAAGAAGUAAGUCACGAAAAACAGGAAAGAUAUAUACAUAUAUAUAUGUGAGACUAAAAUAGAUAAAGCUAAAAAAAAAAAUCCAUAAGAUAUCUUGGAGUAAGAAAGAAAUCUGUGGAUUCAGUAGGCAAUCCACUACAUAAAUGCUUCUCUAAAAUGUAAAGGGUUAGUUACUUUUGGAGGCUAGAACUAAAUUUAGUUACUUUUGAAGGCUAGAACUAAAUUUGUUAGAGUUACCGAAAUAUAGUUACAGUGGACGGUAAAAACAUUUUGGACCAAAUUAGGAACUCUAAAUUUAAUUCAUAGUUUUUUUUUUUUCAAUGGCAUAAAAAUUUGUUGAAAAUAGCAUUAUUUCAAAUAAAAAAACUUUGUAUGUAAUGUGCUUGGACACUAUAACUUGCUUUGAAUUUUACUAAAAGUACCUCAAUUUAAAGAGAAAUUUUGAGAAACAGGCAAUGAUGAAUGGUUAAGAUGUUUUACUCUUACUUUACUCCAAAAUUUUGUAGAUUUAAGCUUAUUUCAUUUUACCCCAAAAUUACAUAAGAAUGAGAUUAUUUUGUUGUGUUAUGCAAGUCUAUAAAAGCCAUCCAAAUAACUCUUUUGAAAACAAAAAAAUUAGCACUAAUAAAAAUUUCCUUCUUCUAACAAAUAUCACACUUUUAUAAUGUCCCAAUAAUGUCGUCUCACUACCAUGUAAAACUGAGUACGAUCACUUCACUACAACAGGAUUAGGUUAUAGGGACACAUGUUUGGGACACUUUUGAGUAAGUGUCCCAUUUAUGCUAAAACUUAAAAACACAUCUACUAAUGUCUAAAUAUAAAGCCCAAUCCAAUCAAAAAUAAAAGAUUACUCUACUCAACCCACCACACCCAGUCCAUUUGGCCCGAUUAUAAACAAAAAAGAAAAAAAAAAGAAAAAUCAAUUACCAUCUUUUCUUCUCUUUUCACUUAAUCCACUGAAAUUCUAGAUGAAGAGUCUUUACUGUCGUCCUCCUCCGCCACCGCAGCCAACGAGAUAGAGUUUCGGCGAUUGCUAAAUGCUUAAAUAAGUGUUGGUAAAUUAGCAGCACUCUUUUAGGUUAUAGCGACGCUUUUUAACUGUCACUAUAUACUUAGCGACCCCACAUAUAGCAACACUUUUUAAAAGUGUUGGUAAUUUUAGCUAGCAGCACUUUUUUGACAUGUACCUAUAUUUAAAAAUGUCGCUAUAGACCGUUUUUGUUGUAGUGCUUGGAUGUCAAAAGAUAUUGUUUAUGAUAAAAGAAUUUCUUUAUUAGGGAGCACAUAAGUAGUUCAAAAGGUGUUUGGCUGCUAUUUGUAACUUGAUUUUGCUACCAAAAUAAUAAAAAAAAAAACUGGGGAAAUCUUCUUGCUUGCAGUUUUGAAUUAAAGAUAGUCUUAUUAUAUAUAAAGUACAACAAAUUUAUUUUAUAAUUUAGCGGUAUUUACUCUGUAGCAUUUAUUUAAAGAAUACUAAUUAAUAUAUUUAAUAGCAUUACUUGAUAAUGUUGUAAAAUAGAAUAAAUUGGUAGCGUAAAUUAGUAAAUGCCGCUAAAGUUUCAAGUAUUUUAUAAAAAAUGGUACUAAAUGUAACAAAAUAGUAACACUUAUUGCUAAAUGCCUUCACUAAUCAAUAUAUAAUUAUUAAUAUAUCCCAUUUUAUACUUAGAAUUUAAAAUUUUGAAUUAAAGUUUAAUAUUUUAGAAUUUGAGUUUUAAAAACUUGAAAUUAUAAUUUAAAAAGUAAAAUUUUAAAAUUUCAAUUUUAAAUUUUAAAAUUUAAAUUUUUAAAUUUUUAAAUUUAAAAUUGUGAAUUUUGAAACUUAAAAUUUGAUAUUUAAAAAUUAAAAAUUUAAAUUUAAUAUCUAAAUUUAGAAUUCAAAAUUUAAAAUUUUAAAAUUUUAAAACUUAAAACUUAAAACUUAAAUUUAAAACUUAAAAAUUCAAAUAUAUAUAGUUGAUUGUCUCUAGCGCAAGUGGCAAAAGAAUUGUUGGUUUGUACUUGAGGCCUCAAGUUCGAAUACUUGUUGAUUCACAUAUCCCGUUAAGUUCAUUUCUAAAAGAAAUAAAAAAAAACAUGUAGCAUGCUACCUUUAUCUAAAAAAUAAUAAAUUCAAAUAUAAAUAUAAAUUUUAAUUUUAAUUUUAAUUUUAAAAUUGAAUAAAAAAUAAAAAUUUUAAAAUUUAAGUCCACAAAAUCAGGUAUUUGUAUUAAUAGCAUUAUAUUCUUGCGCCACUACUAAACAACUUAAAAUUAACAUUUAACAAGCAUUUUAGCAACCGACCGUCCCUAGAGCAAGUGGCAAAGGGCUUGAUGGUUGGUACUCGAGACUCAGGUUCGAAUCCUAGUUGAUUCACAUUUCUAGCUAAGUUUAUUUCUAAAUGAAAUAAAAGAAGCAGGUAGCGUGCUACCUAUCUCUCUCAAAAAAAUAAAUCAUUUUAGCGUCAUAGUUCUAAUAACACCCAAUGAUUUAUACUUGUGGCAUUCAUUAUAAAAUGUUACUAAUAUUUUAGCAACAUUGAUAGCAAUAUUUGUGUCAUAAUGUACUUUUAGCAAUAUUCGUUAAUCUUUAGCGGCGUAAAUAAAGACCACUAAUAACUAAUUUUCUAGUAGUUACAGUGAAGCUGGCAAAUUGAUUUAGAAAAUCUACAUAUUUUAAGGGUAGCAAAUCUUUUCAGAACUUUUCAGCUUUUAUAGCUAGGACUUUGUAAUUUUUCCGCCGGAAACCGCCACUCCGUCCUUUACUUGUGCAAGUAAAGACAUUGCGCAACAAACCCUCAAUAUCUUUCUCUAUGCUCGACCACCAUAAUCCAUUUUCAAAUCUUUGUAGCACUUCUGGUGGCCGCCUGGGGCAUACUAUAAGGAGUUUGAUGCACUUCUUGCAUAAUCGCCUUGCGGAUGUCCUUAUUCUUAGGUACACACCAACGAUCGAAAUCAAAUGUGCCGUCGUCUCAAUGCCAAGUCUCGUCACUAUCGCUCUCAACUUCACCGCGCACCUUUUGGAGAUACUCAUCGGAAGCUGUAGCUCUUUUAUCCUCUCCAAUAAGGUCGGUUGCACCCACUACCAGCAAGUAGUGCGCCGGCACUCUCGGCGCUACUACUUCCAAUCCAAGCCGUUGCAUCUCUUGUUUGCAAUAUACGGUUGAGGUGUAAUUGUCGAAGCCAAAUUCCUCCCGAUUUUCCUACUAAGUGUGCAUCAGCCACGACAUUCGCCUUUGCGGGUGUGUAUAAGAGAUGACAUCAUAUCUUUCAAUAACUCCAACACCACCGUUGUCGCAUGUUUAGCUCUUUUUGGGUGAACAAGUAUUUAAGGCUUUUGUGAUUCGUAUAAGAGAUCAUCACCAAUCGUUCCCCAAUAGUAGGUUGUCUCCAUAGCUUUAGUGCAAAAAUCAUGCCGCUAGCUCGAGGUUCCAUUGAAUCGGGUAGUUCUUUUCAUAUGUCUUCAAUUGGCGCGAGGCAUAAGCUAUCACCCGCCCGUUUUGCAUCAAGACACACCCGAGACCAACGUAGGAAGCAUCACUAUAUACCACAAAUGUCUCCCCCGGCGUCGGUAGAGCAAGCACCAGGGUCGUGGUCAAUCUUCUCUUUAGCUCCUCGAAGCUCUGCUCACAUUCGGCAUUCCAAAUGUACUUUGCCCCUUUAUGUGUGAGGCGCGUUAGUGGAGUGGUUAUUUUAGCGAACCCCUCCACAAACCGCCGAUAAUAGCCCGCUAGCCCAAGAAAACUGCGGACUUCCGUUACGCUCGUCGGGCGAGGCCAAUCUUUAAUUGCCUCUACUUUCUUCGGAUCCACUGAAAUGCCAUCACCCGAAAUCAUGUGUCCUAAGAAAGUAACCUCCGAUAGCCAAAAGUCACAUUUCUUCAACUUGGCAUAUAAUUUCUCCUUUCGAAGCACUUCCAACACGGUUCUCAAGUGCUCCUCGUGUUCUUCCUCGGUCCGAGAAUACACCAAUACGUCGUCAAUGAAUACCACGAUGCACCAGUCCAAUAGCGGACGGAAGACUCGGUUCAUUAAGUCCAUGAAUGCAGCCGGGGCAUUAGUAAACCCAAACGACAUUACCGUGAACUCGUAGUGGCCAUACCGCGUAUGGUACACCAUUUUGUGCACAUCCUGGGGCCGUAUCGUCAACUGAUGAUACCCCGAUUGAAGGUCUAUCUUUGAAUACACCCUCGACCCUUGCAACUGAUCGAAUAAAUCAUCAAUCCUCGGUAAUGGAUACUUGUUCUUAACUGUCACUUUAUUCAACUUGCGGUAGUCCACGCAGAGUCGAAGUGUGGCAUCUUUCUUUUUAACAAAUAGCACCGGAGCUCCCCACGGUGACACGCUCGGCCUCAGAAAGCCUUUAUCGAGCAAGUCUUGCAACUGUACCUUUAGUUCCUUUAGCUCCGCCGGUGCCAUUCUAUACGGAGCCUUCGACAUUGGCGCCGCCCCAGAAAUCAAAUCAAUGACGAACUCGAUCUCCCGGUCCGGUGGCAAUCCCGGUAACUACGCUGGAAAUACAUCCGAAAACUCGCAUGCUACCCAAAUACCACUAAGUUCCGGGAGCACCCUUCGGGCUUCCACUAUUGUCGCCAAGUAGGCUACACCUCUACCCUUAAUUAUUUUCCUCGCCCUUGCCGCCGAUACGGUCGCCGCGAAGAGCGAGUUUUUACAUGCCCGAUAUACUAGCUCCUCUCGAUUAGGCUCACGGAAUGUGAUCACCCUGCUUUCGCAAUCUAUCACGACACAAUACUUGGAGAGCCAGUUGCCCCCCAAGAUCACGUCGAAACCCCACAUUCGAUUUAGCACCAGCAGGUCAAUCGGCAUAAUCCAACCACCUAUCUGCACUGGGCACGCCACGCACUCAUCAUGAAUAUGGAAUGAAUGCUCGGCCGCAUUCACCGUCCAAUAGUCAUAAUGAUGUACGAUCUUAAUGCCAUGCGUCCUUACAAACGAUGCACUUAUAAAUGAAUGCAAUGCACCAGUGUCGAAUAAAGCUCUAGCACUAGUGCCUCGGAUCAAGAUAAUACCUGCUAUGACAUCGUCGGGGACUGGAAUUGGCUCCUCCACCUGAGUGGCAAAAACCCACCCACUCGGUGCCCUAGAUGCCUCCGGCUGACGCGAUGCAGAAGAGCGUCCAGCAGACAUAGCCAGUGGUAACCCCGCUAGCUGUCUCGAGGUCGAAGGAACUGAGGCCGCCGUCGGUGCAGACGACGCCCAUCUCGGGCACUCACGUAUCAUAUGUCCCGCUUCCGCUUCACCGUGUCGGGGAAGUAGUUCGCGAAUACCAUUCUCUUGAACUCCUCUCAAGGCAUAGGCGGAAGAUCGGGAGAUCGAUCCCGCCUAACUCGCUUCCACCACACCUUCGCCGCCUUCUCAAGGCAAUGUAUAGCGAGCUGCACUUUGUCCUUGUCCAUGGUGUAUAAGUCCUCGAACAAUGUCUCCAUGGAGUCGAUCCAUGACUCCACCGCCGCCGGUUCCACCACUCCUCCUUCAAAGAUAGGUGGAUUGAACUUCUUGAAUUGAAUAAGAGCUGUCAACGCGCGCUCCCGCUCCGCCUCAUCCACUGCACUAUCGAGGUUUGAGGUCCCCGAACCAGCCGGCACCACUGUAAUAGGCACGGCUGCCGCCGCCACGCCCUCGGCCGCGCUCGGCACCACUGCAGGGGGCGCAGGGUGCACGGCCUCCACGGGUGCCGUCGCUUGCUGUCGCUCUAGCGCCUCUUGGAGCCUUUGGAUCUGCUCUCCUUGGCGCUGAACGGACUCCGCUUGUUGCCGCACUACGUAAAUAAGCGCGGCCAACUGCUCCUGAAGCUCCCCAUCGCCACCUGCUCCGGGUUGCACGGGAGCUGCACUUGGCUCCUCGGCCAUAGACCUCGUUCGCGGCCGACCAUGAGGUAACUUAGGUCGUCUACGAGGUGGCAUUGCUCCCUAAAAAGAAGCAAUUCACGUUAGUUACUUAGAUAAUAUACUCGAUUAUACCCAAUCCGGCGAAAGCAACAAGUGUAUUCAUUUUCAUUCCCAAGCAUCAUGUCGUCGACUGCCGAUCAGAACACAAGGAAAAGAAAACAAAUAUCAACUUAAAUUUAGUCCCUAACCACAUUAAAGACAUAUUAAUAUUAACCCAAUCAUAAGCUUUCGCUAUACUUUGUUCAACGUCACUCACGUUUUCUACGUCCUUAAGGUCUUUCCAAUCCUAAAGGUCUCUAGGUCCAUGCUAAACUUUCACCUUUUUGGCUUUUACGGCUCUAAUACCAUUAUAUCUGUCACGCCCCCGAGCCCGAUCAUUUUGGCCGAAUCGAGAGCGUCAAACAGACGCCGAACAGACAGAGCCUCCCCUGUCCGCCCAUGGCUCAACAACAAGUAUCAAUAGAGUAAAAAUUUGCAUAAGCGGAAGCAUACACAAUGGCUUGCACGAGGGCAAGCAAUAGCCAAUAGUGAAAGUAAUAAACUACACUUAGGAAAUCAGUUACAUCUUUGCAUCAUUUCUUCUUACUUCUCAUUUCUCCAACAUAUAACUUUUGACAUUUGAAAUAAAUAUCCUUUUUACAUCAUUCAUUUAACAUGUUCAUAAUGCUAAAUUCAUCAAAAUACAAAAGAUGAUAACUAAAGAGUGUGCAACUAAACCGAAAUGUGAAAACAAUUCGGGUGGUCUCUAUCUAGGGCGCGAUGCCCUUACCACGAUCGUCCGCCGGCUUGCUCGGUCCCGGCUCUGUGAAAAUAGUGGGAUGAGAACUACAACAAAGUUUCCGGUGGGUUCGUUAACCUACCACGCCGACUUUCCCACUAGGUCUAAAUCAGGCAUAAUAGAAAAAAAAAGAUAUAGAUAGUAAUCAAACUAUACAAAUGCUGCUACUAUGCCUCAACAAUAAAUAAUGCAAUGCUGAAUAAUAUGCUCAUGAUGAAUGCAAGGUUACAAUCUUAUUGCUCAAUCUCUUGGCUAACCCAUAGGUUUCGCCCUCAACAACUCACAAACUCAAAUCUCAAUAUCGGGGAGGCUACUUGUGAGACCCCAGGUAGUCCUAUAUAUAAGAUAUAAUAGGGCUAAACUCUUAAUCCGGCUUAAGCAUUUUGGGUGGUGGCUAGACCCAAGAGGUUAAGAGAGUUAAGCGUGCUAGGACGGGAGUAGUCCUAGGAUGGGUGACCCCCUGGGAAGUUGGGGCGUCACACUACUACGUACACCCGACGGGACCAUCCUCUGGGGAGGCUACUACACCCAGUGAUGAUAACUCAGGAGCACAUCGCCCGAGGGGGAGCUACCACCCUCGAGCAAGGACUUACAGGCGAGUAUGAUCCAAUCCUUAACUAUAAGGAUGUCAAGUUCAAUCCAUUCCUUAACUAUAAGGGAACAAUGCACAUAUGACCCUUAACUCUAAGGUUGUUAUGUCAUAAUGUCGCUAUCACACUUUUACUUGCAUUCUCUACUUUCACUAGUGUUAAAUACACCACUAUGUUCUUGUACACAUACCACACUUUUUUUCUAAGUGUUCCAACUCUAACUUUUCGACUCAUCAUUAUCACUUUCUACUUCUAUGUCAAGAUGUCACAUUUGUUUACUAAGUCCACUAAGUUCUUGUCACUUGUCAUGUAUAAAUAGGGUUUAUAAAAUUCUUACAUUCUUGCUAGUAACUCACAUGCAUUUGUACUCACAACAUGCACUAGAUGGCUCAAAUAUAAUCCUACAAUGAAAUUUUUAUGCUCAAUACACAUAUGCUCAAAUAUGACACUUUAGACAUAAAAGGAAUUUCGAGGUCCUCGAAUUGCACCACCCACCUUAGAUGGUUGAGAGGAUGGUACGGUUCAAAUCUUGGGAUUUUUGAAGCCCUACCUUAUCGCCUGCGGCAAAAUGAAGCCAAAUUAGGAUUUUUCUCAAUAACUAUAUAUAAAUCUUUUAGUAACGUCAAACGGAGUUGUCCCACGCGUCGGGAAUACCCCCAAUUAGGUUUCUAUAAGGUUAAUUUGCCUUAGAAACAUUUGGAGGCAAAAGCCCAAAAUUGGGUGCCCUAACAACACCGUUUGCUCAAUCCUAGAUUUUGAUCUCUAAAAUAAGAAAAAGAGAGCUUGUCCAACAUCUAGAAGCUCAUUUAGAACUAUCUAAAUUAUUUUUAGGGUUUAAAAUGCAAGCUCUAAAAAUCCACCAUUAGAGGGUUCUAAGAAAACCAUGUUUUUCAUAGUGUUCAAGGCUCUAGCAUGCUUCUAAAACCUCUAAGAAGCUCAAAACUCUAAAAGUUAGAGUUUAAAUCCUAACCCUAGAGGAGUUCAUGCAUAAACUCACCUUAGCCACAAGCUAUCCCCAAGUCCUCCUUGUAGGAGAGCUUCUGGAGCCUUCAAAUCUACCAAAACUCCUUUAAAAAUCCUUCUUCUCCUUCCUCUCCUUGCUCCUUGGAGAGUUUCCUAGAGAGAAAAAGAGGGAAAUGAGAGAGGGAGAGAGUGGUUGUUGUUUAGACCAGGUGGGAGGGGUGUUGGGGUAUAUUACAUAUUGUAACAAUUACAACAAAACCCUCCAAAUAUUUGUAUUUGCAGCAGUUUUCAUUUUGCUGUCAGACCCAAAGUGUACCGGUACACUGUAGCUUGUCACCGGUAACACGAUUACGCAGAGACAAACCCGAGAGCAAUUCUCGCAUGUUUUUCCAAAGUGUACCGGUACACACCAGGGGUGUCUCCGGAAACACAGGCAAAAUUUCUCAAACCUGAGAGCUUUUCCUUCUUGGCCUGCAAUGCUGUACUGGUGACAACUCGAUGGUUGUACCGGUAUACUUUGCUCCAGAAUGCAAUUUUACGCCAUUUUCGAUUCUGUUUCGCGCAGUUCAAUGCUAAAACCUUUCUAAUACUUCUUAAACUCAUUUGUAGCCCUUCCAACCUCGUUGGAAUGCUAAUUGGAACUUGUUCAUCUAUUUCUUUCGCAUUAUUCACUUUUAAAUCGUGCCGAGCAAUGCUAAAACUUGCUUAACACUCUCGGGACUCUACUUUGACCCUUCCAAUAUUGUUAGAAUGUCAACUGGAGUCUGUCCAUCCAUUUCUCUCGGCACUUUAAUCCAUUUUGGCUAAAGUUCGAUACGUUACAACGGCCCUAUGAAUCCUCGGCCGAAGUCCUCGCCCAGAACCAAUCGGCCUGGUCCCGGUCAUCGCAAACAACCUCCGGGAUGCAAUCGAUAAGGUGGGAGAACUCCUGCUCGUAAUCCGCCACGGAGCGAUCCCCUUGCCUCAACUUGUGAAAUUUUUCUUGUAACUUCCGCUUCACCGUGUCGGGAAAGUAAUUGGCGAACAUCGCCCUCCGGAACUCCUCCCACAGCAUAGACAAAAGAUCGGGCGAUCGAUCCCACCUAACACGCUUCCACUACACCUUCGCCGCCUUCUCAAGGCAAUGUGUGGCGAGGUACACCUUGUCCUUCUCCGAGGUAUGCAAGUCCUCGAAAAGCGUCUCCAUGGAGUCAACCCAUGACUCCACUACCGCCGACUCCACCACUCCCCCUUCGAAGAUAGGUGGGUUGAACUUGUUGAACUGUACGAAAGCUGCUAACGCACGCUCCCGCUUCGCCUCAUCCGCUGCAUUAUCAGGGUUUGAGGUCCCCGAUCUGACCGGUAUCGCCGUAACUGGCACAGUUGCUGCGGCCACACCCUCGGCCGCACUCGGCACCAUUGCAGGAGGCGCAGGGUGCACGGCCUCCACUAGCGCCACCGCUGCCGCCUGCUGCCGCUCCAAGGCCUCCUCGAGCCUUUGGAUUUGCUCCCCUUGGCACUGAACGGACUCCGCUUGUUGCCGCACUAUGCCAAUAAGCGCGGCCAUCUGCUCUCGAAGCUCCUCGUCGCCUCCUGCUCCGGGUUGCACGAGAGCCGCACUUGGCUCCUCGGCCAUAGACCUCGUCCGCGGUCGACCACGAGGCAACUUAGGUCGUCCACGAGGUGGCAUUGCUUCUUGAAAUGAAGCAAUUCACAUUAGUUACACAAUAUUACACUCGAAUAUACCCAAUUCGGCGAAAGCAAUAAGUGUAUUUAUUUUCCUUCCAAAGCAUCAUAUCGUCGGCCGCCGAUCACAACACAAGGAAAAGAAAACAAAUAUCAACUUAGAUUUAGCCCCUAACCACAUUAGAGACAUAUUAACAUUAACCCAAUCACAAGCUUUCGCUAUAGUUUGAUUCCACAUCGCUCACGUUUCCUAGAUCCUUAAGGUUUUCCAUUUCUAAGGGUCUCUAGGUCCAUCCUAUACUUUCACUUUUUGGCUCUUUACGCUCUGAUACCAUUAUAUCUGUCACGCCCCGAGCCCGAUCCUUUUAGCCGGUUCGAGAGCGUCGAACAGACGCCGAACGGACAGAGCUUCCCUUGUCCGCCCAAGGCUCAACAACAGAUACAGAUAGAGUAUAAAAUUGUAUAAGUGAAAGCAUACACAAUAGCUUGCACGAAGGCAAGCAAUAGCCAAUAGUGAAAGUAGUAAACUAUACUUAGAAAAUUAUUUACAUUUUUUUUUGCUUCAUUUCUUCUCUUUUACAUCACAUGAUCUCAAAAUAUAGUUCUUGCAUUUAAAUAUAAAAUCGUUAACAACAUUCAUGUUCUUUUCCCUUUAACAUCUAUAGUCAUCAAAAUACAAAAGAUGAUGUAUAAAGUUAUGCAACUAAACCAAAAUGGAAACCCACUCGGGAGGUCUCUAUCUAGGGCGUGAUGCCCUUACCACGAUCGUCCGUCGGCUCGCUCGGUCCCGGCUCUGUGGAAAUAGUGGGGUGAGAACUACAACAAAGUUUUCAAUGGGUUCGGCAACCGACACUUUCCCACUAGGUCUAAAUCUGGCAUAAUAGAAGAAUGGAUAGAUACUAACCAAGCUAAAGCAAAUGCAGCUAAUAUGUCUGAACAAUAAAUAAUGCUAUGCUCAAUAAAAUAAUCAUGAUGAAUGCAAGGUCACUGAUCAGAACCCAAUCUCUAGGCUAGCCCAUAGGUUUCGCCCACGAUAGACUCACCAACACAAAUCCCAAAGAUCGGGGAGACUACUACACCCGACGGGACCGUCCUCUGGAGAGACUACUACACCCAAUGAUGAUAACUCCGGAGCACAUCGCCCGAGAGGGAGCUACCACCCUCGAGCAAGGACUUACAGGUGAGUAUGAUCCAAUCCUUAACUAUAAGGAUGUCAAGUUCAAUCCAUUCCUUAACUAUAAAAAAAUAAUGCACAUAUGACCCUUAACUCUAAGGUUGAAAUUGUCAUAAUGUCGCUAUCACACCUUUACUUGCAUUCUUUACUUUCGCUAGUGUCAUAUACACUACUAUGUUCUUGUACACAUGCCACACUUAUUUUCUAAGUGUUCCAACUCUAGCAUUCUCGACUCAUCAAUGUCAUUUUCUACUUCUAUGUUAAGAUGUCACAUUUGUUUACUAAGUCCACUAAGUUCGUGUCACUUGUCAUGCAUACAUAGGGUUUAUAAAAUUCUCACAUUCUUGAUAAUAACUCACAUGCAUUUGUACUCACAACAUGCAAUGAAAUGCUCACAUAUAACCCUACUAUGCAAAUUUUAUCCUCAAUACACAUAUGCUGAAAUAUGACACUUUAGACAUAAAAGGAAUUUCGAGGUCUUCGGUAUGCACCACCCACCUUCGGUGGUUGUAGGGAUGCUACAGUGAAUUUCUUGAGAUUUUUGAAGCCCUACUUUUUUGCCUGCGGCAAAACGAAGCCAAAUUAGGCUUUUUCUCAAUAACUUUAUUUAGACCAUUUAGUAACGUCAAACGGAGUUGUCCCACGCGUCGGGAAUACCCCUAAUUAGGUUUCUACAAGAUCAAUUUGUCUUAAAAACAUUCGGAGGUAAAAGACCCAAAUUGGGUGCCCUAAUGUUGCCAUUUGCAAAAUCCUAGGUUUUGAUCUCUAAAACAAGUAAAAGAGAGCUUGUCCAACCUGCUCUAGAAGUUCAUUUAGAACCAUCCAAGUCAUUUCUAGGGUUUAGAAUGCAAACCCUAAAAAUCCACCAUUAGAGUCCUGGAAGAAAACAUGAGUUUUCAUGUGUUCUAAGUCAUUACUAGAUUUUUAUACCAUUAGAAGAUCAAAACUUAGUUUUCUAGGACAUAAACCCAAACCCUAGAUGAGUUUUUACCCUAAACUCACUUUAGCCAAAAGCUAUCUCCAUGUCCACCUUGUAGAAGAGCCCUAGGUCAUCUCCAAGCCACCAAAGCCAAGCUUCUCCUUCAAAUCUCCUCCCAAUCCACCCUUUGGAGAGCUCUCUUUUAAGUCUUAUGUGUUGGCAAGUUUCGUGAAGUGAGUCGGAGUCUUGAAGGAUUGGUGCGUAUCGUCGAAGAUCAAAGAGUCCAAAACUUCAAAGAAAGCGAAAUUAACUCACUAUGUGAAUCACGAUGCCGAGGUAAGGUUUUAAUUCAUGUUAUGGUGAUUCAUACAUAAUUGUAGGCAUUAGAAUCAUAAUACCAAAAUUUACUGGAUUAGAAAGUGCAUUGGUACUUUGCAAAACCCGAAACCGUGCAAAAAUAGAUUUUUGCAAAGUGUACCGGUACAACAUCGGAAGUGUAUCGGUACGCAUUCUGUUCCGGUACAACAAGCGACUUGUCACCAGUUACAGCAUUACGCAGGUUUUCUGUUCCGUCAUCGUGUAACCGGUAACAGCUUAAAGUGUACCGGUACACAAUGUAAUUUUCGAAAAAACUUUCUAAUCCGACUCCAAUUGAUUCUAAAGCCUAUAAAUAAGCUAUUGGGCUCCUCUAAUAGAUUAAGCAUCAUGAGAAUACAUGUUUGAGAAACCCUAGAGGCUAGGAUUUCAUCCAAAACCUAUUUUCUACAAAAUAGCUUCUUUUAGGUCAAAUCGAGAGAUUGUUAUUUAAUAUCAAUAUGUCGAUUUGAUCUAUGCUUCGCUUGGAGUUUUCUUCUCUGGUUUUCUACGAUACUCUAAGCAAAGGAUCACCAUAAUCAUGAUGUUCUUCAUGACGACGUCGUGGAUUCGGCGUGAUUAACAUUGGUUCGUGGAUUCAGAUCGUGAGCUUCAUGGAUUCGGAGUGAAGGCGUUAAGUAGAUUCGAAACGAGGCGUUCGUGGAUUCGAACGUGAGGGCAUGGACAACCCGGAGGAUUGCGUGAGAUUCUUAAGAGGUUAAGAGAGGUCGAGUCCGUAGAGUCGGUAAUCUCCUUGUAAUCUUUUCUCUUAUGAAUUAUUUUUUCGCGUGUUGGUCCUGUGGGUUUUCUCCAAGUUGGAGUUUUCCCACGUAAAUCUCGGUGUGAUUUUUAUCUUCUAGAUUUAUUUUUAUCACAUUGAGAUUUGUGGUUUUUGGCUAUUAAACCUAUUCACCCCCCUCUAGGUGUUAGAUACAAUCUAGAUAGAUCAUUGGGCACUCCAAAACUUUCACUCUCUAGAGAAAGAAAAUAAGAGGAAUGAGAGGGAUGGGUGAAUGGCUGUGGGAGAGAGUGAGGAGGGGUGUUGGGGUUUUAUUACGAUGCUAUAAUUGCAUUUAAACCCUCCCCAUUUUCAUAAUUGCAGCAGUUUUUUUUUUGCUGUCAGACCCAAAGUGUACCGGUACACGGGAUUUUGUACCGGUACAUUUCCUGCGCAGAGGCAACCCGAGAGCAAACUGUUCGGAUUUUACCAAAGUGUACCGGUACACACCAGGGGUGUACCAGUACAUUUCUGCGAAAACUCAAACCCGAGAGCAAUCCCUUCUCGGGCUGCAGGGUUGUACCGGUGACAACUCGAUGGUUGUACCGGUACACUUUGCCCAGAACACUUAUUUUGCGCCGUUUUCGAUUCUACUUCGCGCCGGUCGAUGCUAAAACCCUUUUAACACCUCUUAAACUUAUUUUUAACCCUUCCAAUCUUGUUGGAAUGCUAAAUGGGACUUGUCCAUCCAUUUUUCUCGGCACUUUAACCAAUUUGGCUAAAGUUCGAUAAUCACUUUCGAGGUUUCGAUACGUUACAACUCAUCUCACACUUUUGGGUGGUAAUUGGCUCUGAUACCAACUGUAACGCCUUGACUUCCCAGAGGGUCACCCAUCUUAGGACUACUCCCGUCUUAGUACGCUUAGCUCUCUUAACCUCUUGGGCCUAACCAACGCCCAAAAUGCUUAAGCCGGGUUAAGAGAUUAGCCUUAUUAUAUCUUAUACAUACAACUAUCUGGGGUCUCGCAAGUUGAGCGAGUGGAGAGUGGCUUUUGCCUGAGGUCCUUAGACCGACACGGCGGUAUAGAUUGGAUACAUUUGGACUUUUCAUCCGGAUGACGCAUAUAGCUAUAGUAGCGGUUGUUACAUGCUUAUUUACAAUUCUUCUAUCUUUAUAGUUACAUUGCUAUUGUAAGUCUUUCUUUACCUAUACAUGGUUACCGGUGAGUAUGCUUGGCUUCGUCGGCUUGCGGUACCCACUGGAAGACCUUUGUUGGUUUCUUACCCUCAUUUCUCGACAGGUGAUAUAGGUAGGAUUGGUCAGGACACAGUAUGAGGCUGUAGCUAGUGGGCGAUCUUAGACGUCUCGAUCUCGGUAUACAUUUUGACUAUACUUCAUAUUUAACAUAAGUCAUAUAUGUGUCAGUAUAGUUUAACCUCUAUACUUGUUAGUAGUUGUUCUUAUAUGGUUCAGUUGAUGGUUUUUUAUUCACGGAUUCUUGGAUGACGUAUUUAUGAGUUUUUGGUUGCUUACGGUUUUAGAAUAUUCGUGAUUUUUGGACAUAUGGCUUUGGAUUCGGAUUUCGAAAUGUGGUUUUCUACCCCUCGUGUUAGUGUUUUCAAAAUAAGGUGUCUCUGUGGGAAAUAAUUUUCAAAAUAGUUUUUCAUGCUUUUCACAAAGUUAAAAUUUCAAAGAAAUAGUUUUCGUGUGGGAGACACUUUUAACUAUUAGGAUGAAUAUGGAAUGGAUGUGACUAAGGAGGGCUAGCUGUAUGUUGAAAUGAGUUGAUCCUUGUACAUCCUAUUGUUGUGUGUGUGAAUAGAGAUCUGGUUGUUCAAUUGUACUAUGCGCUACGUCAUGCAAAUACAGGGGAGACUCUAUCUAUUUGUUUCAAAAAUUUCUGUAUUUGUGGCGGGUUUGUUGCACGUCUUGAGGGUCUAGAUUAAAAAAAAAAAAAGGGCAGUUUCUCGCUGACUCUGAUUUAUAAAGAUAGCUCGAUUUCAAAUUAGCUUUCAAAAAGGACCCCGGGGCGUGAUAGUUCUUGAUGUAGCAGAUCUCCUCAAAAAAUUGGAGAUCCUAGACGUUGUUGGCAGUGGCAAAGUUGACGUCGCUGGAUAGUGCUCGAGGUGGUCGAUAGCGAUGUUGCACCGGUGCACACAGGGUCGAGAAAAUCGGCAGCCGAGAAGGUUGGGGGCGAAACUGACGGUGAUUUGGGGAUAGGGUCGGAGCUUAGAGAGGACGCCUAGGAAGAAAGAUGAGAGAAGAGUGGUGAAGGAGAGGGAAGAACUCGAGCUCACGCGAGAUAGGAGAGAGGUAGGGAACCUAGUUAGUUAAUUCGCGAAUUAUUCACGAAUUAUUUGCGAAUUAUUCGCAAAUUAUUAAAAAUCCAAAUUAAACGGUCCGUUUACGAAUUUUUCCCAAAGAAAGAGAAUUAUUCGCAAAUUUUUGGGCCAGCCAAAUUAUUCACAAAUUAUUUCCGAAUUAUUCCCAAAUUAUUGAAAAUAUGAAAAAAAAACUUAUAAUUUUUAUUUUUAAAUAUAAAUUAUCUUAUAUUUUAUAUCUAAUAUUUUAUACUUUAUACCGAAUCCGUUUUUUAGGCCGAAUUUUUCAACGAAUUUAAAAAUUAGAAAAUAAAUUUUAUGCGUAUUAUAUCCGUACCGAAUUUUUGCCGAAUCCAAAUUAACUAACUAUGGUAGGGAAAAGGGGGAGAAGGUGAAGGGUGUUCGUGUGAGAUGGACCCAGCUGGUUGGGUUUGAGUUUAGGUUCGGGUUCGGUUUAGAAUAGUAUUGGGGUCAAAAUAGAUGUAUUUAGUAUAAAAUUAUUAGUCAGUAAAAAAAGUAUAGUCUAAAAUAGAUAAUAACGGCUAUUUGAUAAUUGCAGCCAUUAAAUUGCCGCUAAAUGUCCAUUUUGUUGUAGUGAGCGCAGAGGUUAAAGAAAUUACUAGUAGGUUUGUAAUGAAUAAUUGAAGCAUUGUGUCGAAUAAUUCAAAAAAAGGAAAGGAGUAUUAAUAUUGUCAUUUAACAACUACAUAGUGAAUUAAUACUUAGAUCAAAAGACAUUCUAAUACUAAAAGGAAUAUUCUUGCAGUAUAAUAUCACUUUUAAUAAGUUGAUAUUUUAAGGUAGCAGCGCCUUGCAUGCAGAUAGAUUAUGUUUCGAAUGUCCCUUUUCCUUAUAAAAAACUUUGAAAGGUUGUGAAUCUUUAUAUUGAUCACAUAGUAUUGUUCCUAUAGUGGACAUUGAAUCACUAUUCAUCAUAUAAAAUACAUGAAUUUCAAAUAAUGUGAAUAUUAAAUUCAAUGAUCCCGUCAUAUGAAUAGUUUUAAUAUAAAGAUUUGUUCUCUAAAAAUAAUCUUACUUUAGAUUGCUUUAGAUAAAUACUAUUAAAAAAGAAAAACAUAUAUAUUGGGCACAUUAUUUUGGGUCUUAGUUUCCUACUACUCUCUUUCAUGGUUGGGAGUCAUGUUCACAAUUCUCUGGAUUGAAGGCUAGUUGUGAUUGCAGCACAUCAAAAGUAAAUCGAGUAUUUGCUUGUUGGUAUGCCCCGAGAAUACUUGAAUUGUCCUGUGGCAACAUUGCAAAGCAAAAUAUUCCCUUCGUCCAUGCAAUGAGGAACAACUCUCGCCACAUGAUAUGCAUUUGGGCCCCUUGUAAAUGUAAUGUUAUGCUCGGCAUUAAGCUCUCAUAACUUGGUUGGAAAAGCCAACAAAGUUUAAGAUUUGUCUUGUACCUCUGUGGGUCCACUUCAACCAAUUUCUUAUGGCGGAAAUAAUCUCUAAGCUCUUUCCUCACUCGUUCAAAAGCUGGAGUUAUUAGGUAAGUGAUGAAUGAGCCGGAGUCCACAUAGAACCCGCCCGACCCAUUCGGCUUUCGUGCGAACAUUCUUGGCUCAAACCCAAGUCGUUUGUUACCAACACUAAUGUCAUUUAAAGUAAUGUAAUAGAAGCACACACCUUGUAUGGGUAUUAUCGGUGUGGUUUGGACUGGCCCUCUUUGCACAAUGUUGCUUCCGAAUCGUAAAAAGCUUAUACUGUUUGAACCUACCGGGGGAAGACAAUAUGAAAAGCGCCCCUGGCUGCCAUGAUUGAUAAGUUGUCUUGUAAAUGAUUCCUCGGACAAACCUAAUGCCAUUACUCCUGAUGGAUAACCAUGGUGGUCACUAGUUAAAUGUGUAUCAUGUGAGCAGCCAAAGGCAAGCCCUUCAACAAACUCGAGGUGGCCACCAUGGCUCGAAUGGAAGCCAAAGGUGUCUUUUGAGAGCGUGCCAAUUGUCCGGGACCCACCAAUAUAGCUGAUCUGGUAGUGGCAACGGUUGUUGAUGCAAUGGUAAUAUCUUUGUGGGCAAGGGUUCUGGUCAGAGCAGGAUACAUCAACAAAGGAAGGGGAUUGGCGAGGGUCGAAGUAAGGUUCAUUUUGCACAUAGCAAUUGAUGCAUGGCUUGCAUUGGGUCCAAGUAAGAUAACUGCCUGUAUCUAGGUCUAAAUGGUAGCCAAUGCUACCAUUUCCAGUGCCAAUUGUCACAAAAACCAUGUACAAUGCUUGAUAGUAAAUGAUAGGGGGGCGAAUAGUGGUUAUUUCAUGGCCAACAGGCGUUGGUUCAACAUUGUUCAGUUUGAGGAAUCGAUUUUCAGAAAGGCGGAGGGACUCUUCAAAGCGUUGUGAAUCGGUGAGGUUAGGGUUGUAAAUUGGGGACCGAGGAGAGUGAUGAUAUAUGAGCUCAAAGCUUAAGAUUCUUUUAAGUGCUACAAUAGUUUCAAAGGAAAAGAGAAGGAUGGACAUUAAAAGAAGAAAGAUAACAUAUGAAUGGAUAACUUUGCCCAUGGUUGAUAUUUUGCAAAGAAGUAAAUCAUAGAAGACAUGAAAAGAUUUAUACAUAUAUAUAUAUAUAUAUAUAUAUAGUAGGGCUACUGUGCUAUUAGGAGCACAGCUGCCCUUGUGCUCCUAAGUUCUUAACCGUCCAUCAAAUUUGAUGGGUGGUUAGGAUGAAUGGGAGAAGAGAAAAUGGAGAGAAAUUGAGAAACUCAAUUUCUCUCUAUUUUCUCUUUUCCUUUUCACCCUAAAACCAACACUAUCAAAUUGAAUGGCAGUUAAAACUUAACACAAGUGCAUGCUGUGCUCUUAAUACAAGUAUCCCUACUAUAUAUAGUAUAUAUAUAUAUAUAUAAUAUAAAUAAUAUAAUGAUAAAAAUAGAUAAAGCUAAAAAAUUUAACAGGCGAAAAAAAUAAAAAAGAAAAUCCAAAAGAUAUCUGAUGUAAGGAAAAAAAAUCUGGGAUUCAAUCGCAAUCCCAACUACAAAAUGACUUCUCUAAAAUGGAAAAAAAAUCUGUGGAUCAAUAGAAUCCACUACAAAAUACUUCUCUAAAAUAAAAGAGUUUUAAAUAUCUAAGUUUUUUUUGGAGGCUUUUUUUCGAUUACAAUUUUCAGUGAAUUGUAAAAAAUUUAACAAACCUAAUUAAUUAAAACACAUAAAUUUAAAUCAAUAGUAUUUUUUUAAAUGCGCUAAAUAUAUAUUAGUGCAUUAAAUUUAAAUUCCAGUCAAAUUAUAAUGCCUUAAAUCAUUUCAAUCGCAAUUAUGAACAAUUAUCACAUUUUGGUAGGGUUGAUAAAAAUUAUAGUGGCAAUUUAAUUUACAAAUGAUUGAUAAAUGAAACUUAUACGGCAAUUACAAUAUAAAUAUUAAACCUUGAAUCCAAAACUAAAAACUCCAUAGAUUAAAUAUAAAAAAUAAGUAAAACAAAACAUUAAUAUAUGUAAUAACAAAUAAUCGUACUCUCAAAUUACAGAUCUCAGCAAUCUAAAUUAAAUUUUGGACACGUGUUCUAACAAAUAAAAUACUUGUUCAAAAUUUAGGCCAAAAAAUAACAAAAUUCUAUAAAAUAAACACCUAUAAUCAUCGGAAAAGCCUCAAAAUUAAAAAUGCUAAAACUCUUUCCACAUUUGAAAACUUGCUCAGAAUACGAAUUACAAGCCGACAAAAAGAAUCUGUUCCAAAUAAUAUCUUUCUGCAAUCAGUGUAUCAUAACAUAUUUUAUUUCAUGAUUGAAAUAGUUGUAAAAAAAAGUGCAGUAAUCACAUAAUAUAUAAAAGAAACACUAUUAAUAAAAAUACCAAUUUGAAGUCAAGAAUAGGAUUACACUAUUAAAAGAUUGGAAAAUGAAUACUAUUCGAUCUCACAUUUCCAGCUAAUUUUAUUCUAAAUGAAAUAAAUGAACGUGUACAUGCUACCUUCCUCAAAAAAAAAAAAAACAUAAGAAAAAAUUAAUUACUAAUUAAGCUAAAGACAUUUUGAGCACAUCAUUAACCGUGACACUACCAGAAUAAAGGCAUAGUCGUGUUCGUCUCUCAGCUUGGUAAUAUCGUCGUGCAAAUCCUAACGAGCAACAACAAAAUAUUAGUUGAUUAGAAGAAUAAAUUCAAGAGUUACUGGUUAGAGUUCGAAGCAAUAUCUAACUCAAAAAAAUUUACCCAAAAAAUUCAGAAAUUAGAUUAAAGUAACUCUUAAAUCAACGAUCCAUCAUCAAAAAACUACCUAAGAAGCUAAAAAAGACUGAUUCAAAUUAAAGAAAAUACUACAUAAGAAAGUGUUAAAAAAAAAACAUUAAUAGGCAGAUCAAAAUAUAUAGAAAAGAACUAGAAAAUGAGCUAUACAUCCCAUAUCAAUUAAAAAUAAAGCAUUAGAAAACCUUCACUAUAAUGAACGAUACAAGCAAUAUAUGAUUGAUUACGAAUAAGCCUCUUUUCGUUUCUCUCAAACAUAAUACCUAUAUGAUCUAAUCAAAUCACUGCCGUAAUGACUUGAUGCUAAUUGGAUUGUUUGAAUACGGAUAAUUCCGCACCUGUUAAAAUAUAGCAAAAUUAAAUCAAACAACUUAGAAAAAUGUAAAUAACUAGAACAGACACAUGAAAAACAAUAUCCAAAUUUCAAAAAAAUUAAAGAGAUUUUUCAAUAAAAUACACAAUCAAGUUUAACACUCGAUGACAACCUAGAUAACUGUGAAUCAACGCAUAUAUACAAAUACAUAAUUAUCUAAAAAUCACAAUAAUCUUAAAGAUAACAUGGAACGAUUGAACAAUAGAUCUUAAUUAAUUUCUCAAAAAAAAGGUCAAAAGCUUUAUAAAUUUAUUAUAGAAAAGGUAACAAUGAAAAUUUCCUACAGCAGCUAAUGUCCAAAUCUGGAUCUCAUAGUAAUUAUCCAAAAAUUGCUGUUUGUUUGUUGUUCAAAGACUAAUACCUUGAAUAACUCCGCAAUUGCAAAAUAAACACCACUUCGUUCAGCAAGAGCAGAAACAUUAAAACCAUCAUUUAACAACUCAAGAAACACAUAAUCCACUAGUCCACGCACUCCAAUCAUCAAAAUUUCCACUGCUUAAUGUUACAAUACAAAAACCUGCUAAUCGUCACGAAUUUAACGAGAAAUUUCGAACCCAAUGAGCCCAUACCUCGCCAUAACCCCCUAAUGCCCCAUUGUCCACCGCGAGCCGCGCGGACGCGUUGCCCACGAGGAUAUGUAUGACUGUAUUAUGAAUAUUUGAAUCAAGAUCGCCCCAGCCGCCGCACUGGAGCUCCCCAAACCGCGCCCGCCGCCGUCGCGAGUGAACACCGAGAUCAAAGCUCUUGGUGAUCUCUCUCUCCGCCACGCACCGCUACCUCCGGCCGCCGCCAGCAGUCCUCAGCCCCACUUGACCGCCCGCACCCGUCCCCCGCCGGAGCGCAUCGCUUCGGCCGCCGGCGACAACCUAUCUCCACUGGUCGGUAACCCUAUAUUACCACACACUGAUUAGUCCGGUCAUCUUUCCGGUGAUGCGAAAAACACCCCUAAUAAUCUCAAAAGUGAGCACGAUGAUCCCUACCCACUCGGUGCUGAACAUCGUGCCACUCUCCGUUAGUCAAGAUCUCCGUUGCGUAGUGAUGCGAUUAAGAUACUGGUCACGUCACUGAAGUUCGCAUCAUUCGUGCUUCCAACAGUGCCGCAGUCUCCGACAAGUGACAAACCCUCCAACAUCGCCGAUACACUAUCACGGUGGCUCAGCUUGGCUGAAUACGCCUACGUUUGCGCUAGCGGCCAUGACAACCGAAUAUCACUUUAAUAAAUUAUUUUUUAGGAAUCGGAGUUUACCGCAAUUUACACUUUGGGAUUGCUAGUUGCAGCAGCCGGCAGAGUAACCUCGACUGAUGUUCAAGGCCCCAAGGCCUUGCGAGAUCGAAAAUUGAUUCCCGCAAUUUGUCGCAAAAUCCGCCGACGGAACGCGUUUUUCGUUCGGAAAUCUUCCGAAGUGCCCGUGAGCAUAUUGUUUAUGUCGUUGAUACCGGUGGCUUGUCACCCGCAUGUUUUCGAGCGGUUCGGGAAUGACGGGUUAAGCGACGGUGGUCCGGUUCGAAAUGACACUUACGGAAACCCGGACGAACGAAUUAUCCACAUAAACGCUUCCGAUGAGGUCAGUGUGUUUGCUGCUAAAGUCGAUGAAUAAGUUUUAGUGCAGUGGUAUCGUAACGAGUCGAUGAAUUUCGGGACAUUUCGUGUCCCGGCGAGUCCCGAUCAUUUUGGGACUUCCGUGUGUUAUUCGUAACGUUUUUGGGGAAACCGAUUCCCGUGGGUUUAAUUAAAGGUUUGUCUUAGUUUUUCUGUUUGGGGGUUAGAUACAACCUUGAACCCUCCGAUAUUCCAGUUGAUGAUCCUUCCAAAUCGAAACAGGCACGUUGUUCAUACAAGUAGUAUCGAUUCCGAAGUCGUACAGGUGCACGCUCGGUUAUAUGCUUCUUACCCUUAUAUCCGUCGUUGUUAUCUUGCAUAUAUAUCUUAUAGAUAUUUGAGCCUAGCACACCCCAAUUUGUUCUCGCUAUACUCUAUCUCGGUGUUUUUCAUAUCUAGUAUAUUAGUAGGAUAGAGCCGAUUUAAUAUUCAUUUAAUCGAAUGACCUAAGUUGGUCGUUUGGUAAUUCCGUGUCUGUACCUAUUCGUCGUACUACAUUGUAUGUGACUACUGUCCGGUGACUAUUUGAUACUAAUGGCUGGUACCGAUGGGUAGAUUGUCGGUUGAUUGCCGACGGAUAUUAUAGAUCUUACAUUGAUUCGUAGAUUGACAUCCCCUCGGAACCUAGUCGACGGUUCAUAGUAUUCCAGUAAACCUAGUUGCGGUUCAGUGGCAUAUCUGUUAUUGACAUUGAGUAGUCAAAUACGGCAUACCUUCGAAAGGAUGUUGAUAAAAAUCCAUCUAGUUGACCUAAGUGCUGUACUGUAUUCUAUGUUCGAUGACCUAUUGGUCGCUUGUCCCCGAGCGGGCCGUGAUUGUUGCUAUUGCCAAUCCCGUUGUUUUUGAUGCAUAAUCACAUGCAUCUGCCACAUACUCGCAGCAUUCACGAACUACCAGGGCUGAUCCAAGCCGCGGCUAUUGUCUUUUCCGAAAAAGUGUUAGUAUGUGCCAGCCCGUGAGCCCACCAUCGGUCAGAACUGGGUUAAUAAGCACCGUCGCACAAGCGUCAGAAAACUGGUUAGUAAUACAGUAGAUCCAGUGGCAUAGGCUGAGGUUCUGAAACCGCAUGCCAGGUUUCUGAUUGGGAUAUUUUUGGGAACGAAUCGUCCGGGUAUAACAUAUCAUAUACUUUGUUCUUUAUACAUCGUAAGCGAUUUAGUAUAUUCCUAAUAUAUUUUUGUUUACCCAUACACUCAUUGCGCAGAGUUAAACACCAUGUACAUUCGUUCUAUUACAAGUUAGGCGUGAUGAGGAUGUUCCUAGUUUGUCUCCUUCCUUCAGUUUAUUGUUAAUAUCUACUCAUAAUCGUAUAUCUUUCAUAACUUCAUUUAUCUCAUCCUGAAUUACCGGUAGUACUCCCUCACCUUCGCGCUUGUGGUACCCACUGGAAGGAUACAUUACAUGUCUCUACCGCCACCCCAUUUCAUAUUGGGCGUAGGUAACAGCUAAUCGACACGUCGUAGCGGUCGUAAGAGUUCCUCCCAGACAUUCGUCUAGUUUCUAUCCUUUCCUUACCAAAAUAAAUACUUAGACAUAUGGUUCAGUUGUUUUUUUUACUUGGAUAAAUUAUUUUGGUAAAUGAAUAUUAAAGAACUUAUAAGUUUCUUGAGAAAAACGGUUUUCUACCCCUCUGGUAAGCAAUUUUUAAAGAAAAAAGUUUCGUGUGGAAACAGUUUUGAAAAGGUUUUAUUGCUUUCAUACUCUUAGUAGCUUCAAAAUGAUUUCCGUGGGAGGAAAUAUGAACUGAUAGAUGUGAUUUAUGAAUCUCUUAAGAAAGAAUGUAUAUGUAAUGGAAUGUAUACGUUUGUUGAUUUGUACUUCUGCGAUGCCGGCAAAUAAUGGGAGAACUCUGUCCGUUGUGAAAUAUUCACUCUCCCUAUAUUUGUGGUGCAACUGGUAUACCCGGAGGCUAGGAUUCACAAAAAAAUAAAAUUUGGCACAUUACCGCUUACUUCUUAAACCAAAAAAAAGACCUCGUUGACACCACAGGGACUGCUUUCCGAGAAAAGUAAAUUGAGAGCCAAAAGACCAUUAGAAUUGAAAAGCAAUUAUGGGACCGAGUCAUACACCUACCACUCAUACAACAAAUUACUAUUUUAUAUUCGUGGAUGAUUAUAGCCGGCAUACUUGUUGUUAUUAAUCAAAAAUAAAAUCCAAGCUUUGAAUGCUUCUAAAAUUUAAAAAUUUGCAAACGAACCGUAUUAAUUAGGAUCCUCCGAACCAGAUCGAGAGAGAAUUUAUUUCUACAAGUUUGAAAAUUUUAAAGGCAAUGAAUACUUCACAGGUAUUCGACAACCAGUUACACACCUCAGAAACUGUUCAAACGCAAAGCGCAAAAAUCAAAGUUUAGUCGAGAUGGCAAAAAGCAUGUUGAAAGCGAAAAAGCUCCCAAACAAAUUUUGGGCAGAAGCGGUAUCUACUACAACAUACAUUCUCAAAAGAAGUCCAAUUUUAGUGCUGGAGAAUAUUACACCUUAUGAAGCAUAAACCGGCUGGAAACCGAAGGUAAAACACUUUAAAAUUUUUUGAUCGGUUUCUUUUGUUCAUAUUCUAUCACAAAAUAGGCAAAAAUUGGAUGAUAAUAGUCAGAAGUGUAUUUUUGUUGGAUAUAGCAAAAGAAGUAAAGCCUAUCGAUUUUAUAAUCCUGCUACUAACUCUUUAAUUAUAAGUCGUGAUGCUAUAUUUGAUGAACAAAAAGCUUAGGAUUGGAGCGCAAAAGUAUAGGAUAAUCCACUUCUAAUAUUCGAAAAUAAAACUGUAACUGAGAAUAGAAACAACGGUGGAAGUACGACAAGCACGGAAACAACACCACAAGCUUUACCGCGAAUUUCACCAGAAACUUCUCGAGAGACGAUGCCAAGAAAAGUAAGAUCACUUAGUGAAAUAUACGAACAGUGCAUGUAUUCACAAUGUGGAGAAUCGCAAAACAUCGAAAAGGUGAGAGAAUCUAAUUAUUGGUGUAAGGCGACGAAUAAAGAAAAUGUGCCAUUAAGAAAAAAUAAUAUCUGUGAGUUUGUUAAAUCGCCUAUAGAUAAAGAAGUUAUUGGAUUUAUCACUACAACAAAAACGGUCCAUAGCGACACUUUUAAAUAUCGGUACAGGUCAAAAGAAGUGAUGCUUGCUAAAUUACCGAUACUUUUAAAAAGUGUUGCUAUAUGUGGGGUCGCUAGGUAUAUAGUGACAGUUAAUGAGUGUCGCUAUAACCUAAAAAGAGUGUUACUAAUUUAUCAACACUUAUUUAAACAUUUAGCAACCGCUAGAACUCUACUUUGUUGGCUGCGGUGGCGGAGGAGGACGAGAGGGAAAGGCUCUUCGUCUAGAAUUUCAGUGGAUUGAGUGAGGAGAGAAUGGGAGAUAGUAAUCGAUUUUUUAUUUUUUUUUCUUUUUUGUUUGUAAUCGGGCUGAAUGGGCUGGAUGGGGUAGGUUGAGUAGAGUAACCUUUUAUUUUUGGUUUGAUUAGGCUUUAUAUUUAGGCAUUAGUAGAUUAUAUUUUAAAGUUUUGGCAUAAAUAGGACACUUAUAUAAAAGUGUCCCAAACAUGUGUCCCUAUAACCUAGUUCUGUUGCAAUGUAUGUGGAUAUAUAAGACGAAAAGGAUAUUAAGAGAUUUGAAAGAAAUAAGAAACCACCGGUUGUGGUAUACUAACCCUAACGAUUUUUAUUUUUGUUGUUUUAAUAGUGUUUGGACAGGUUAAGUUGAUGAUCGAAAAAGUACGAGAAGGGUUCGAGUUGAUACGCUUCGCAACCGAGGAGCAGAUGGUCGAUAUUUUCACAAAGCCGCUACUAUUGGAGAAAUUCAUAUUUUGCCGAGAGAAGAUCGGUGCGAAGAACAUUAGCAUUAUGGGGGAGUGUUAGAGAUAAUGCUAAUGAGAUUAAGAUUAGAUUAUUCGAUCUUAUCCAUUAUUAUAUUCGGUUAUUUAAAUUAUGGUUAAGAUGAAAUCAAAUCAGAGUAGGAUACUAUGUAAUUAGUUAUAAAUAGAUAGGCCGGGAUUAUUUGGUUAGCGAAGCCGGUAUUAAUUAAGUUGAAGCCGAGCCGGGCGCUAAUUAAUUUUUGCAAGUUGUAUGGACGCAUCCUGGUGACUUUUCUUCAAUAUUGUUAGUUUUGUUUUGCUUCCACAACAACAUACCAAAUUCUUUGAUUCGUCUUCUUCUUCUCUUAUCUUUUCUAUUUUACUUUUUGUAGAGAUUUCUAUAUAUCAUAACAAGUAUAUAGAACGUAUUUGUUGGAGGCCCACUGCCGUAACAGGAUUUACUUAUGUUGUCGUAUUAUGCUUUUUUACAGUAGAGAAGGUUUUAUCAAAAAAGAAAAAUCAAUUUCAAUCUUUUGUUAUGAAUUCCCGACACAUCUACUUGCAUUGUCUAUACUGUUUAUAACCCAACAUUGUCCAUUGAAAAGAUUUGGCAAAGAAAGCAUGCUUCUCUAAAAAAGGCUAAGUCAAAAUCAUGGAUUUUAUCAAAAAGCACAAUAUGAAAGAUAAGUGCCAAAGAUGAAGUGAUGUUGAUAAUUCCUGGUAACAGUCAGAUGUCAUAUUUCCAAUAAUCUCAAGAGUUUAUUUUUAAUAAGAGUCCCAUAAGAUUAGGAAUAUUCACUUUGGUUGCAUAAUAUUCUUUCGAUUGUGGACCACUAGAUCCACCAUCCAUCAUAUAAAAUGCACAAAUAUCAACACAGUAUGAAUUCUGGAUUCAAUGAUCUCAUGAUACGAAUAGUUUUCGUUAAAAAUUUAUUCUCCAGAAAAGGUCUUCCUUUGGAUAAAGUUUAGAUAAAUACUAUUAGGGAAGAAAAACAAGCACAUAGGCACAUUAUUUUAGUAUUUAUCCUCUUAUUUUUCUCUUUUAAGGUUGGGAGUCAUGUUCACAAUUUUCUGGAUUGAAGGCUAGCUGUAAUUGCAACACAUCAAAAGUAAAUCGAGUAUUUGUUUGCUGGUACGCCCCAAGAAUUGUCAAAGUCUCCAGCGGCAGCAUUGCAAAGCAAAAUAUUCCCUUCUGUUGAACAAUGUGGAACAAGCUCUGCCAUGCUAUACUCAUCUCGGCCCCUUGCAAAUGAAAUGUCAUACUUGGCAUUAAGCUCUGAUAAUGUGGCUGGAAAAGCCAACAAAGUUUAAGUGAGAUUCCAUAUUUUGUUGGGUCCACUUCAACAAAAUUCCUAUGGCGGAAAUAAGCCCUAAGAACUUUCUUCACCCUUUCGAAAGCUGGGGUUAUCAAUCGAGAGACUGCUGCCCCAGAGUCCACAAUGAACCCGCCUGACCCAUUCGGCUUUCGGGCAAACAUUCCUGGCUCAAAUCCAAGUCGUUUGGUACCAACACUGAUGUCAUUUAAGAUAAUAUAGUAGAAGCACACACCUUGGCUUGGUUCUAUAGGUGUGGUUUGGACUGGACCUCUUUGCACAAUGUCAUCUCCGAAUCGUAAAAAGCUCAUACUUGUUGAACCUCUCAAGGGAAGACAGUAUGAGAAGCGACCCUGACUACCAUGAUUAAUGAGUUGCAUUGCAAAUGAUUCCCUGAACAAACCUAAUGAAAUUAUUCCUGAUGGAUAACCAUGGCUAGGUACAACUAGUUGGCUAUCAUGCGAGCAGCCAAAGACGAGCCCCUCAAUAAACUCAGGGUAGUCACUAUGGCUAGAACGGAAGCCGAAGGUGUCUUUCGAGAGUGUGCCUUUUGUGUAGGAGCCAUCGAUAUAGCCAACUUGGUAGUGGCAACGGUUGUUUAUGCAAUGGUAAUUCCCUUGCGGGCAGGGGUUUUGGUGGGAGCAAGAGAUGUCAAUAAAGGAAGGGGAUUGGUGAGGGUCAAAGUAAGGAUCAUUUUGUGGGUAGCAAUUUAUACAUGGCUUGCAUUGGGUCCAAGUAAGAUAACUACCUGUGUCAAUGCUUAAGUAGUAGCCAAUAGUACCAUUGCCAGUGCCAAUCGUCAAAAAAACCAUGUAUAAUGACCCAUAGAAAAUGAUACGGGGGCGAAUAGCAGUUAUUUCAUAACCAACUGACAUUGCUUGAGAGUUGUUUAGUUGGAGGAAUCGAUUCUCAAAAUGGAGGAGGGAGUCUUCAAAGCGUUGUGAAUCAGUAAGGUUAGAGUAGUAAAUAGGGGAACGAGGUGAGUAACGAUAGAUGAGCUCAAAGCUUAAGGAUCUUUUCAAUCCUCCAGUAGUUUCAGAGAAGAAGAGUAGGAUAGAUAUUGAAAGAAGAAAGAUAAAAUGUGAAUAGAUGGUUUUGGCCAUGAUGGAUAUUUUGUGAGUUUAGAAUAACAAUGUGGGUAAGAUAUAUAUAUAUAUAUAUAUAUAUAUAUAUAUAUAUAUAUAUGUAUAUAUAUAUAUAUAUGUAUAUGUAUGUAUGUAUGUAUAUGUAUGUAUGUAUGUAUAUGUAUGUAUGUAUGUAUAUGUAUGUAUAUGUAUGUAUGUAUGUAUAUGUAUGUAUGUAUGUAUAUGUAUGUAUGUAUAUGUAUGUAUGUAUGUAUGUAUGUGUGCGUGUAUGUUUAUAUAUAGAGUGAGGCUCCGUUUGCUUUCUAAAGCAUAGGGCCUCCGUGCUUUUUUUUUUUAUAAUGAGAUAUUGGAAUCGAUGAUCCACUCUAUUUGACUUGAUCUACACUAUUUGAAGUAUUGAGAAAUCAGGUUUCAUGGUUUUUUUGAUCUCAUUUAACUUAUGAUUGAGUGGUCCCAAAAUAAACUGCUAGAAAUAAAAAUCUCAUAAAAAGAGGUGAUAUAGAGGACUUAAAUUUUAGAUCGAAGAUCUUACUUUAAGGGUAAAAAAAUUAUUAUUUCAAAAUUUCAUUCAAUUUGAAUAUUUCUAUAUCUUUAAAUUUUAGAUCAAAGAUCUUACUUUAAGAGUAAAAAAGUUAUUAUUUCAAAAUUUUAUUCAAUUUGAAUAUUUCUGCAUCCUUAAACUUGCAAUUACUUCAUAUUUACUAUUUAAAUAAUUAAUUUUUGAGACUUUUUGAUCACUGGAUAAAUGAAAUAAAAAAUCAUGAAACAUGACAUCUAGAUACUUCAAAUAAGUUAACGAAGCGAAUCAUUGAUUUGGAUGUCGCAUCGUCAAAAAAAAAAGAAAAGAAGCAAAAGCACAAAAGCCCCCUUACUUUUAAAAGCAUCGUAGCCUCAUUCUCUCUCUCUCUCUCUCUCUCUCUAUAUAUAUAUAUAUAUAUAUAUAUGUAUGUAUAUGUGUGUGUAUGUAUGUAUAUGUGUGUGUAAGUAUAUAUGUAUAUAUAAGAAAAAACUAGAUAAAUAUAGAAAAGAUAGGCAACCAAAUAGAUAGAGAGAAUCCAUAAGAUGUUGUGCAGAAAAGACAAUUGUAGAUUCCCACUGCAUUAGGUGCAGAAAAGACAAUUGUAGAUUCCCACUACAUAAUGGCUUCUCAACAAACAACAUUAUGUGUAGAUAAUAUUUAAAUGGUUUAAUUGUUACUUUUGGAGGUCAAAACUACAUGCGUCAAAGUCAAUGAAAAGUAAUCCUAGUGGUCUCAGUAAAAAAGUUUAGGACCCAUUUGGGAACUGUGAAUUAAUUUAAUGCAGAGUUUUUUUUUUUCCAAUAGCAUAAAAUUUGCUCAAAAUUACAUUAUUUGGAGAAAGACAUAUUGAUCAGCGCCAUAUGAUUUGCAUGUACACCUAAAACCCUAUUUGGUGUGUACACCUAAACUCUGAUGAGACUUUUCAAUAUUCACUAAAAUACUGUUGGUAUUUACACCCAAAAAUUAUUCUUAUUUAGAUAAACUUUACGAGAUGGAUGCCACUAAAUAUGAUAAGAAAAUAAGUGGCAAUAUUAUUUUGUAACAAUAUCUUGAACUCUACUUUGCUAUUGCUAUUGAAUUCUCCGAAAUGAAGGCUAUCUACAAUUGCACAAAUGCUGAUUGAGUAUGUUUUUGCUGAAAUGCCUCGAGAAUGCUGAUAUCUUUCCUAUAACACCAUCGUCCAAUAAAACAAAAUUUUCUACUUAUCAAUAUAGAACAAUUGCUCUUGCCCAAUCUGUAUAUAAUUUCUUCUUCCCCUCUUCUCUUCUCAAAGUGGUUCAAAGAUGAUGUAACAAUAACUAAGAUACCAUAUCAGUGCCACAUUAUAUGUUACUUGUAAUAUAUCAGUGUAAUUAUACCAAGCCAACUUUAUUAGAUGGUAGAACUUUAUUACAACAAAAUUAUAAAGUUUCGAACUUUCGCUAAAUUGACAAAAUAUGGAUUAAGUCAUGCUAGACAUGAUUAAAAUAGAUUUUGAAAAGCUUAGACUAAGUUUGGAUUGGAUUGAACCAAUUCGGAUCGAAAUAUAGUUCCAGAAGAAGGAAAAUCUGAGUUUUAGAAUUUUUAGAUGCCCGGAACAGGAAUUUGAGCACUCAAAAUGGUUUUGGACAGCCUAGUAGAGCUUCGGAACAAGUGGACACUCUUUUAGAGAGUGAAGUUGGUGAGAAGGCUAGCUUUUGGGCGUCUGAAUAACCUAGACGCCCGAAACUUUUUGGACUCUACUUGAGGCAUCUGGAACCCUUCCGACCUUCCAACUCGGGAGCUUGGAUGCACCAAAAAAUUAAACAUUCGACGUCCAAAUGACCCUGCGGGCUCCAGAAAAAUCAUUCUAGCAGACCUUCACAGGCAUCCAAAUGUCUUUCGGACGCUCAACCCGAGAGCACUGAUCGCGCGACACCGUAAACAAUCGGAUGCCCAAUCUCUCUUUCGGGCGCUCGAAUUGUGAAUCGGGUAGACUGACUAAGCAUCCGAAUCAUCGACUGGACACAGCUAUGACGCUUUCGGGCACCCGAAAGUUCGAGCAAGUGACUAAAAUCUGGCGUAAAGGCUAAGCAUCAGUUAGUUGCAAAUAAAAGGGUUGGGGGAUUUAUGUGCUAUUAUAGCACCUCUAUAUAACCCCAUAUUACAGCCAUACCCUAAUCUCUCCCCUAUUUCCUCCUCUCUCACUCUCCCUCUCCUUUUCUCUCUGUAGAAGAGAAGGAGAACUGUAAAUCUCCAUGUUGGAGCUUGGAGUCAAAGGCAUCAAGAGGAAGCUCUUGGAGGGAGAAGAAAUCUACUUCACCCACGUUACUCUUGCUAAAAAUAGAAGAGGUGAGUUUGAAUUUUAGGAUUUUGGAAUUUUUCUAAAUGAGAGAUUUUUAGUUCUAACUUUGUUAAAACUCUUUUUGUAGGGAUUUCUUUAGAGUUCUUUGGAGAUCAAGAGCCAUCUACAUGAGAGAUUUGAACCAAGGUGGGAAAUAUCAUCGAAAUGAGCUUGAUUUCUCCCUUGUUUAAAGCUUAAUUUCUUUGACUGUAUGCAUGUAUUAUGGAUAAUAAGUAAACUAAAUAUAUUUUAGUUGCAUGUUAGGAGAUCUAAUAGAUUAAGAUGACUUAUGAGUAUUUGACCUAGAAAAAGUAGGAUUUGUUUAACCUAUUAUAUGUUAAAAAGGGUAUUAUGUAACAUACAAGUAUGAGUAAACAUGUAAACCUUGAGACAUAAGUGAAAAAAGCAUGACAUGUAACGUAGGUUGGAACCGAAUGUGCAAAUAUAGUGGCAUAUAAACUUUAGGCAAAAUUUAAACUAUAGAAUAAGAGAGCGUAGAAAUGAACCUUGUGAUAAUCUUAGAGGUCAUGAACUUAGGGUGUAAUAAUGAGAUAAGUGCGACCUUCCGAAAGUGUCAUAAAAGGGAAAAGUUCGAUCCUCUCGACUCGCGUUGUUGUACUUGGAAAAUUUUGAUCUCCUUCAACCCCAAAUGCCUAUAGAUUGGAGAGAAGGUCGAUUUCCCUCGAUUCUCUAUGAGGUGUGCAAUAAGAAGUGGAAACCAAACUACUAAGUUGGAUAAAGUUAAGAAAUGAAUUGUGGUGAAUGUAUAGGUAAAUGACAUAACAAAUUAUUAGGGCAUAUUGUAUAUAUUAAGAGAUUGUAAAUAUAUCUUGCUUAUUUGCAUUUCUAUUAUAAUAGUAGAUGUUUUUUAUUUUUACUUGUUACGAAUGCUUCUUUUGAACCGAGUGAGUAUAGAGCGUUCAUAUAUAUUCGGGGGUUGCACACACUAAAAACUUAUUUUAAGUUCUCACUCCUUUAUUAUUUACACCUUUUCAAAUCCUACGAUUGCUGGAGAGGCGCAGCACUACGACAAGGGUAUCAUGUAGUAGUUAGAUUGUGUGAGCGGUCUAGAGUGUACCUUUUUCGUAUGAACAAGAAAAAAUUGUAAUAUUUUGGGAAGAAUUAAGUUUCGUAACCUUACGAUGACUCUAAGGACUUAGAAACGUGAGAGCAUGAACUUCAGUAAAAUUGAGUAAUUGGGUCUUGUAGUGUUCCCAAAUAGAUUGUUAGGGACCGAUUGAGGGAGAUAUUUCUUUCAUUCUUUGGAUAAUUAUGUUGGUUGCCAACAACUGGUGUUGGAAAGAAGAGAGGGUGUCCCUCAAGAACUUUUGCUUAAUUAGAUCUAUUUUAUUCUCUUAUGUGACAUUAUAAGGUCUAAGUAGAAGACUUGGACUAAAAUUGUUGUUGAUGCUGUGGUACUACAGGAUAGCAAUGGCACCACGUGGACGACCAAGAAUGAGGUCCACGUCAACACGACCCGAGGCACUUGAGCACUAGGGGUCGAGUGAGGUGUGAGAGCCGCACAACCAAAUAGCCACACUCAUAGUUAUGUGUGGUCGAGAUGCAAGCUAAGGCCUUUCGAUGCCAAGAGUAGCAAAUCAAGAGGAUUCAUGACAUUAUUAAGCAGCAAGCAGGAGCUACACAUGCGACCCAGGAACCCACUCUAUCACGUCUUGCAUGGAAUGCCGCAAAGGACAUCACAAUAGCGGCCUCUCGAUCACUUGUCUCUGCAUGCCCCACACUAGGCAGGGGUGACGAGGGAGGCGUUCUAACACCUCCAUUGCAACAUAUAUAGCCCAACAAGCAAAGUAGGAGUAGGCUCGAGAGGGCCUAACUAACUUUUGAAGUUUAACCUGUUGAUCUUCAAUAAUGAGUGCAUGGACCCAUUAGUGGUCAAAUCUUUGGUUGACGCCAUGGGGAAACUUUUCAUAGAUCUCUUCAUCCUGGACUGGGAUGAUCCAUUUGGCCACCCACUGACGAAGCAAUAUAGCCUAUCGAUGGUGGAAAAUGAAGAAGCGUAAGCAGUUUGCUAGCAUGCCACCUCCAACUUGGGAGGAGUUUUAGGGACUCUUCUUUGCAGCCUACUUCGCCGAUAAUGCGAAGCGGUAAAUAGAGAAGAAUUUUAAGACCCGAUGCCAGGAAAGCCACAUGCUGCAAGAGCAUGAGCAGGAGUUCUACAUAGUGAGUUGCAUCCUGUUCGUAGUGCGGAACGAGGUGAACGAUGCUCGGUUCUCCGAGCGAGGUCUUUGACCGAGCAUCUUUGCGAAGGUCCAACCCCUCAAUCUGUGAACCUUUUGGGCAGUGGUAGACUGCACCCGAUUGGUAGAGAGAGGUGAUGCCAUUGUGAGCCAAGAGUGUAAGGCCUGGAGAAAGGCAAGGAAAAGGAGAAAAAGUGGUCCUCAGGUGGUUUUGAGAGCCAAUCAAACUCCAAGCGGCCUCCCAAGUACCGCAUUCACAAUUGCACUAGUCCUAUGCUCUUGGUCCCGUGUCUGGUGCAUGAUCUAUGGCUUGGCGCACCGACCCUAGCAGUGAGAGCAGCAAGAGGGAAGAUGCUACAAUUUGAUGCAUAUAGGCGACUGGAUUAUGGCAGUGGAUUUCUUGGUAUCGAGACAAAUGGAGGGAUUUGACUUUGUGUUAGGAAUGGAUUGGCUCUCAAGAUACUAUGCUACUAUCGAUUGCGAGAGUCGAGUCAUGACCUUUCAAGAGCCAGGCCAAAAGGAGUUUGUUUACUUGCGUUGUAAGACCUUGCUUUUCACCAUAACAGUUUCCACGUCUUGAGCUAAGAAGCUAAUCAAUGGUAGAUGCGUGGCCUCCUUGGCCAUAGUGGUGUAGGAUUAAGCAGAGCCUCCAGCACUCAAGGGCAUCCUCGUGGCUCGUGAGUUUCUAGAUGUGUUUCCUAAGAAGCCAUCAGGAAUGCUGCUGGACCAGGAGAUCGAGUUUGUAAUAGACUCGGUUUUUAGGACAAUGCCAAUUUCCAAGGCACUGUACCAUAUGGCACCGGUAGAGUUUAGAAAGCUCAAGACUCGAUUGUAAGAUUUGUUAGAAAAGUGCUUCAUCAAGCCUAGUGUGUCCCUGUGGGGAGCUCCAGUAUUAUUUGUUAGGAAACGAAUGGGUCUUUGCAGUGUAUGGAUUAUAGAGAGCUCAACAAGAUAACAAUAAAAAAUAGGUAUCCACUAUCGCGCAUCGAAGGGGUCCCAAGUGUAUUUAAAGAUUAAUCUUCAGUCGACAUCAACUGAAAAUUUAGCCAAAGAAUUUGCAUAAAACGGCUUUUAGGAUGCAUUAUGGGCAUUAUGAAUUCACCAUAAUGCUGUUCGAUUAAUGCCUCAUCGGCUUUUUGGAUCUUAUGAAUCGCGUCUUUAAGCCAUUUCUAGAUCGAUUUGUAAUAAUCUUUAUUGACAACUUAUUGGUCUACUCCUGAAGUAACGAGGAAUAUGAAGAACACCUUAUGGAGGUUUUGCAAAUUCUUCGAGAGCGAAAGAUAUUCGCCAAAUUAAAGAAAUAUGAAUUUGGGCUCCGAAAAGUUGUAUUCUUGGGGGAAGGAAUUUUCAAUAUUGGGGUUUUGGUGGACCCUAAAAAAGUAAAAGCAAUUAAGGGUUGACCCUAGCCUACAAACGUCACUGAAGUCCAAAGCUUCAUCAGGCUUGUGGGUGCUAUUAGCAGUUUGUGGUAGGGUUUUCAAAAAUUACCACUCCGCUUAUGUGCUUUACUCACAAGGAAGCCAAGUUUGUUUGGAUUGAUAAGUGCAAUCAAAAUUUCCAAUCAUUGUAGAACAAGUUGACAUUGGCUCCAAUUCUCAACUUGUCCAUGGCGAAAAAAGGAUUCAUGGUAUACAAUGAUGCAUUCUAAAAUAGUCUUGGGUGUGUCUUGAUGCAUGUGACGCCCCAACUUCCCAGGGGUCACCCAUCCUAGGACUACUCCCAUCCUAGCACGCUUAACUCUCUUAACCUCUUGGGUCUAGCCACCACCCAAAAUGCUUAAGCCGGGUUAAGAGUUUAGCCCUAUUAUAUCUUAUAUAUAGGACUAUCUGGGGUCUCACAAUCUCCCCCCCUUUACGCCCUGACGUCCUCGUCAGGCUCAGACUCACAAAUACCAGGCGAUGUGAGACUCGUCUCGCUAGCCCGUCAUCCAGACCCUGGCUCAGCCGAGACUCAUCUCACACUUCCGGCUGGUAAUUGGCUCUGAUACCAAAUAUAACGACCCAGCCCACUAGCAACAAUAACUCGUUGGGCCCAACCACCGGCCCAAAAUGCUUAAGCCCAGUUAUUAUUACUAGUGUCUAAGUCUCUUAUAAACCCAAUGACAACCCCAUUCCCAUCCGAUGUGGGAUUAUUGGGGUGUCACAGACUCCCCCCGUUAAGGCCCUGACGUCCUCGUCAGUCUAAUCACACACACAGCCCAAGAUCACCAGGCGAUGUGAGACUCAUCUCGCUAGCCCGUCAUCCAGACCCUGGCUCAGCCGAGACUCGCCACACAUGUCUAGCUGGUGAACCGGCUCUGAUACCAAAUAUAACGACCCAGCCCACUAGCAACAAUAACUCGUUGGGCCCAACCACCGGCCCAAAAUGCUUAAGCCCAGUUAUUACUAUUAGCGUGUAGGUCUCAUAUAAACUGAUCGAAAUCAGUAUCCCAUCCCCUGUUUAGACCCUGACGUCCUCGUCGGGUCCAAACUAGAUCACAGACAGACAGACCAGGAUCAUUACCAGGCGAUGUGAGAUUCUAGAGGUGGCUCCCACCAAACCCGUUGGUGUAACACUUUGUCCUGCAUAGGACUUAGUUCUCACACUUCCGGCUGGUAUUCGGCUCUGAUACCAAUUGCAACGACUCGACCCGCUAGCAAUAAUAACUCGUUGGGCCCAACCACCGGCCCAAAAUGCUUAAGCCCAGUUAUUAUUACUAGUGUCUAAGUCUCUUAUAAACCCAAUGACAACCCCAUUCCCAUCCGAUGUGGGAUUAUUGGGGUGUCACAAUGCAGAAGGAAAAGGUGAUAGCCUAUGCCUCCCGGCAACUUGAGAGCUAUGAGAAAAACUCUCCCACCCAUGAUUUUGAAUUGGAGCAGUGAUCUAGGCAUAGAGAUUCUACAAAGAUGCACAUAGAAGAGUUUUUGGGUGCCAAAAGUUGUUCUGGGCACCCAAAAAUUUUGAAAUUUGAAUUUGAAUUGACUUGUCGGUUUCAAAUUCACUAUUUAGAACCGAAAUCAUGAAAUCUGCAAUUUUGAACGCCCGAAAGCUAUUGCGGAUGCUUGGAUUUCAAAUGAUUGCAUAUUGUUUUUCACUGUGCAGAGCAAUUGAGAGUUGGUCGUCAGAAUUAGGCAUCUGGAAAUACUCUAAUGAACGUUGGCGUUGUAUUAUUGCAGAAGUGAAUGUCUAGAAACUAUUUAGGGCAACCGAAAGUGCAUAAUUGAAGAAACGACUAGUUUUCAGAUUUUGGCUAUAACAGAGAGUUUUGGUGGUUCAAAUCUAUGUACUUGAGCUUGUAAUUGCUAGUACUCAAUACUCUUAGCUAUUUACUAUGUCUCUAUGUUGGUGUAAAAUUCAAAAUCUCCAAAUCUCAUUUAGUUUUAUAAUUAUUCUCAUUUAUUGUCUUUUAUUAUGUUAAUUAAUUGGAUGGAUUAAAUUUAAUUUAUUCCUCCUUUAUUUCACAUUAAAGCAUGAAUUAAAUGGAAUUAAAUAUUGGAGUAGAAUGUUGGGGUAUCCAAUGUUCUAUUCACACCCUUUUAUAUAGUACUCUUUCUACUGUUCAUGACAUGAACAGUGCAAAGAGAAACAUUGGAGGACAUAUAUUUUUUCUAUCUAUAAUUUUUAUCUAUUUGGCUUUGAUCUUUUUGUCAUCGGGUGUUGAAAGAGUCUUCAUCAACCUUCUUCACGAUCGUGCUCGCAGGAGGAGGAAUUACCGGUCGACUUUGGCUGUUGUUCCGGUUAUCCGUAGUAGUACGGUCGCUUAGCGCGUGAACUGCCGCUUCGCAUCAUUUAAGUAUUUAUUUUGGGGGAUAUAGCAUUAUCUGUAAGUUGUAUUUAUAAUAUUUAGUUAAUUUAUUCACAUCAGAUUUUCGUUGCAGGUAUUUGUUCAACACUCUAAUUAAGUGAAUUUGUUUAGUAUACAAUUUAUAAAAGAGGUAAAAGCUAUGUAUAGUGUGAUUUUUUUGGAAUAAGAGUUUCUUAGUGAAAGGUAUAGUACUGCUGCAAAGCAUCAUAUAGUAAGAUUCCACAUCUCUGUGUGAGAAUGUUGUGGGGAUAUGGGAAAUUGUAAACUCUGAACACUAUUAUGUGUUUUAGUUGAAUUUUUCUAAUCUUUCAUUUCAUUUAUUGCGGAUUCUUGAUUAUUUUAUUGUAUUUUAUUUAGAAAUCUUACCCUUGAGAAACGAUAUCUGUGGAGAUCAAAAUUACUUUGUGUUGAAAGUGUUGGCAAGGACGUAGAAAAAGCGGCGAAUCAAAAAUUGGAACAAAGUUUGAAAUGUAAGUAUCAUCUCAUUACUAUAAAAUUAGAUUAUGUGGCAUUUAUUUAUGCUGUUAAUAAUCAAAAAAUGCUCUAAAAUUUUAGCAGCAUAUGGCAUCAAAUGCUGCUUAUGCAAUGUUGCUAAAUUAUUAGUAGCAUCUAUAUAAAUGUGCAAUGUAAUCAAUUGUUCAGAUAUAAGAACAUGCCUGUGAAGAAGAAUUAAAUGUUGAAUUUUUAAAUUAUUUAUUAGUGGCACAUAAAUAUAAUGCCGCUAAUACAAAUAUCUGAUUUUAGAAACUGAAAUUUUAAAAUUUUAAUUUUAUUUUAAAUUUAACUUUUUUUUUUUUUUGAUGCUACCCGCUUCGUUUAUUUCUUUUAGAAAUAAACUUUGCUGGAAAUAUGAAUCUACUAGAAUUCGAACUUAAGACCUCGAAUACCAACCACCAAGUCUUUUACCACUUGCGCUAGCAACUAUUAGUUAUGUAUAUUUUAAUUUUUUAAAUUUUAAGUCAUCUAUUUUAAAAUUUUAAAAUUUUAAAUUUAGAUACUAAAUUUAAAUUUUUAAUUUUCAAAUAUUAAAUUUUAAUUUUCAAAAUUUAUAGUUUUAAAUUUAAAAUUUAAAAUUUAAAAUAAAUUUAAAAAUUAAAAAUUAAAAAUAAAAAUUAAAAAUUUUAGAAUUGAAAAUUUAAAAUUUAAAAUUAUAAGUUUAAUUUUAAAAAUUAUAUGUUUCGAAUUUUAAACUUUAAUUUUAAAACUUUUAAUUCUAAAUAAAAAGGGAUAUAUUAAUAAUUAUAUAUUAAUUAGUAAUAAUAUUUAGCAACAAGUGCGCUAGUUUAUUAUAUUUAGCAGCAUUCACUAAUUUAUGCUACUAAUUUAUCCUAUUUUGCAACAUUAAUAUUAAAUUGCUGCUAAAAAAUUAAAUCUAGCGGUAAUUAUCAAGUAAUGCUGCUAGAUAUAUUAAUUAGCAUGAUUUAAAUAAAUGUUGCGGAGCAAAUAUUGCGAUAUUUAGCAAUAAGUGCUGCAACCUUAUUACAUUUAGUAUCAUUUUUUAUAAAAUGCUGUAAACUUUAGCGGCAUUCACUAAUUUAUGCUGUUAAUUUAUUCUAUUUUGCAACAUUAAUAGUAAAUUGUUGCUAAAUUAUUAAAUCUAGCGGAACUUAUCAAAUAAUGUUGUUAAAUAUAUUAAUUAGGAUUAUUUAAAUAAAUGCUGCGAAGUAACACUACAACAGAAUUAGAUUAUAGGGACAUAUGUUUGGGACACUUUUAUGUAAGUAUCUCAUUUAUGUCAAAACUUUAAAAAAAAUCUACUAAUGCCUAAAUAUAAAGCCCAAUCCAAUAAAAAAAUAAAAGGUUAUUCUACUCAACCCACCACAUCCAGUCCAUUCGGCCCGAUUACAAACAGAAAAGAAAAAAAAAAAAAAGAAAAAUUGAUUACCAUCUCCCCUUCUCCCCUCACUCAAUUCACUGAAAUCCUAGACGAAGAGCCCUUCCCUCUCCUCAUCCUCCGCCACCGCAGCCAACGAGCUAGAGUUCCGGCGGUUGCUAAAUGCUUAAAUUAGUGUUAGUAAAUUAGCAGCACUUUUUUUAGAUUAUACCGUCACUUUUUAACUGCCACUAUAUACCUAGCGACCCCACAUAUAGCAACACUUUUUAAAAGUGUCAAUAAUUUAGCCAGCAGCACUUUUUUUGACUUGUACCGAUAUUUAGAAGUGUCGUUAUAGACCUUUUUUGUUGUAGUGUAAAUGCCACUAAAUCAUGAAUUUGUUGUAGUGUGCCUCAUAGUUUUAGAACUAUUGAUGCAAUUUUAGCCUAAUUUCCAAACCAAACAUUACAUCAGCUAUUGAUUUAGCUCAAAAAGUGCAUAAAUCAACAUAUCUAAAUAUAGCUCAAUAUCGCAUGAACCAAAAGAUAAAUCAGCAUACUUCUAAAUAUAGCACAGUAUAUCUCAAACCCUGUUAUAAACAAAUACAAAAGCUUUUCAUCCCACUUAGGAAAAUAUGCACAUACUACAAAUCUCACUUUACGUUUUUAGAGUCUUAAUAAAGUAGAUUUUUUUUUUUUUUUUUUGAGAGAUAGGUAGCACGCUAUCCGCUUCAUUUAUUUUAUUUAGAAAUAAACUUAGCUAGAAAUAUGAAUCAACUAGGAUUCGAACUUGGCUCUCAGCUGGUGAAGUGUUAGUAUGUUUGUUAGUAUGUUUUUCAUUAAGGGUUGACUAGAAAUAAAGUAGUUUGUCAGUAUGUUUUUCAUAUAAAGCGCUACAGAUUGUAAGUAUACAAGUAGUUUCUCAGCUAGUGAAGUGUAUAAUCGUGAUAGAGUCGUUAGGAAUACUUUAACCGUCAUGCUGAAGCCAAAAUCUCCUUCACCUCCUGAGCCAAAUUCCCUAAUUAUUACAAUCUUAAGGAACAUUUAAAACAUCAUCUCCAGAUGAAUAACUCUUCUAAAUUAUGAAACACAAUUUUGUUACUAGUUUAAGACACUAGUUUUGCCCUACAUUUAGGUAAGAUUACAUUUAUGUUUGCUUGAUCAUUUACAGUUUUACUAAUUUUGAAAAAAAAAAUAUGGUUAACGGCAUACAAGUCCUUACAAAUAUAGUGAAUUGCAAAUAUAUCCCUACAAAGUUCAAUUUUCAUAUGUUGUCCUUAUAAAAGUCCUAAUAUUUUCAAAUAUAUUCCUGCCGUUAGAAUCCGUUAGAAAAUUUUAAUUAACCACAGUUUAAAUACUUAACCGUAGUUAGUUAAUGAGAUGAAUUGACCUUUUUACCCUUCGUCAAUAGUUAGGAGGGACAUAUUUAUGAUGGAAAAAAGUCAUUUUACUUAUAAAAUAGAUAGUGCUUUAACGGUCAUAAACCAGAAGGACAUAUUUGAAAAUAUUAGGACUUUUAUAGGAACAAUAUAUAAGAGUUGAACUUUGUAGGGAUGCAUUUGUAAUUCACUAUAUUUGCAGGGACCUAUAUAAAAUUAAGUCAAAAAAAUAUUAAGGCGGCUAGAUUGUUAGAUUCUGUUAAGAUUACUAUUAAAUAUAAGUUCGUAUGAUAGACACAAAUUUGGUGAAUUAUAUCAUGGCAUUGAAGUAAUGCUAGCAAUUGUAAUGACAAUAUAAGACUAAUUGACUUUUAUUAAUAUUUAUUUCCAAACAAAUCAAGAAUUCACCAGAUCAAGACAUAAAAAGAUGCAUCCAAAUCAAGAAUUCACUAGAGAACUUUAGAAGUACAUUUCUUUGAUCCUUCCAAGCUAUUUGUAAUGGUAGAAUUAAUAUCAAACUUGGCUAUUAAUGCUGAUUGUUAGCUUAAAUGGGUCAGCAUCUUGCCAUGUGGCGGAAGGCCAUGUUAGGUCGAAUCAUGUUCGAAAUGGCGUGAGGCUGGGUGAGCCGAGUCAUGUUCGAAGUAGCGUGAGGUUGGCUAGGCCGAGUCACAAUCGAGACCCGUGGGCACUGUAUCUAUAUAUUUUAAGUGAAUUGGUUGCGUUUUUCUAACAGCUCGAGCUUUUAGGAUUAAUGGUUAGCGCCAACGAUCCGACAAGUGGUAUCAGAACCAGAGGUCAUGGUUUUGAUUCCCGCAUGCGGGUUCGAUUUUCGCAUGCUGUAAAUGUAUGCAGAUGCUGGAGGGGGAAUUGUUGGCUUAAAUGGGCUAGCAACUUGCCCUGUGGCAGGAGACCAUGUUGGGCCAAGUCAUAUUCGAAAUAGCGUGCGGGAGGCUGGGUGGGCCGAGUCAUGUUCGAAGUGGCGUGAGGCAGGUUGGGCCGAGUCACAGUCGAGACCCCUGGGCACUGUAUCUAUACACUUUAAGUGAAUUGGUUGCGUAUUUCUAACCGCUCGAACUUUUGGAAUUAAUGGUUAGCGCCAACGAUCCGACACUGAUAAACAUAGAUCUAUCAUAAACUAUCUAAUACCAAACUUUGUGAUUUUUUAAUGUUAUCUCAAAUACACCUUAUAUAUACUGUUGAAUAUUAUUAAUUUUGAGACUAAGUUUAACAUUAAGAAAAUAAAAUUAAAAGCAAAAAAUGUUUCCUAGAAAAUUCAUAUGCACCUAUAAAUCAUAUUUAAGAUAAUUAAUCAUCGUUGAGAUGUUCAAUCAUCCAAUAUAGUUCACUUUCUCGUUAUACAUGAUUUGAUAGGAUAACAUAUUUCAUCUAAAGAUAAUUUAUCUUAUUCAAAAAAAUUUGACCAGAAAGUGAACUAUAUUAUCCCACUCUAGCUGCUUGAUCAUAUUUCUCAUAUAUCAAAUACUGCAACAUUUUUAGUAAAUCAAAAAUAUAUCUAUAAUAAAAUAUAAAUGAAUCCAAACAGGGCCUUAAAAGCAUUGUGGCGCAGCUUUUCAAAACAAAUCUCGUAAAAAUAAGUUUUUAUUAUGUCUAUUUGAUCUCGAGUUUCCUCUCGCUCCCGUGGAACUUCCCAGAAGAUGAUCGACUCCCGCCUUCCAUCUUUAACAUCUGAAGCAAGAAAUCGUUCCACGAAUCGAUCGGCCCAGGAAGGCACCAAUGCACGCAAUCGUUAUACAUAGUAACAUUCUCCUGCGGGAGGUGCCCGUACCGGCUCGGGUGCCCGUCGGGCCUCCGCAACAUCACCUCAGUGACAUCUAUCAACCGGAACUUGAGCCCUCUCGCCCGGGCCUCCCUCUCCGCACUCCUGAACUCCUCCAAUUGCGUCAUGUACAUCUCCAAAUUGAUCCCCUCGAGCCGCGUCUCGUUGCUCCCGACCGGCCGCGUGCGCAGGCAGUCCCCGCCCUUGUCCCACUCGCCGUUCUCGUAGUGCGACGGCGCGUACGUCCGCAGAAAUGUCGUGCCUUUGUAGCCCGCCAAACUGAGCAAGGUUUGAAACGUUGUCCUGAAGGCCAUUCUGUAGCCGUGGUACAUGGUUAAGUCGGUCACAUUCGGGUUGAGACAAUAGUGGCACCCAAUAACCCGAUGGUUCUCGUGAUACAAGGUCGGGCGAAAGAACCAGUGGCCCGCGGACACGAUCACGUAGUCGAAAUCUUUGAUCUGGGCCGUCCAGUUAGAAUCGGGCUCGUCCAGGUAGAGGCUGAAGAGGCCGGUCAGGGUCGGGCCCUUCGGGUCCGCUUCUACGGACCGAACCAGGUAAGGGGACCAGAAGUUGGCUAGGGUGAAGUUGUGGGUCGGGUAUGACCACCGCCGCGACUUGUCGUCCGAUGUAGUGGAGAUAUCCACUACAUAUGUUACCUGUCAAAUUAAUGCAAUCAAUUUUCAGGAGAAAAGAGCUCCACCCCAAAAGUAAAUAAUAAUAACAACAAUAAAAAGUAAAAAUAAAAAAUAAAAUAUACUGAGCAUAAUUAAGUCGAGUUGAGAUCCUGUGCUUUUAAAAGCACAGUAAUAUCUGUGUUUCUAAUUUUUUAAGCCGUCAAAUCACCUCUAAAUCCCUACAGCACUAGCGAAGAGAAUUUAACGGGAUAAAUCGUUAAUUAUGCUGUGCGAAUUUUGAGACGAUCUGAUAGCUAAAGAGUCAGAAGCAAAAAUAUUUGUUUGCUUUUAAAAGCACAUGAGCUCAACUCUAAUUAAGACUAUCAAAUUAUUAAUAAACGGUACGAAGGUGGGAGUUAAGAUGUCGUGGCAUUAAUUGAUUGAUUGUUUGGUUGUAUCAUUUGGAAGAUUCAUUUUUAUAUUGAGAGCAAGGUUUAUUGAAUCCUAUCACUAUUCACUGACUAAAUUUGAUUAGAUUUAAUGAACUUUAUCUGUCACUAUUAGAAACAGAUCAGUUAAUUAGAACCCCAUAUUACUCAUUACUAAUUAGGAUAACUAAGAACAACAAUGAUGAUCCACAAUAUCUAUAAUGCCUACGAAUCAUUAUUCGAGUUAUUCCUAUAUAAAUGUAUGUUUUCUUUAACUACAGAGUCCUUAAUCUUUAUCUAUUUCCCAUGUAAUUAUUAUGUGGACAAGAGAUUUAUGUUGAUGUUGAUGCAUAAAGAGUGGAAGUGAAUAAGGGAUUAUCCAAACUAAGUGAUAAUAAAGAGGUAUUAGGUGGUCCAAAUUAUAUAUAUGCAUCUCUAUUAGUGGAAAGAAGCCAAAGUAUUUGCUUUGGAAUUAAUGGUUGGUGGGAUGUAACAGUGACGCUCUGCUAAAUGAUUAUUCUUCCUAAUAAAAUUACAAAAUAUACAAAUUUGUUGGAGAACGAAAUGCCAACCUCACUCAUGCAAUUAAUGCAAGAGUAGAUCUCAUGCUCACCUAAAUCAUGGUAGUUAAAGAGUCUACAACAUAAUCACCAGCAAUAGGCUACUACAGUAUAGAGCCCUUCGUACUCAUAAGUUGUUUUCAAUAAUAGAGCUUCCGAAUCGACGAUCCACUCUGUUAAAUAUGAUCUAAAGUAUUUAAAACUUGUAAAUAAUAAAUUUUGUAAUUUUUCGAAAUCAUAAUAAAGUCCAUCAAGCGGGUAUAAAAUGAACGGUGAAAAUUAAACGACGUUCUAAAAAGAUAGGUAGUGAAAAGAAAUUUCUAUAAAAAAUUCAACUGAUUUUGAUUCUUUUACACUAUUAAACUAGCAAGUAUUUUAUACCGGCUGUUAAAAAUUGUCAAUUUUGAUAUCUUUUGAUCGUAAAGUAAAUGAUGUCCAAAAAUUAUAAAAUUUGAUUUCUAAAAAUUUCAAUGCACUAGAAAAUAUUUAAUAGUAUGGAUCGUCGAUUCGGAAGCUCUAUUAUCAAAAACGACUUAUGAGUACGAAGGUGAUCGUACUCAUAAGAGUAUAGUAGCCGGACUCUCUCUCUCUCUCUCUCUCUCUCUAUAUAUAUAUAUAUAUGAAAAAUAUUUCUUGUUUACUCAAAAAGGGAGUGAAGAUCUUACACCCAUUAUUCUAAAAUUGAUAAAAUUCAAAUUUUUAGUAUAAAAAAAAAUUGAUGUGACAUAGAAUAUUAAUAGCCUUGGAAUGAAGUAGGUGUAAAAUAUAUACGCCGCUUUAAGGUGCACCGGUAACGAUGCUCAUAAAUUAAUGUCCCUAUUUUGCAACUUAAUCACUCUAUUUUUGGAUUAAACAACUAACUUCAGUAGAUUGCAGUUACUAAUCUCUGAUCAUUAAAAAGCCAAACUUUUAAAAGCAAUUAACUUGAAAUAGUGAAUCAUAAUUAUAAUAGGAUAAAUUUAGGUCUUCUACUCAUCUCCAAAAAUUGAAAUGUUCGCACGAAAAGUAUAGAAAACGAAAUCGCAAUGUUGGCACAAUACAAGAGUUAUCCGUACUCAUUACUAUAAUAGCCUCAAAUCUCUAUAUAUGUAUCCAAUCAUAAUACCCCCACACGUUCAUGGUGUGAAAUUUUCGAACCUAAGACCGUACUUAUUACCAUAAUAGAGUUUCAAAUCUCUGGGAGUGUCCAAUCAUAAUACUCCGACACCUAAUAUCACCAAACAAUAUAAAACUCAUUUCAUACCUCCGAACGGCAAAUCAGUUUAAUUAUGAUACCAAUAUAACAAUCCAAUGUUCUAACACUAACAACUGGUUAAAUCCAAACCGGUGGUUCAGUAUGCUUAAGUCUUUUCAUUAACGCUAGAGUACUGAGUCCUUAGAUACUCAACUAUCAAUUCUUAUUAGUACUAGAGUACUUAAUUUGUAUAGAGCAAUGCUAUCGGUACACCUCAAAGCGGAAUUUACAUUUUACACCAACUCAAUUCCAAAAUCAUUAAUAUUCUACUUAUGACAUCAAUUUUUAGUCCUCGACUUUUCAAUUACUUUUACAUUGUUCACUUUAUUAUUUGUGUUGAUUAAGUCUUACAGUUAAAAAAAAACUAGGUAAAAUAAUUAAAAAGAAGCAAUUACUUAUAUGCUCUUGAAAAGUUUCAGACUUUCUUAUUUACUCUUCGUAAAAGGCUAAUAUAAAAAAUAUCCUCUUAACACUCCAAAUUCUUUCGAAUAUACCAAAUAAAAAAGGCUCCAUUUUACGGUCAAAUAACAUUAUUUAAUGGUGUCGGCGUGGUAGUUUUCAUUUAGAGUAAACUAAAUUUUCGAUCGCUGAGACCUGAUCUAAAUAAAUAAAAAUGAUUUAGGACCACAUUGUCAAAAUUAAAAGAUUAAGAAGUGAUGUAAAAUUUUGAUAAAGUGUAGUGAUGGUCGCUAGCAGUACUAUAAAUUAAGGAAAAUGUUUAUUGCAUAUUCAAAAAGAGAGGGAAAGUCUUACCCUCACUAUUCUAAGGUUGAUAAAAAUUGAAAUAAACUUUAGUAAAAAUUAAAAAAAUUUGACAUGAUAAGUAAAAUAUUAAUGAUUUUAUAAUACAGUGGGGGUAACGAUAUACACCCAGUUUUGAAAUAUACCAAUAGUAUUGCUCAUAAGUUAAAUUAUAGAUCUCUCUCUUUCUAUAUAUCAUAGACACUUCUGUAAGCCUUGUAUGUCUGUGUCGGACGCGGGUGUGUUCGUGUCGGACGCGUGUGUGAUGUGGACAGUCCUUGAACGCCUAUUUAAUGCCGAUUCAUAGCGCAUACAGCGAGUUGAGCUGGAAUACUAUCGGUAGCAAAUGGGCUCCGUUACCACCCAUUUGUUUUUGAUGAUGGAGCCUUCAAAUUGACGAUCGGCACCGUUGAAAAUGAUCUAUACUACUUGAAGUAUCUAGAAAUCAAAUUUCAUACUUUUUCGAUAUUGUUUUCUUGUCCAUCAAGUGGGCGUAAAAAUGAAUGGCUGAAAAUGAAUAUCCUCUAAAAAGUGAUGAUAGAAAUUUUGUAAUCAUGAUCGAGAAUAUAAAUCUUGUUCUAAAUAGUUUAAAGAAUUUUCUAACAAAAAUUCAAUUGAUUUGGAUAGCUUUACACCGUUAAACGAGAAAACCCCUCAUAUCAACCAUUAAAAUUACUAAUUUUGAAACCCUUUGAUCAUUANUAUAUAUAUAUAUAUGGAAAAUAUUUCUUGUAUACUCAAAAAGGAAGUGAAGAUCUUACACCCAUUAUUCUUAAAUUGGUAAAAUUCAAAUUUUUAGUAUAAAAAAAAAAUUGAUGUGACAAAUAGAAUAUCAAUAGCCUUGGAAUGGAGUGGGUAUAAAAUAUAUACACCGCUUUAAGGUGUACCGGUAGCAAUGCUCAUAUAUUAAUGUCCCUAUUUUGGAACUUAAUCACUCUAUUUUUGUAUUAAACAACUAACAUCAAUAGAUUGCAGUUACUAAUCUCUGAUCAUUAAAAAGCCAAACUUUUAAAAGUAAUUAACUGGAAAUAGUGAAUCAUAUUUAUAAUAGGAUAAAUUUAGGUCUUCUACUCAUCUCCAAAAAUUGAAAUGUUCGCACGAAAAGUAUGGAAAACGAAAUCGCAAUGUUGGCACAAUACAAGAGUUAUCUGUACUUAUUACUAUAAUAGCCUCAAAUCUCUAUAUAUGUAUCCAAUCAUAAUAACCCCACACGUUCAUGGUGUCAAAUUUUCGAAACUAAGACCGUACUUAUUACUAUAAUAGAGUUUCAAAUCUCUGGGAGUGUCCAAUCAUAAUACUCCGACACCUUCAUGGUGUCAAAUUUUCUAACCUAAGAUCACCAAACAAUAUAAAACUCAUUUCAUAACUCCGAAUGACAAAUCAGUUUAAUUACGAUACCAAUAUAACAAUCCAAUGUUCUAACAUAACAACUGGUUAAAUCCAAACCGGUGGUUCAAUAUGCUUAAGUCUUUUUAUUAACACUAGAGUACUGAGUCCUUAGAUUCUCAACUAUCAAUUCUUAUUAGUACUGGAGUACUUAAUUUGUGUAGAGCAAUACUAUCGGUACACCUCAAAGCGGGAUUUAUAUUUUACACCAACUCAAUUCCAAAACCAUUAAUAUUCUACUUAUGACAUCAAUUUUUAGUCCUCGACCUUUCAAUUACUUUUACAUUGUUCACUUUAUUAUUUGUGUUGAUUAAGUCUUGCAGUUAAAAAAAAACUAGGUAAAAUAAUUAAAAAGAAGCAAUUACUUAUAUACUCCUGAAAAGUUUCAGACUUUCUUAUUUACUCUUCGUAAAAGGCUANUAAAUUAUGUACGGUGAAAAAAAAAAUUUCUUAAAAUAUAUGAAUUAUAAUUGAAAAUUUUAUAAACUUUCAUUCGUACGAAAAAUAUAAUAAUAGUUUAUCAAAUUUAAUAUUUUAUACAUAAUAAAAAUAUAUUAUUAUAUUAAUAAUAUUAUAUUUUAUUAGCGGUGUCUAUGUCGUGUCUGUAUCUUAAUUUAUUGAAAGUUGUCGAGUUACGGUGUUCGAGUGGUGUCGUAUUUCGUAUUUUGUGUCAGUGUUCGUGACGCCUAGCUCUCUUUCCUUAUGUAGAGUCUAUGCAAUUCUUAUUACGAGUCAUGUCGUGUUUUGUAUCUCGUGUCAGUAUUUGUGACGCCUAGCUCUCUUUCCUUACGUAAAGUCUAUGCAAUUCUUAUUAUUACCUUAGAGAGGAGGCACAUCAAGGAUUGCAUUUGGUUCCUCCCCACCGAGUCCCCCAGAAACGCCAGGGACUUGCCGCCGACGAGCUCGAGGAACUGCGCGGGGUUGAAGACCGGCAGCUCGCACCCGUCGGGCCUCCACCGCCACUUCAUGAACCCGUCGUCGGGCCGCCCGAACUUCAUGCAGUUCUGGUGGUCGUGGAUCGCCCAGCACGUCCCGUUCGUGUAGUACGGCGCCUUCGGGUUCGGAACCCACUCCCCGCUGAAGAUGUCGCAUUUCGCACCGCUGCGCAUCGUCGCGCUCCUCACGGAAGGCGGAGGAGAUGGCAGGGGAAGAGGUGAUGAAGUUGCAGUAGUACUACUACUGCUGCUGCUUCUUUUCCAUAAGGGGAAAAAGUAUACAGGCACAAUGGUGAGAACAACUGAGGAGAAUAUUAGAACAAGAACUAUUCCAGUGGUGUUCUCUUGAGUUCUCCUCAUUAUUUUUGUAUAGAAAAGCUCAUUAGACUUCAUUGGAGAGAGAGAGAAAUUAAUUAAACAAGUGUUACAAAGUGCAUGAAAUGAGCUUAACACUAGCGUAUGGCACAAGGGCAUUUGUUUUGCCUCCUCAUACAUAUAUAGAGAAAUUUUCAAGGUCCAUCUUGCAUAUGACACCCUGCUUUGUGGGAGAAUUCUAUUCUAGUCUCAAAUAUUUUUUCUAAAUAUUUAACAUUUUUUCUCACCUAUAAAGGCCUAGGCUUGAGAUAGUUUUGAUAGGCCCAAGACGUGAAUAGUAAUUUAAAAGAAUAAAAUUAAUAAGGAAAACUUUUAAAUACCACUUCCGUAGUUUCGCACUUUCUUACUUUGAUACCCUGUGGUUUAAAGUGUAUCGAUUUAGUAUCCUAUGGUUUUAUUGCUCUUUUUAAUUUAUUAGCCCUUCUACUAAUUUUUUUCGUUAAAUCAGUGACAAAGUUAAAACUAAAAGAUACUAAAGUGAAUAUUCGAUAAAUCUAGAUAGGGUAUCUGAAGUUUUUUGUAUAUAAUUUAAUGAAUAUUAACGGAGGAGCUGACGAAAAGAGAAAAAUAAAAUCAUAUGGUAUUAAAUUAAUACACUUUAAACCACAGAGUGCUAAGUGAGAAAGUAUGAAAUAUUAAAUUAAUACACUUUAAACCACAGAGUGCUAAGUGAGAAAGUAUGAAAAAUCACAUGGGUGGUAUUUGAAGUUUACCCAAUUAAUAAUAAUAAAAGUCUAAUGAGAUUCAAACUCUGAAUCUUUUAGCAUGGUAUCAUGUUAAAUAAAUAUAAAACAAUCAUUAUUCUUCAAAUGCUCAAUCUAUUAGUUAAUCAUGUAUUUAUCAUUUAUACUCUCAAUCGUUGCGCCACAAGCUCGCUAGUGAACACAUGGAACACAGCAAAAGUCGCGUAUUAAAUUAAUACUAGUAAUUUGAACUUCAAGUAUUUUGGAUAGUGAUUUAGACAAAUACCGGUUUGAAUGCUACAUAUGUUAAUGGGCUAGAUUUUUUUAAAAUAUUUUAAAAUUAUGAUAAUUUUUUUCUAUUUUAUUUCUUUAAUUAGAGGCAGUUGAAGCAGUCGAUAUUUGCUAUUUUAAUGAUUCUUGAAUUCUUUUAUACAUCAAUGAUCAGUGAUUAAAACAUGAUGACAUUAUUUCAGGAUCAGUUUUGUACCACUUAUUUUUAUUUUAUUGAUCGUGAUUUGGAUUCAGAUCUAUCACAAAUUGAUACUAAAAUUUGAUCAAAACCUUGCAUCAUUAUUAUUAUUAUUAUUAUUAUUAUGUGGUAGUAAUUAAUAAAUAUAGCUGGCUAAUUAAGAAAUUAUUAGAAGUGAUUAUGUGUUAUAAUAUAGGUGGCUUGUUCAUGUCAGGUAUUUUCUGGUUGGUAUGCAAUGCUUGUCACAUUCUCUCUUCACCCCUACUGUGUAUGUUGCCAGCCCCAAUCUGCAUGGCUGAGCUGAUGGCCCCAACUAGAGGCAGGUUUUAUACAGGCGGCCGACAUCUCUUUUCGGCCUUCAAUUUAUUAAAUUUAGUCUCUAUCGCGCUCGGGGGCCCGCCCCGUGUCGCCUCGCUUCCCAAAGUGGUCGUCGAUUCUAGAACUACUCUAGUUCUAACAUAUUUAGCCCUUUCAAUCUCUUAGAUCUAACCACUGUCCAAAAUAAUAUAGCUAGAUUAAAAGGUUUAGUACUAUUAUACUUUAUACAUGUAGGACAGUCGACCAUUGGUCAUAGGAUAGUCAACCAAAACUGAUCGAUCUUGUGGUCGACCAUAGGUUGGCUAUUAAAUAAGGUUUCUAUCGGUGGGAUAUGAUGUUCCACCAUAAGGAUAUGAUUACUCUGUUAGAGAUAGUGCCAGUGAAUAAUUAGAUUAGGAUUAUAUUAUUUGAUCUUAUCUAUUAUUAAAUUUGGUUAUUUAAAUUGUGAUUAAGAUGAAGUCUUAUUAGAGUAGGAUUUUAUAUAAUUAGUUAUAAAUAGAUAGGCCUAGAUUAUUUGGUUGAUGAAGCUGAUGAGUAAUUAAAAGUUGUGGCCGCAAGUCGUCUAUUUUACUAGAGUAAGCCGGCGCCAUACGUCAUGAAGUAUUUGCAUUGGAGUGUGCUCAUAACUUUUCUUCAAUAAAAUUGGCUUUGUUUUGCUUCCACCGUAACGCACCAGAUUUUUAUUUUUCUUCUUCCUCUCGUUUUUUUCUAUUUUAUUUUUUAUGGAGAUCUCUAUAUAUCAUAACAAGUAUAUAGAACGUAUUUGGUGGAGGCCCACCGUCGUAACAAUUGUAGUAUCAGAGACAAGUUUUUGAGAGGAGAAGGUAUCGAUAGCAUUUAACAGGGUCAAUGGAGUUACACAAGAAAUCCCUAUAUUUAAAGGAGACAACUAUGAUUUUUGGUGCGUAAAAAUGCGGGCGUUAUUGCGAUUCUAAAAUUUAUGAAAUUUUGUAGAAAAAUGAUGUAAAGAAACAAUCGGAGAGAAUCUGAAAAAAGAUGUGAAUGCACUUUUCUUUAUUCAGCAAUUAGUUGACGAUUUGAUAUUUUUCCACAUUGCCGGUGCUACUCGAUCGAAGGAACCAUUAGAAUUGAAUACAUGCAUAUGUAUAUGGGGCCGAUGCAGAUAGCGUCGCUCAGCGGCAAUUAUUACUUUGUGGUUUUCGUGGAUGACUAUAGCCGGAUGACUUGGGUUUAUUUAUUAAAAAUAAAUUCGAAACUUUUGAUGUUUUUCAUAAAAUUAAAAAUUUGGUUGAGAACGAAUCCGGUUAUUAUAUUAGGACCCUCUGUACAGAUCGAGGGGGAGAAUUUAUUUCUAACAAGUUUGAAAAUUUUUGUGAAACUAAUGAUAUCUAUAGGCAGUUGACAACUAGUUACACGUCUCAGCAGAACGGUAUUGCAGAGCACAAAAGUCAAAAUUUAGUCGAGAUGGCAAAAAGCAUGUUGAAAGCGAGAAAACUCCCGAAUAAAUUUUGGGCAGAAGUGGUAUCUACUGCAACAUAUAUUCUCAAUAAAAGUCCAAUUUCACCGCUGGAUAAUAUUACACCUUAUGAAGUAUGGACAAGUUGGAAAUCGAAAGUAAAACACUUUAAAAUUUUUGGAUCCAUCUCUUUUGUUAAUAUCCCAUCACAAAAUAAGCAAAAACUGGAUGCUAAUAGUCAAAAGUGUAUUUUUGUUGGGUAUAGCGAAAGAAGUAAAGCCUAUUGAUUUUAUAAUCCUACUACUAACUUUUUUAUUAUAAGUCAUGAUGCUAUAUUUGAUGAACAAAAAGCUUAGGAUUAGAAUGCAAACGUGCAGGAUAAUCCACUUCCGAUACUCAAAAAUGAAAUUGCAACUAAAAAUAGAAACAAUGGUGAAAGUAUGACAAGUUCGGAAACAACACUGCGAACUUCAGUACAGAGUUCACCAGAAACUUCUCCAGAGACGACGCCAAGAAAAGUAAAGUCAUUUACUAAAACAUACGAGCAGUGCAUGUACUCAUAAUUUGGUGAACCACAAACCUUGGAGGAGGCAGCAAAAUCAAAUGAUUGGUGUAAGGCCAUGAAUGAAGAAAUUGCAGCGCUAGAGAAAAUUAAUACCUGGAGCUUGUUGUGCCGUCCAUAGAAAAAGAAGUUAUUGGAUUUAAGUGGAAAUAUAAGGCGAAAAGGAUAUCGAGAUAUCCGAAGAAAACAAGAGACUACCGGUUGUGAUAUAUUAACGCUAACAAUUUUUAUUUUUUUGGUUGUUCUGACAGUGAUUGGGCAGGUUCGAUAGAUGAUAGAAGAAGCACGAGCGGGUUCGUGUUCAACCUUAAUGCAAGCAAUUGCUGGUCCUCAAAAAAAUAGUAGUUGACAGCUCUAUCAUUUUUAGAAGCCGAAUACGUUGCAGUUACGGCUGCUACAUGUCAAGCAAUCUGGAUGGCAAAUUUUGGCAGAUUUAAAGCGUAAGCAAGAAGAUCUAAUCGUGAUUUACUGCGACAAUCAAUCAAUUAUUGCGAUGGCAAAAAACCCUAUUCAUCAUAGCCGGACUAAAUACAUCGAAUUGCGACAUCACUUUAUUCGUGAAUAGAUCGCCAACAGACAAGUCAAGUUUAUACACUGCACUACCGAGGAGCAGAUGGCCGAUAUUUUCACAAAGCCACUACCAUUGGAGAAAUUCACAUUUUGCUGAGAGAAGAUCGGUGUGAACAACAUUAGCAUUAUCGGGGAGUGUUAGAGAUAAUGCUAAUGAAUAAUUAGAUUAGGAUUAGAUUAUUUGAUCUUAUCUAUUAUUAGAUUUGAUUAUUUAAAUUGUGAUUAAGAUGAAGUCUAAUUAGAUUAGGAUUCCAUGUAAUUAGUUAUAAAUAGAUAGGCCGGGAUUAUUUGGUUAAUGAAGCUGGUGAGUACUGAGUAAUUAAAAGUUGUGGCCGCAAGUCGUCUAAUUAAUUAGAGUAAGCCGGCACCGUACGUCAUGAAAUAUUUGUAUCUGGGUGUGCUCAUAAUUUUUCUUCAAUAAAAUUAGUAUUGUUUUGCUUCCAUGAUAACGUACUAGAUUUUUGUUUCUCUUCUUCCUCUCUUGUCUUUUCUAUUUUACUUUUUAUGGAGAUAUCUAUAUAUCAUAACAUGUAUAUAGAACGUAUUGUUGGAGACCCACCUCUAUAAUAUACUCUACUAUACACAAACCAGAAACCGUAUGAUUGAACCCAAACUUAACCAGAGCAAAAUUAAACAAAAUAAAACCAAUUUGUAUGGGAAUAAAAGCAAAUUCCUUAAAAAUAAACAUUAAGCACCAUUUCCAAAAAAAGGGAUUUUAUCAUCAAAUAACAUAGGUUUUGAUUAUGAGCUUAGAAUUUAAUUACCCAAAAUUGAAGAAUGGCUUAUGCAGAGCAUGUUCUCUAUUUGAAGCUUCCAAGCUCCAUCCAAGGCCCAAAUCUUCGAGAUUGUCGGCCAUCACUCCAAAGCAAGACUCAACAUGCAAGAGAAAACUUCAAAUGGCCCAAAGUGGUAACAUAGGUUAGCGGCCUACCUUACGUGGACAAGAGAAACAAGAAAGAAAAAGAAUGAAGGAGGUAGAGGAGAGAAGGAGGUAGAGGAGAGAGAAGGACAGAUAUGGUGGACAGAAGAUAGGAGGAAAUAAAGAGGAUGGAAAAAAAAAAAAAAGGAGAGAGAUGAGGGGGCAUGUGUCCUCUGGUUGUGUAAGAGCGAAAAGAGGUAGAGGAGAUAGAAAGAGUAGAAUGAGAUUCGUGCAAGCUAUUGAAUAGAAAAUUCCAUUGAAGAUAGUCGAUCACAACUUCUGUCAUGCCCCGCAACCGUCAAUUUGGUCGGUUGGGGCACGUGAAACAGACGCCGAACGGACAGAACCUCCCCUGUCCGCCCAAGGCUCAACAACAAGAUCAUGUACAUAUAGUUGCCCAGGAAAAACAUCAACCACAUACAUGAUCCAAGCAAGUAAUAAUAAUACAAGCAAACAAGAGAGACAGUUCUAGCUAUUACAUUCAUACAACCAUUUACACAAUUGGUUUACAUAUUCUUCUCAUAAUACAAAACAGCUCUCCAAAGUAUCCUCACAUCUGUACAUCAUAUGUCGCUCAUGUACAUGAGGGUACUCUAAUGCAAAAGGAAGCUGCAAGCUAACUAGGGCGCUAUGGCCUUUCCGCGGUCCUCGCCCGGUCCGCUCGAACUCGGCCCUGCAAUAAAGUGGGGUGAGAACUACGAAUAGUUCCCAGUGGGUUUGACCGCCGAUUCCGCCGAUGUUCCCACUAGGUCUAAGUAGGCAUAAGUAGAUAGAUACGUAAUAUGAAAACAACUGCUACAUAGUAAUGAAAUCUGCAAACAUGAUACUAUAUAUGCCUUGAUCAGCAUGAUAUAAAGAAUGCUAACUCUACAUAGCAAUGAGUCUACUAUCAUGCUACUAUGCUUCAACAAUAUCAUAAAUAAAGAUAUGCACAUAGUUAGGACAAAUCUACUAACAUGUCUCUAUGUACAUGUCAUGGUAUGAAUGCAUGAUCUACUAUGUCAUUCAUUCACUUGUUAUCCAAUCUACUUGGCUAACCCGAAGGUUACACCACAACUCACUCUUUAAAAUCUCAUAGGUGAGGAGAAUCUGCACUCGCACACCGAGACCGCCUGCAGGACAACUAUGUCUGCCCCUAUCGUGAAGUACUCCAGAGACCACUGCUUGGGUGGAGCGACCACGCCAAGUGAAAACAGACUAAGUAGGAAUGAUCCAAUCCUCACAACCUAUCACGCCCCGGGGUCCCUUUGAGUUUAAAAGAUAGCGGAAAAGCGUCUGAAUUUUUUUUUUUUCUUUUUGAAAACCUGACCCCAGAGUAUGCCAGACCCGCCACAAAUACAGAGAUUCCACUGUUCACACGGACAGAGUCUCCCCUGUAUUUGCACGGCGUCGCACAAGUACAACAGUACAAACAGGAUACAACCACAACUAAAUGAAUAUAGAAAUCACCAUACAUUCAUACAUUCACCAUUCACAUCACAGAUUUGCAUUCAAUGUCUAAAUAUAAAUCCAUAGAAAAUCUUUUGAAAACUGUUCCCUACACAGGAACCUUUAUUCUUUAAAAACGCUACCACGAGGGGUAGAAAACCUUUUAUUUUACAAAAUUCAGAAAUCCACAUUUUCAAAUGUAAAUAAAUACUGAACCACAUAAACCAACUAAACUAUACAUCGACCGAAAUAAGAAGGGUAAGAAACUAAACCGAACAACCUGGGUCGGAAGCUCUAUCGACCACUACGAACGUACCUCACGUCUCGUCCCAAUACACAUCGCCUGCGAUACCUGAAAAAUAGUGGGGGAGGUGAGAACAUGUAAACAUGUCUCCCCUCCCAGUGGGUACCGCAAGCCGAAGAAGGUGAGGAGUACUCACCGGAUCAGGAAGAACUAUACAACAUCACGGGUCAGUGGAAAUAUAGCAGCAACAACAAUAAACGAAAGAGAUAUGUAAAGUAAUGAGCAGAUAUACCGAAUACAGUAGCAAUAAACUGAAAGAAAGUAAGAACUAGAUUGAAUAACGGCUACCGCUACUGUAACUGAAAUCGAAAGCAUACAUGAAUAUCUACUAUAGUAGCAAGACAACUAUAAAGUAAGAACUGUAAAUAUGCAUGCAACGACUGCUACUAUAGACAUAUGCGUCAACUGACGAUAACCUCAAAAGUACCCAAUCUCGCUGCCCUAUUGGUCCGAAGACCUCAGGCACAUGCCACACUGCUCAACCUGUACCUGACCCUCGCAA
rnacentral:lncRNA from 1 species